UUUUUUUUUUUUUUGCAGUAUGGUUAUUACAGAGCUUCCUUCGGAACAUGCUAAGAAAGCCCUUGAGGCAGUAUGCCUGCCAUCUGUUGCUCCAUUACAAGUAAGUUUCCUUUCUAAAAUUUUAUGAAUGACUUUAAGUGUCAAUUUACAAAUACUUGGAGUUAACUACCAGGAGAUGAUCAAUCAAGGUCCCCAAGUUUUGGGGCAAAAAAACGCUCGGGAAUUAACAGUUCAUUUUGACCGACUUGCAAAUAUAUUCAGGUACAGGCAAUUUCCUUGUUCCGUUUUUCAUCUGUUUGAUUCUAUUUGCAUUGUCAAUUUUGGGACUGAAACCAUUUGCAGAUAUGUAAAUCACCCAGAAGCGGUUGCAGAUGCAAUUCAAAGACUUUGGCCAAUUUUCAAAGCCAUUUUUGAUGUGUAAGAAAGCUGUUUGCUGUAAAUAUUGCUUUCAGGAUAACUCUUUGAUUAUAAACUUCCCUAAUGGUAGUGUUUGAUGAUAUUCACAUAGUCGUGCUUGGGACAUGCGGACAAUGGAGUCUCUUUGCCGGGCUUGUAAAAAUGCUGUAAGUUCAGUAAUCUAUGCCAUCUCCUGCCAAGGGAUUCAAGAAAUCAUUCAUCAAGCUGCCUAUUCCUGAAAAAUGUUGUAGUGACACAACUUCUCCUGUAAAUAUGUGGCGUUUUUCAUAGUCCUUUGAAUGCUUCGUGUUCUUCUCUUCUUUAUUCUUGUGCCUCUUGACAUCUACAUCCGUAGCUGAUUUUUUCUUCUUUCUGUGAAUUUUUGCUGUCUUAUGUUCCUUAAUGUAUGACCUCAAACUGCUUUUAUGUUACUCUUUGAAAUUGUGAUUGAUAAUAUUCCCUACAGCUUAUUUAAAGUGGCCUGUUCUGAACUCUGAAGACAAGGAUGAUCAAGAUUCUAGUCCGAGCCCGACAAUGAGCAAAUGGUAUUAUAACUUUCCUAACUCUGAUGAUUUCAUCCAUUAGGUACGAACUUCUAAGAGGCUCAUGGGGGUUACAAUUGGGGCGAUGCUGGAGGAAAUACAAGGACUAUAUGGACAACACCAUCAGCCGUGUUUCCUUUAUCUCUCUAGUGAAGUCAUAAAGGUAUUUGAGUUCUUUCUUACAUUGCAAAAUUUUAACCAAAUUUGCAGUUUCCAUUUUAAGCAACAGUUGGAACUUCUGCCGCAGAUAUUUGGUUCAGAUCCAUCCUGUGCAAAUUACUUGAAAGUUCUCAUUGAGUCUCUCUUUAGCCAUACAGCAUGUCUUCUUACAAAGAUUCAGGUACAGUCUGUUGCUUUAUUUUGCAUUUCACUGCUAGUUAUGUAAGCUAACUCCGAAGUGUGGUUCACAGGAUUUCACUUCCCGUCCGGAUAUAGCAGAUGAUUGUUUUUUGCUUGCAUCAAGAUGUAUCCGAUACUGUCCUCAACUAUUUUUUCCCUCUACUGUGUUUCCAUCAUUGGUGGAUUGUGCCAUGAUCGGCAUCACCGUGCAGCACAGGUAAGUUCUCUCCAUUUCCUCCUCACCCCAUGAACAUUAUGGCCUGUUUACAUCUAUUUUAAUGUAAAGAGGAAGCUCUGGUUCUACACGUCUAAAGUGAUGAAGAUUUUGUAUUCUGGACAAUAACAUAAAACUGUGAGAAAUGUGAGAUAAAUUGGUAGAAUUUGUGAGGACAAACGUCUUAUGGUUGAAUCUUGGCAGCGCCAAUAAUUUAUCUCUUCAUGUGUAGAAUACAAUUGUUGAGAUAUAUACCUUCGUAGGCAAAAAAUCAAUUUCAUCUAUAACUUUAACAUUUUUAUUUAACUAUCUGAUACAGACCUCAAGCUGGUGGCUGCAUGUCAUACAUGCCAUGUCUGUUACAGAUGUAAUUAGUGCAGGGACUGUAACUGACUUGAUGACUUCUGUGUGAGCCAAUCAUUUAAUUUUAUGAUUUUUGUUAUAGUGCCUCUCAUGAGAGUAUCUUUUCUCUGACAAAACAACAGUAAAUUUUAAUUGCUUGACCUCUUAUUAUGUAAUGGCUUUGGUAUAACAUAAAAUGCAAUUUAAUUAUUUCACACAAGUUGCAUCUGGCUUAGCUCUACCAACUUCAAUUCUUUGAGUAGUUUGGCAGCAUGAGUCCAAGCUGCUGUGGUUGUGGUGCUUUGUACACUAGAUUUUGCAAUCACAUUUUCUUUCUUUCUUUCCUAGGAGAAGUUGCUCCAACUAGAAUGCUAUACUUAGACUUAUAGCGUCCAGCAAAGUAUGUCACCAUCCAAUCUGCACCGGUCAUGUUUGAUUCACGUGGAGUAGUACUUCAUCUGGAGCUUAUUUUAUAUGCUGAAGCCUGAAGCAUGCAUCCUGAUGAGUAUCACUAGAGAAUGAAAUUUGUCGUCCUAACUAGAAAGAUAAUAUUAGGUCUGUCAUUGUGAGGUAGUUUAGUUUACCAACUUUUUAUAUCUCCCUGGAACACCAAGAGGCUCCUCUGAUCUAGUAGAUCACUAAGGGGACCAAAAUCUUAUUUCAUCAUAAAUUGAUUUUCUUCCCUAUGAGUUAGUCUCAAUAAUACCAUGGUUUUUGUGACAUUGACAAAUAUAACUGUCAGAAAAGAGCGGAGGAAAAGGAUUCAUGUAGAUAACUAUAAUCAAGUACCUGAGUGAAUGAUACAAGAACUGAGUCACUGGACACGGCCAGUUUGAUUAGCAUGAACUACUUGAUGAGACAUUAACUGGUCUGAUGCUGAAGGAACACAUAUUCACUGCGUUGGUUGUCAUAUUUUGUUGCAUUUCUCAAUGCAAUAUAAGCAGCAGUUUGUUCCAUAUCAAUAUGGCGCUAUAUUUGUUUCCAAAGUCCAUUGCCUACAAUAUGAAUUACAGAGGCCAAGUACCCAACAUAUUUAGUAAAAGUACACUUGCAGUUGAAUUUUAAUCUGUCAAGCGUAGAAUCAUCUUUUCAUACUCCCUCUGUUUCAAUUUAAGGUGUCUUAGUUUGAUUAGGCACGGAGUUUAAGAAAAUAUGGGAGACUUUUGAAUCUUGUGGCCUAAAACUAAAGAUGUGGGUAAUGUAUCAAGAUUUCCGUUGAAUCUUGUGGUCUUAAACAAACCAUGUAAAAUGGUGGAAUUAAGGAGUUACCAAUGUCAUUCUUUCUGAAACAGACUAAAACCGAAAGUAAGGCACUUACAUUGAAACGGUGGGAGUAUAUCAUUGUCCACUCAUCUAUCUAAUUACUAGAGAACCUAUCUGGAACUGCAAGGAAACUCUGGCCCUUUUAGAUUUGGAUUUCUCUUCUCUAGUAAUUCUAUUAUCUAUUUGGUAUGAUAUUUUAUUAUGUUUUGAUUGUUCUAAAUUUCGAAUUAUUGACUGGAUUGUAGGGAGGCUUGCAAUUCAAUAUUGAACUUUGUAUCUGAUAUAUUCGAUCUUGCAAACUCUACAAACGGAGAAAGUUGCCUAUCCAUAAGGGACAGUGUAAUUAUUCCUCGAGGGCCCACUAUCACCAGAAUUUUGGUUGCUUGUCUAACUGGAGCCCUUCCUAGUUCACGACUAGAAACAGUAAGUACAAAUCAUUAUUUUUUAUAGAACGCAGAUGGGUGAAGAGAAAGGUAGUAUUAGUUUGUUGCAUUCAAGAGUUACUCUGAGCUGUUUUCUUUGUAGGUAACUUACGCUCUACUGGCAUUGACCCGGGCUUAUGGGUUGAAAGCUCUUGAGUGGGCAAAGGAAUGUGUGUCCUUAAUUCCAUCAACAGCUGUUACAGAAUUGGAAAGGACUAGAUUUUUACAAGCCUUGUCAGAUGCAGCCUCUGGAGCAAAUAUGAACGGUCUGGUAGUUCCGAUUGACGAGAUUUCAGAGGUUUGCCGACGUAAUCGAACUGUUCAGGAGAUAGUUCAAGGAGCUUUGAGGCCACUUGAUCUGAACAUAGUAGCUGUAUCAUAGUGGAGAGGGUGCAGAAGGGCCUUUUUUAACCUCUCCCUUCUCUGCAGGCAGUAGUUUUUCAUGAUUCUUUGGAGGCCUUAUUUCAUCGUUUGUCCAUUGUGCGGCUUGGGAAUAUGUACGAGUUAUGCAGCAAAAGGGUGUUGUAUUGUUGUUACUUUUUCUACUUGUGGAAAGUGAUAGAGGAACUCAAGCAGAUGCAGUUCACUUGGUUUGGCUUUUUCACUUUCGGUCCUUUUUCGUUUUGGGGGGGUUUUCUUUUGAGGGUGAGGAGUUUCCAGUUUUGAGGUUUUAAUCCUGGUGUUCAAUAUACAAGCUUCUUGUAUUUGGUAAGAUUUUCCAGUUUACAACUGUGUAUAGAAUGUGCAGUUUCUUUCAGUUCAAUAGAUGAUGAAUGCUUAGUGAAGGAAUGUGGUAUGCAAAUCAAACAUGUUGUUUAUCACCUGUUUUAUUUCACAUUAUGGAGGAUGCAAUCUUACUUUCCUGCUUGGUUUCUCAGAUCUCUAAGUGUUGGUGUUAUAAAUAUAUCUCAUCCAGCUUUUCGUUGGUUAUUGUGUCACUAUAUGGAAUUCGAUAAACUUUACUUUGUGACUUGAAAAAUUCUGUCUUGUUUUGUAAGGUAUGCAACUUUUCUAGAAAAAAGAAGGUAGAUGUUUAAUUUUAUAUGAAACUUAUACUUUGAGCCAGGGGUGAAUUUAUACACUAAAAUUGGGACACAUGAAUAUGUGGUUUCUCCAUAAAAUUAGGUAUUUAUGUAUACAUAUCUUUUUUAAAUGAUUUAAUAUUAUCUGUUGGCAUCCAUCUUACUAGAAGAAGAUUAACUGAUGUAUUUGAUUGAAUGUUGAGUUAUUUGACUUUAUACGUUUCUCUCUUUUAUUUAGUGGUGCACCAAUGUUUUACAAAUCCUAUGGGACAUAUUCCAUAUUCAAAGGACUACUAUUCUCUGAGGCACAUUUUCUUUAAUGAUCGUAAUAACACUAUGAAGUCUGAACUCUACCUAACAAAUAAGUAAUAACAAUAAAUAAUUUAGCUUGCUCCAACUUCUACGUGGGUCUUGAAAUAAAUAAAGAAAAAGUUGAAAAUCCUCUCUUAGAUUUGAGAGUUCCACUCAAAAUCAUCUAUAAUAUUAUAUUAUAUUAUAUUAUAUUAUAUAUAAUAUAGAUAGGAGUAACAUGUAAUACGAAUAGUUCUCAAAAUCUUAAGAAACUGUGCGUAGAGUAUUUCAUAUCAAAUCAAAUAAUUUUAUAUUUUAGUAGUUAAAACUAAAGUGAGAAUAUAUCAGUUGACAUAAUUAAGUGAAAAUGGGUGCAUGCAAAUUACCUAUUCAGGUUCAGUAUAAACGUGAUGUAUGUAUCAAUAUAAACGUGAUAUCAAUAAAUUAUUAGUCCCUAUGUCUCUAAUUAUUUGUCCAUUUUUCAUUUUUAGUUGUCUCUAAUUACUUGUCCAUUUUGACAAAUCAAUAAAGAACAAAUUUUUUUUUUACCUAUUAUCCCCUCAAUUAAUCACUUUGAAAAAUGUAGAACUUCUUGAAAAGCUUAAGUUUUUUUAAUUCAUCUACUUCAUAAUUAGUAGGGAUAAAAUGGUUGUUAAUAAUUAUUUUCUUAAUAGAUGUGUCAAUUCAAGAAUGGACAAGUAAUUAAGAACGGAGGGAGUAUUAUACUACUAAAGAUAACUUUGAAUUUUUUAAUUUAAACUUUUGAUAUGUUAUGAUUAAAAUUAGGGGAAAUGCAUAAGUACCUCCAGCCUAUGCCCAAAAUCUCUGAGACACACCUAACAUUUACUAAGGUCUUAUUACCCCUCCGAACUUAUUUUAUAUAUAAUUUUCUACCCCUUUACGGCCUACGUGGCACUAUCCUUGAAAAAAUUGUCAACACGCGCUGGACCCACAAGAUAGUGCCACGUAGGCCGAAAUGGGGUUGGAAAUUAUACAUAAAAUAAGUUCGGGGGUAAUAGGACCUUAGUAAAGGUUAGAUGUGUCUCAGGAAUUUUGGGCAUAGGCUGGAGGUACUUAUGCAUUUUCCCUUAAAAUUAUAAGAUUUAAAGAACAUUUCGAUACAUGUGAUAUAUCUUUGAUUUAAAAUUGUAAAGAUCAAUAAAAAAUUUUACUUUUUAAAAUUUUGUUAUUUAAUUUGAUCUUAGAUAUUCCCUAUGUCCCUAAUUACUUGUCCACUUUUCUUUUUAUAAUUGUCCCUAAUUAUUUGUCCAUUUUGACAAAUCAAGAAAGGACAAAAUAAUUUUAUCUAUUAUACCCUCAAUUAAUUACUUUGAAAAAAGUACAAUUUCUUGAAAAUCUUAAAUUUUUAAUCCAUCCACUUCAUAAUUAAUAGGGAUAAAAUAGUAAACUCAUUAUGUCAAUAAUUUAUUUCUUAAUAGGUGCGUCAAUUCAAAAGUGGACAAGUAAUUAGGGAUAGAGGGAGUAACAUUUAUGAUGUUUAACUUAAAUACGUGUUCUAUUCAACAUAAUACAAAUUGAGGCGCAUCAACAUAAUUUGGGUUUUUUUUUUUGUUUGUGCCCCAAUAUACGGAAUCAUGGUAAAGCUUCGAUUAAAUUCAGAUCGCAGAGCGCAUGUCCCAUUAAGAAGUGGCGUUGGUCAGCACAAGUUGGGUUUAGAACAAUUUCCUUUUCGUGUUGGAUUUCACUUCCCACUUGCCCCGUCUCUCUCUAUACUUUCAUUUGCCUCUCUCUCUCUUUCAUGUUCAUUCAUGCAUCUGUAAUUUGCAAAAUUCACUGUACCCAUUACUUCUCUGCUGAUAAAUCACGGCUUCCUUCUUCUUCUUCUUCCCCUAAGCAAACACCCUUCAAAGUUGCAACCUUUCACUUUCUUGAUUCUUCUUUUCCAUUAAUUAGUCCCUGCAGAUCCCUGAUGUAGCCCUUUUUCUUUCACAGCCUGCUCUGAGUUCAAUCUCAGCUGGCUUUUCUUGCCUAAACCACAUUCUUGAUUCACAAAAUAGCAAUAGUAAAGAUACAAUCUUUGUUAUUUUGGCUGACCAAUUGAUAAAGGGGUUUCAAGAAUUCUUGUUAAUAUGGCCUUUGCAGCUCAGCAGAAGAAGGCUAUUCAUUCCAUGUUAGCAAACAAGCUGACCCAUCUCAAAAUCCCUGACUCUUCUUCAUCAUCUCCUCCUUCUACUGAUCCAGAUUUUGAUUUUUCUGAUGUAUUUGGUGCUCCUACCUCUUCUUCAUCUCCUUCAUCUUCUUCCAGUUUUCUAACUGACCCACAAAUCAUUCAUAGUAGGUCCCACUCUUUUGUGGGUCCAUCUCCAAGGAUCACUCUCUCAAAGCCUCUGCCUUUUCACCAAGAAGUUGAUUCUGAGAGUGAAAGUGAUAGUGAUAAAGUUAAUACUCAUGUAGGUACUCACCAAACUGAAUGUACUGAUGGGGUUGAAGAGAUUAGUGGAGAUGAGGGGUUAGCUGUAACAAAAUUUGGGCCAGGGGAUUUUGAGAUCUUGAGGAUGAUUGGAAAAGGUUCUUUUGGGAAGGUUUUUCAGGUGAAGAUGAAGGGGUAUGGUGGUGAGGGUGAUGGGAUAUUAGCAAUGAAAGUGAUGAGGAAGGACACGGUAAUCAAGAAUAAGCAUGUGGAUUAUAUGAGAGCUGAGAGGGAUAUUCUCACUAAAGUUGAGCACCCUUUUAUUGUUCAGCUUAGAUACUCAUUUCAGGUAAUAGUUGCUUAUACUGGACUUGGUAAAUUUGUCUAUUCAGUUUCAGAUUAAUGGGUAUAUUUAUCUUAAAUGUAUACAUAAAUAGUCUUACUAUCCUGCUAUUGUUACCACCUAUGUCUUCAUAAAUGUUGUGUUUUUGCUUUCUUUGAGCCGAGUGUCUAUCGGAAAUAGCCUCUCUACCUACACUCACCCUCCCCUGACCCCACUCGUGGGACUAUACUGGUUCUGUUGUUGUUACUUGUUUUUCUUCUUAAUGUACAAGAACAAGAUAAUCUUUUGUAUUAGGAAUUAUUUGGUUUUAAGUCCGAAGCUAAAUUUAGUACUAUGGUAUUUGUCCUUUCAUGUAAUUUUCUGUUACAGAAGUACUUAAAAGGUGAGAGCUUUUCCUUGCCUCUCUCUGUGGGGAAAAGCUUUUCAUAGAAAGAGGAAACUCUUUUGGGAAUCUGUUUGAAUUCUGGUGUCACUCAUUCCUUCUUUUUUGAGCGGGGACAACAUGAGCAAGUUUUGAACUUUAUUAGUACUAGGAAUACUAUUUAACAUCAUUAAUGCUAAUGAAAUUAAUUUCAAGUGGAACUUCUGUUCUUUUUGUCUAGAAUCUAGUCAGAUUGCUGAAUAUUUGAUAGGAUAUUUUAGUAGAUUUAUUUAGACAAUUUCAGAGAAGUUCAUUAACUUUUUCUGUUGCGAUUUUCUUUUUUUAGUUUCCAUUAUUCUUUGCCUUUGAUGCAGAAUUGUCUUUGUUUCGGAAACAAUCUUUCUGAAGAUUUUUUUGGACAAUAUUUGUUUUGAACUGGUAACUUUUGUAUUAUAGACCAGUACUUAGGUAGUACUGGAAAACCCAUUUACAAAUUAAAGUAUGAGAACAAAGAUGCUAAGAAAAUUCAACCCUAACAUGAGUCUAAAACUUUUAGGAUUGAUCUGCAUCUUCAUGGGAGCUCUUUGUACACCAAAAAGAAAAUAGCAAAACACUGUUUCUGUAAAGUGCUACUUCUAGCCUCAAAUAGAAUUCCUUUCUUUCCAGAUUGCGCACCAUAUGCAAGCUGGAAUGAUCCUACGGUAGCUUCUAAUCGUUACCCCAAUCAGCCUUCUCUACAGCUAGAAAGAGUGUCAACAAUCUUGCUAGGCAUUGUCCAAGAUGAUUUUUUUUUUUUUGACAAUUUCAAAGUGAAGUUAAUGAUUUUUUAGAACUUUUGUUGGUUUUUUCUAUUUAGUUCCCAUAUUUCUCGAUGUCUUUUUAAAGCACAGAUUUUGUCUUUCUUUGGUGUACUCAUUGUCAUUGAUUUUGCUACUGUGAUUUGAUUUUCGAAAUCAUAUGCCUUACAGUCUCAGACCAAGCUUUCUUGCCCUAUGAUGUGUUUUUUCUUAUUAACAAUAUCAUUCCUGGGUCAUUUAUUUUGGAAUAUGCUGCAGACGAAGUCUAAGCUGUAUUUGAUUUUGGAUUUUAUAAAUGGAGGACAUCUUUUCUAUCAUCUAUACAGACAAGGGAUUUUCAGGUACCUUUGCAUUUCUUAUUGACUAACCAGUCAUGAUAUGCAUUCUGCUCUUCUAACUUCAGCUCUUGGGUGUGCUUUGGGUAGUGAGGACCAGGCAAGGAUUUAUGCUGCUGAGAUAGUUUCUGCUGUUUCACAUCUUCACCAGAGAGGGAUCGUGCAUCGAGACCUCAAACCUGAAAAUAUUCUCAUGGAUGGUGAUGGACAUGUAAUAGUCUUGCUGUACUCUACUGCAGGAACAUGAUUGAUGCAUGGAAGAAGAAAAGAAAUAAGAAAUACGUAGCAUUUUUCCUUUGAACAUUGCAGUUGAUUCAUUCCUCUUCUUAAGCAUUUCAUUUUCCACCCAGGUCAUGCUGACAGAUUUUGGACUGGCAAAAGAGAUUGAUGAAUCAAGCAGAUCUAAUUCAAUGUGUGGAACCAUGGAAUACAUGGCUCCGGAGAUUAUACAGUCCAAGGGCCACAAUAAAGAUGCUGACUGGUGGAGUGUUGGGGUACUUCUGUAUGAGAUGCUGACUGGUCAGGUAAUCUAAGUACUGGUUGGAACAUUUGUUUGCAGUGUAAUUUUAGGACACUAGAAUCAUGCAGUGUUGAGUAAUGCCAAAGCAUGUGACAAAGCAUAGACAGUUCAACGGACAUUCUCUGGAGCCUAUUUUAUGUGAAAUGUCCUAUAAAUUGCAUUAUUCCUAGACAGAUUUUCCUUUGUAAAUUAGAACACUUUUGACUCUCAUUUCUUUCAGCCACCUUUCACCCAUGCAAAUAGAAAGAAGCUUCAGGAAAAGAUCAUCAGCGAGAAACUGAAACUUCUACCACGUCUGACUGGUGAAGCUCACUCUCUGCUCAAAGGAGUAUGUACAAACUAUCAAUUGACUGCUUGCCCAUACUUUCUUAGAUAAGUGAUUGUAAUUCAACUGAAUGAAAACUUGCAAUUUUUUCCCGUAGUUGCUACAGAAGGACCCAUCCAAAAGAUUAGGCAGUGGACCAAGAGGAGGGGAUGAGAUCAAAAGUCACAAGUGGUUCCGCACAAUCAAUUGGAAGAAACUUGAUGCCAGAGAACUACAGCCUAAGUUCAAACCAGAUGUAAUUGGCAGAGAUUGCACUGCCAAUUUCGACAAAUGUUGGACUACAAUGCCACCGGAUGACUCACCAGCAUCUACUCCGACAACAGGCGAACACUUUCAAGGUUACACUUAUGUAGCACCAAAUCCUUGGCUCUCCUCUAGUUGAUUUAAGUCUUUAUCUUGACAAAAUUUCGAACUCUUAGUUUGCUAUUGUAAGUCAUUCUUUGUUAGAGAGAGGAUCAUGAGAAAUGUAUGGAUCAGAUUGUAUCAUGGUAAAAGCAAAUCUUUCUAACUCUUUUUGUGUACUGCUGUAAGUUCAUUCUUCUCUAUGGACAAGAUGUGAAUCAAUCAAUUGACUUUGAUUGUGUAGCCCUUUUCUUUACCUGCUCUUCUAUGCUUCCUCUUAACCUCAUCUAUUCGAUGCUCUCUGGAAAUUAUAAAUUCUUUUAUUAUUUUGUACUGCAAGAGAAUCUAAGAAUGUGUUCACACUUUUCACUCAUGUGAUGAUUUAGUCCCUAUAUUUCAAAUUCAAAUCAGUAUUGAAAAUUAAUCAAAGUUGUUCAGUAUUCAAGAACUCUAAAUGAUUAAUGAGAAAUAGCUGAAAUAAAACCAUUACAAAUAUGUACACUGGGGAGCUGAAAAGAGAGGAUGUUCCAGGGCUUUGUUGCAUUCUAGAGAAUAGAAAAUGCUAAUGAGUUCUGCAUAUGGUUCAACAAUUUAAUAGAGGAGCAAAUUGAGGGUAGUGUUGGUGCAUUAGUGGAGUAUAUGAGUAGAUAUCCUUCAGGGGAAUGAAUUGGCUUUUGAUUUUUCUCCUUAUAUGUUUCCUUUGAUUGUGGAUGUCUGUGGGAGGGUCUGCCUGAUUGUUUUACAGGCUUGCACAAUCUUAUGCGGUAGUAGUUGAGAAAAGUAGAAGAAGGCGUAUUCUCAACUACUAGUUCUAGAAACUAUUGCGACAUCAAAUGAGUCAACUAGAAAAAUUGCAUUCAAUUUUGUGAUGAGUAAUGUAGUGCUCUUUUGAACUAUGUUAGGGCAUAACUCUAGUCAUUUUUAUUUAUAUGAAUGAAUAGAUGAGUGUCAUUCUAAUAAAUGGAAAUGUUAAAGUUGUCUAUAGUUAUUAGGUAGUAUGAAAUUUUGAAAGAUGGCUUUUUCUUUUAUUUCUUCUGCCUGAAUAUCAGAUACACUCUCUUUGUACCUUGUCCGUUACUGAUUCUGCUUACUAUUUCAGUAUGUGCAAAUUAUCAUCUUUCGCUAUUUAUAGCUCAAGAAAUGCUAUACAUCUCGCUUGUAUUUGACCAAGCUCCUCCAGCAUUUUGUUUUUGCUCUCUUUCCUCGAGUUAAUACCAACUAUAACAUGAAUAAAUAAACUGAUCAAACUUCUGUAUUAGACUUUGCAAGAGUUUUUUGUACUUCCAUGUGAAUUAUUUCCCUUGGAACCUGAGACUGUCAUUAAGUAGGUUUUUGAAAGGAAGAACUGAACACAUGCCAAAAUAAGCAUCCAUAGAUCUACCUUCCUAUACUAUGGUGUUUAUCUUGGAAAUGAACUGUUAACAGUUGAGGGAUGUGACGUUUUUUUCUGUUAACAACAGUGUAGAGUUAUCUCAAAUUGGUGAGAUGUUUAAUGGUAUCACUCCGGAAAGGGAUGAAAUAUGACAUGGUUAUUAAAAUAUGAACCAUAUAACCAUGUGGAGCAAAAGUUUUGUCGUUAUAUAAGUUCGAUCUGCUCCUUUCCAAAAUAUGCUGGCUUCAGUGUACUUCUAUAAGGCACACUUGUGAACUGUCAUUUGAAUGGUUUCAGUACAUAUCCAUUAUCUAGAUAUUGUGGAAAAAGUUGCAUAAAGGUUGGAAUCAGUGGAAGAGCACUGGUGAGUGGUGACUACUUAAUGAAACUUAAAUAAAUUAUAGCUUCAUAUGGUAUAUGGAAAGUAGAAAGGCAUCUCAUUCCAGUUACUUUUAAGUGGAUAAGUUAGUUUGUGCUCAUUAACAACCACCUGGUUUGUUGUGUGUGCGUGGGGGGGAGGGGGGGUGNNNNNNNNNNNNNNNNNNNNNNNNNNNNNNNNNNNNNNNNNNNNNNNNNNNNNNNNNNNNNNNNNNNNNNNNNNNNNNNNNNNNNNNNNNNNNNNNNNNNNNNNNNNNNNNNNNNNNNNNNNNNNNNNNNNNNNNNNNNNNNNNNNNNNNNNNNNNNNNNNNNNNNNNNNNNNNNNNNNNNNNNNNNNNNNNNNNNNNNNNNNNNNNNNNNNNNNNNNNNNNNNNNNNNNNNNNNNNNNNNNNNNNNNNNNNNNNNNNNNNNNNNNNNNNNNNNNNNNNNNNNNNNNNNNNNNNNNNNNNNNNNNNNNNNNNNNNNNNNNNNNNNNNNNNNNNNNNNNNNNNNNNNNNNNNNNNNNNNNNNNNNNNNNNNNNNNNNNNNNNNNNNNNNNNNNNNNNNNNNNNNNNNNNNNNNNNNNNNNNNNNNNNNNNNNNNNNNNNNNNNNNNNNNNNNNNNNNNNNNNNNNNNNNNNNNNNNNNNNNNNNNNNNNNNNNNNNNNNNNNNNNNNNNNNNNNNNNNNNNNNNNNNNNNNNNNNNNNNNNNNNNNNNNNNNNNNNNNNNNNNNNNNNNNNNNNNNNNNNNNNNNNNNNNNNNNNNNNNNNNNNNNNNNNNNNNNNNNNNNNNNNNNNNNNNNNNNNNNNNNNNNNNNNNNNNNNNNNNNNNNNNNNNNNNNNNNNNNNNNNNNNNNNNNNNNNNNNNNNNNNNNNNNNNNNNNNNNNNNNNNNNNNNNNNNNNNNNNNNNNNNNNNNNNNNNNNNNNNNNNNNNNNNNNNNNNNNNNNNNNNNNNNNNNNNNNNNNNNNNNNNNNNNNNNNNNNNNNNNNNNNNNNNNNNNNNNNNNNNNNNNNNNNNNNNNNNNNNNNNNNNNNNNNNNNNNNNNNNNNNNNNNNNNNNNNNNNNNNNNNNNNNNNNNNNNNNNNNNNNNNNNNNNNNNNNNNNNNNNNNNNNNNNNNNNNNNNNNNNNNNNNNNNNNNNNNNNNNNNNNNNNNNNNNNNNNNNNNNNNNNNNNNNNNNNNNNNNNNNNNNNNNNNNNNNNNNNNNNNNNNNNNNNNNNNNNNNNNNNNNNNNNNNNNNNNNNNNNNNNNNNNNNNNNNNNNNNNNNNNNNNNNNNNNNNNNNNNNNNNNNNNNNNNNNNNNNNNNNNNNNNNNNNNNNNNNNNNNNNNNNNNNNNNNNNNNNNNNNNNNNNNNNNNNNNNNNNNNNNNNNNNNNNNNNNNNNNNNNNNNNNNNNNNNNNNNNNNNNNNNNNNNNNNNNNNNNNNNNNNNNNNNNNNNNNNNNNNNNNNNNNNNNNNNNNNNNNNNNNNNNNNNNNNNNNNNNNNNNNNNNNNNNNNNNNNNUUAAUCACGUGGAUAGCUUAUAUGAUCAUCAGAUAUUGUUUCUUUAAGGGUUAGCUCUUGUCACUGUGUCUCAAAAGUCUAUUAUUGCUUAUAGAUACCAGAUAGGCAAGCAGCAUAUAUUCCUUUUAUUCUUCUGAGUUCCAUUUGGACACAUAGAAAAUAGAGAAAACAUCUUAUUGCAUGAAUGGGAAAAGGAUUUAGCACUAAUAAAGUUACUGUUAGGAUGGAUGAAACUUAAGGGAGAUUCCUGUCUUUUUUUUUAACAACACAAAUGAGUAAUCAGCUGAGGUUAUACUCUACUACCCUACAAUGCUUUAGAAGCAAGUUUCUUUAGCUUUAUACUUAUAUAUAUAUAUAUAUAUAUCCAUCGUCGUUGGCUUGUCAUAUAUGUAAUCACCUUCUCUGUUCUUGAAAGUAUUUUGGCAGUUAAGAAUUUGUAGCAUUUGCCAUGAAGAACAAAAGCAGAAGCAACAACUCCCUCUGUGAGAAGUCAAUGAAGAUGGUAACAAAUGUCAUCCGGCUAUCGUCAUUCUCUAUUGCCAGGAUGAGCCUUGGAAUCGCAACAGAACCAGCACCAGGCGGUAAAAUUCCUGCAUCAUACCCUGCAACAUUCAUCAAAGGCUCACCAACAGCACAAUUCCCUGAGAGCUUAAGGUCACAGGAGCCAGUGAACGUCAAAAAACCGACUGCCUACCUUAUUGAGCCAACUGAAAAUGGUAAAUCCUCCUUGUAUGCAGUUAAUGAUAAGAGUGUAGAUGGUAGGGCCUCUGAUUACAUUAGAAGAGUGCAUGAGAAGAAUCGUCAUGAUUCAAACGAGGCAAUGAAACUUUCUGCAUUCAUCAUUCCACCUCCACCUCGUUUCGUGUAGUCAUAUUUUGUACUACUAACCAUGUGUUUAUUUCCAUCUUCUACUAUUUCGCGUAGCAUAAUUGUCUUCAUCUAUCUUGGAUAAUAUGCUUUGCUUCUCUUGAGAACAAGCUUAUGAUUAGUGCCAUAGUGAUGAAAAAUCUUCUCCUUCUGUCACUUUGGGCUUUGUCUACUGAAGGCUUUUGUUCAUAAGAAGCUUGCAUCUUGAUAUUGAUCUUCUGUCUGUCAUAUAAUCAAUUAAAUCAAAUUAGUUGGAGUUUGUUAUAUGAAUCAUAUCCAUUUUAUUCAAGCAUAUCUCAUUCUGAUAUUAAACAAGUUGUCUUUUAGGUGAAUUAAGGUUUCUCCAAAACUAUAAAUUUCUAUUUUCCUGCACUUAUUUUGUUAUUUACAUACUAUAAGUUUCUACAUGGAAUAUUAAGACUCCAAAAAGUUGGUUUUGCUUAUAUAGAUCCUACUGUGUUAUGUUUUUAGCUAUGUUAUUCUUGCACUUAUGACAUGGAGGUCUAUGUAGAAUAUGACCAAACCAGGAUAUAACAGUGUAGUAUCAAUUAAGAUGGGGUCGGUUCUUGAUUAACAUCCUUUAGACUCUAUCGUAUGUGACCUUAUCUUAGUUUUCCUCUAUGUGUGCUAUUUGCAACGCCUGUCAUAUAUAACCAAUAUCUUUAAUAUUACGCGUUCAUCUUCAACUUGUUGGGACUUAAAGACCUAUUUCCAAAAAUGUUUUUGCUCUCUUAACAAUCACUUUUUUAGGUAUCUUUCUAACGUAUAACUUAGAUAUUUGUAUUGUAUGCAGUUCACCAAAAUCCUGUAAAUUCUUGUGGGAUGAUGUGUUCUUACUUUUAUUUAGUCGGUAACUAUUCCUUCGUAUUUAAUCCGAGAUGGAAAAUAAUAUUAUCUUUUAUAAAAAGCACAUUACCCAAGUAAAUAAAAGUUUCCUUAGAGGGAAUAAAUGCAUAUAUGUGGUCAAGUGGCAAGAGAAUAUUGUUGAAGAAAAAAUGGGAAUAUCUUUCUUUCACUCUACAAAUCCUCACCUUAUCUGUUGGUCUCAAAUAGAGAACCUUAUUUAUUGCGUGUAAACGUGACGAUCUGUAAUUCACCCUUGCCAAUAUUUAAAUGCAUUUCCAUAACAAAGCAUUUUUUUUUAAUAAUGAUGGUAUCCGAGUUAACUUGUACUCAUGACAUAUGAUUUUUCUAUUAGUGUAAAUAUUGAAUAACUAUAUGCUUCAAAUUUUAAAUAAAUAAAAAUCAAUCACCUGAUUUUAUUUUUUUUAUUUUUUAGUUUUGUGUGUAAUUUGAAUUUCUGAUCUAAUAUGAUCACCAUUUCCAGCUUCAUUGACCACAAAUGCACAAAGAAAACACAUAUUUGAGUGCGGGGACCAAUAAUACUGGAACCACUACUCAAAAGAUUUAUUUGUUUGCUUGUUUAUUUAUCGUUACCAAAAUAUUUCAACUUUGACCUAUUUUUAUUUUUAUUUUCAUUAUCAACGAUCAAUAAUUGAUGACACUCAUAAGCAGCAUUGCCAACUUAAUAGUACUGGUGUUUCAACUCAUUUGACAAUAAGUACAAAAAAGGUUCUAUCGUGUCUACUCUUCUUUUAGGAGUGUAUUCGAUCAAUUAUUUUAGAAAAAUGUAUAUCAAAUUGGUUUUUAAAUUACUCUAUCAUGUCUAAUCAAAAUUAAUCCCUCCGUUUAAAAAAGAAUGACCUCUUUUCUUUUUUGGUAACAUUUUAAUUUCAGUUUUUCACCUGGCAUGUUUAAGGCUAUACAUAAAAAGGGCAAUUUUAUACAUUUGACAUAAUUUUAAUUUAGGACCACAAGAUUCAGAAAUCUUCUUUACUUUCUUAAACUCCAUGUCAAAUCAAACUGGACCAUUCUUUUUAAAACGGAUGGAGUAAUUUUUUUUGAAAACGUGUCAAUCUAUAAUAUCGUUAAAAAUUAUGUAAUGACCUGUCCCAUAAGGAUCGAUUUCCAUCCCCGUUUUAGGCAAAACUAUUGGCAGCCCUAGAAUACAGUAGGAAUCAAGAAAAUCAUAUAAUUGUUGCCUAACACAUGCACGACACUCUAACCCAAUCAGGAUUUUGGAUAACGUUAUCACAUGGCCAGUUCAUACAACCACAUACAUAUAUCUAUAGCCUAUAGGACCACGAACAUACAUAUAUCUAUAGCCUAUAGGACCACGAGAAAAAAUCAUUUUGGCCAGAAAAUUUUGAGCAUAUUUACACUAUAAACAGGUUUACUUUUUGAUAUUUUUAUUCUUAUUUAAAUUUAAAUUUAAAUUUAUUAAUUAUUUUUUAAUACAUGAAAAGUUUCCCAAUACAUGGGGAAUAAACUUGUUCCCGGAUUCUCAUAAUUUCCAUAAAUACAUGUUAAUUUCAAUUUCUUUUAAAAAGGCAACAAAAUGAUUGCCUUAGUAAUUUCUUUUCUUCCCUCUACUUUCCAAUAUAAAUUAUAAAGAACACAAAUUUAAAAUUUACAAUUAAGAAAUAAAAUUUAAAAUUUAAAUGGCAAGAUAAACACUAAUAAUAUUAAAUUUAAAAUAAAUUUAUCUCACACUCAAUUCAAAUUCAAGAUUCAUAAAAUAACUUAACAAGUAAAAUUAUUAAUCAAAAGUGUCAUAUAUACUGGCCAUUUAUAUACUACUACUACUACUACUAAUAAUAAUAAUAAAUUAUAUUUCUCAACUUUGUGAUUUAGAGAUAAUAUAUUUUUUGUUAAAAGAAAGUGGCUCACAUCUAUUUCAAUUGUUACAUAUAUAUUACCAAAAAAAAAAAAUUAUUACAUAUAUAACUUUGAUAUAGCUAAAAUCUUUUUUAGCUGACGGAAGUGAAAAAAUUGAUUCAAAAUUAUUUCUGAUAAAAUAAAAAUUACACAAGGUAUGUUUGACCCUUCUCGCAAUAUUUUGAGGUAUGUUUGAAGAGCUAAGAUCAUUUUUGGCUGACGGGAGUGAAAAACUUAUUAAAUUUUUUUAACAAAAUAAAAAUACAAAAGGUAUAUUUGACCCUUCUCGCAAUAUUUCGAGGUAUAUUUGAUCAUCUUCGUACAUGAAUUUUUAUCCUUUUUUUUUAUCUUCUUUAAUUCAAUGACUAAUUUUGAUUUACUAUGUUGAUGAUCAAAUUUAAUUUUUCACUCAUCUUAUUGCAAAGUCUAUUAUAGAUGCAUCAACAUUUUUUACAACUAAAAAAUAAAAUUCAAUAUAACCGCAAAAAAAUUAAUUUUAGUUUGCUUUUUUUAAAAAAAAAAUCAUUUUAUUUUCGUUCACUAUUUCUUUUUAUUUCUCAUGUUUUCCACACUAAAGAAUGAAAGCGAAAAAUUAAAUAGGAACAACAAACUCAAAUAAUGAUAAACAAAUAUAUUCAUGAGGGAGAUAAUUAAGACACAAAUUAACCGUUGAAUUAAAAAAACUCAAAAAUAAAAUCACGUGAAAAAACUAUCCGAUUUACCUCUAUAUGAAUAAUGUUUGAUUAAAUAACUAAAAUAAAUAAAUUAAAAAUCCAAAUUUUAACUUUCGUUAGUCAAAAGUGGAUAUAUGAGUUAUUUAAUUUGCACAUGUAACAGUAAAAGUAUAUGUGACAUUUUUUUUUACGAAAUAUAUAUUAUAUCUAUAUCACAGAAUUAAGAAGUACAUCAAAUCUUUUUCUCCUAAUAAUAAUUCAACAUAAUCUGCACAAUAUUAUUAUUAUGAAGAUCAAACAAACAAUGUGGUAUAGUAAUGAAGUCUAAAAAAUAGUUUGAACCUUAUUUGAUUAUUCUAUAUCAAUGUUAGUAUUAUAUUAAAAAGAGAGUAGUCAAUCUUGAUAUUAAGACAAUUAUAUUAUAAGAACUGACUUUCGUAAUUCAAGACAUCACUACAAAAAAUGCAUUAUUAUUAAUAGUUAUUUAAAAUAUCUAAGUCCCAAAAUUAUAUUAUUAUUUUUCUGAAAGAAAAACACACACGAUGUAUGAACGAUUAAUUAAUUAAUGAAGAACCGUAUUAAUCAUUAUCAUUCAAUUGUAAAUUUCAAAAUCCACAUUUAAUUUACUAAAGUAUAUUGUAUAUUGCUGAGAAUUUCCGAGAAUAACGUGUUAAUGUUAAUUAUAGUAUUGAACCAACACCAUAUUACGUCAAUUUGAUAACUUAUAGAUCAUUACUCAUAUUUGUUAUUAAUAUAUUAAUAUAACGUAUUAAAGAUAUCUAUAUUCAUUGUGAUUUUCAAUGGAAAACUACUUUCCCUUUACUUAAUGAUACUAGCAGGGGUUUUGUUUGAUGUUAUAAAUAAGAGUAGCAUUAAAUAGGUACCACAAAGCAUGACAUAUUUCUGGUCUGUACAAAUCAGGACCAAAAGUGUAGUCAAUUAAUCACCACAUGGAUAUCAUAAACUUUUCCUCAAUAUAUAAGAUUAAUAUAAUUAUGAACCCAGCUUACUCACUCUUGUCCUAGUUUUUUCUUCUUCUUUUUUUCUCAAGAGAUCCUUUGAUCUCAUGCCACACGGAUGAUGCUUUCUCCAUUACUGAAACUUGACAUCACGUUAUAUGCCGAGUGUCUAGUAGAUGAUGCUUGUCCCUGAUCAAGUGACAAUGAUAAUCUCAGUGACAAAGACGAUGGCUCAAUUGUUGAGUUGUGGUUGGCGUUAAGGUCAAUUGCUGUUGAUGGAUUAGGCAUUGAAAACAUAGGAACAGGACCAACUAGCAUCGGUGAAUUCCCAUGAUCAUGUCGCAACAGAGUUGGAUACUCUCUUGACUUGUCAAUCUGUACUGGAAAUAUGAUAGGACCAACAGUUGGUGCCACCGGAAAUGCAUUGGUUUUGGUAGUUGGUAAUGUUGCUGGUGCUACAACUGGGAUUUCUUGCUUAUUUUCCACCUCUUCUAUUGGCAUUACUGAUACCUGUUUGUCAAAGAAAGAGAACCUUAGAAAUGGAUAUCCAUCCAAGUGGCAAAGAUUUCAGUUUGUAUUCAAUAUUUUUAUCUUUUCCACAAGGCAAGUAUAAACAAAGAACUUGACACCAAUGAAAAAGAAUCUUUUAGAGAAAAGACACAAAAGAAUAACAACAAAACCCAGCACCAAUAUCAAUUCAAAACAAGAAAAACGAACGAAUCAAAUUACAACUCCUUCUGUUAAAGAGUGAUAAGAUCGAAGUACUAAAAUCAAGCCAUCUAAUUUUCUAUCUCUAUACACAAUCACUUACCACCUACUCAAAUGAACUUCACUAAUACAUGGCAAAAUGAGAGAAAAUAUAAUCAUAGUAAUUAAAAGUUGCUCGAGUAAUAAUAAGGGUGAGAAACAAGUUUGAUAAAUGGAAGACGUGAAGAAAAAAUAAAUACCGAGUCAGUGGUGAUAUCAAAGAGGCUAGAUCGACGGCGGCGACGGUUGAGGUUGCUUCGCCGGAGGAAGUAUUUCUGAGCAUGACUUGCAACCUGAGUCGGUGUGCGAGUCUUUACGAAGUUACGAGAGAUUCCUCUCCAGUCUCCUUUUCCCACUUUCUGCAAUCCUAAAAGGAAUAACUUAUGCUCUUCCUCUGUCCACGGAACUCCUAAUACAAACAAAAUCAACGCUACUUCAUCAGAAAUCAAUUUCUAUGGAUUCAAAGCUUAGCAGGUUGGAUCAAAACCAUAUUUAUGGUCCUGAAAUCUAGACAGAGGGAAAACGAGUUCCCUUUUACAGAAUCUAAUCUUUUUUUAGGAAUUCGAUCAUCAUUUAUGAAACUAAUUUCAAACAAUUACAUAUAAAUCACAUGAUUAAACUAUGAAUUUGACUCUGUACAAAACAAAUUAGGAUAGAAGAGUAUAACUCAAAAAUUUGUGCAUAACAGAGAAAACGAUCGAUGAAUCUAAUAGAAACUUGACUCAGAGGAGACAUUAAUUGACUAAUCACUGACAGAAAUAACCGAAUCGAAUGUAAAAUGAAGACUAUCAUAAAAACACGGCGAAUAGCAACAAAAAUAGAAGAGGAUCGGAGAUCUCACCUCUCUUACGCUCGCGACCACUGUUGGACUGAUGUUGAACAGCGUCAUCUGCAGAGGCAUAACCUUCAUCCUGAGCCACUUUAGAGGAUUCAUUGUUAUCACCGCCGUUGUUGUUGUUGUUAGCAUUCGGUUGCUCGUACUGUGAAAGAUCGUUUAGACUCACGCUCUUCCUCAUAGGAUCCACUUUUACUCUCACACCAAACAACAUGAUUUCUCCUCCAAAACCGCCGCCGGUAACUGCCGGCGUCGACGACGACUUAUCGCUGUAAACGCUCGACAUCGUUCUGGAAGUUUCCACGAAUCAAUAAAAAAUCAAUUGAUACAAAGUGGUGAUGACUAAACAUACACUCCGUCAAACGGAAACCGUACACACCUAUUGAAAUUGAAAUUGAAAGGAAGAAAGAAGCGAAUAAAGCGGAACGGAGAGUGUAUAGAGAUGUGGAAAUAUAUAGAGGGGGUGAGAUGGUGAUAAGGACCACAUGAUGAUAAUAAUAAUAAUAAUUAAAAAAUAAUAAUAUUUGUAUCGUAUUGUAUCCUACUCUAUUGUCUCAAUGAAAAUAUUAUUUAGAUAGAUUAUAUCGUCAUGUGAUAAACCUAUCAAAAAAGUAAGAUAUGAGUAGAGCUACUGUGAAAAAGUAGAAUAAAAGAUGAAAUAUGAUUAUUAAAUAAUAUAUAAAUACAAAAAUGAAAAAAUAAAUAUUAAGAUAACGAUGUUAAGUAACAACCAAAACAAAUAAAGUAUUGUAUUUAAACUAACGACACAAUAUAAUGUAGAAAAAUGACGAAUAUAUCCCGAACUAUCGUAAAUGGUAUGCAUAUAUCCUCCGUCAUAAUUUUGGGAUAUUGAUGCCCCUGCCAUCCAAAAAAUAGAGUGUAUAUGUCCUUCACUCUAACGGAAGACUAAAUAGGGACACAUGGCGCAAUCUUAUCCGUCGAUCCAAUAUUUAAUAAAUGUUGAUUGAUAGAUAAGAUUAUGACACGUGUAUGUCCGUUAGUAUAAAGGGUAUAUAUGAUCUAGUUUUUGGACGACAUGGAUACCAAUGUCCCAAAAAUAUGAUGAAUGAUAUCUGCAUACCAUUUACGAUAAUUCGGGAUAUAUUUAUCAUAUUUCCCUAUAUAAUGUAAUACAACGGAUAACAUUCUCCCCCAUUAAUAAGUAUUGAAAGUUGAGAGUAACACGUGGCAAUAAUUUAACGGUUUAUCCGAAUCUUCGGUGGAGCUGAGUCUGAUUUUUACGGGAAGUUUCAACCAACUCAUAUAGAAUAGAGGGGCAUACCAUUUUUUAUGUGGAUGGGCCUAUCCACUUACUCAAUUUCCAUUUAUUUUUUUUUAUAUUCAAUGUUGAUAUUAGGGGUGUACAAACCGAACCAUAAAGUCAAACCGAACCGAUGAACCAAGUCAAACCGAGAAAAAAAACCGACUUAUGGUUUGGUUUGAUUGGUUUGGCGUUGAAAAAAAAAAACCGACCAUUCUUGGUUUGGUUUGGUAUUAAUAAAAAAAAAGUCAAACCGAAUCCAACCCAAACCGACAUAAUACAUAUAUAAUUUUAACUUUUUAUACAUAAAAAUAUUUAUAUAAUCUAUUUUAUAAAUAUUUUAAAUUUAGUUUUAUUAAUUUUCAAUAUGUACAAAUUAGAUAUAUAUUCAGAUUUGAGCUUAUAACUUGUAAUUGGUGAAAUGAUCCAUCAAUUGGUGAAAUGAUCCAAGCCCAAUAUAAACCUAAAAGUUAAAACUCUAGAAACUAGUCAUAUUCUCAUUUCUCACUAUCCACUUUGCAAUCUUUCCACUUUCCCUAGAGCUGCUCAAUCUUCAUCUGCUCAUUCUUCUCAUUCAUCUGCUUGUCUAUAGAUAGUCAGGUAUGUUUUUCUUUUUCUUUUUCUUGCAAAUGUAAAUUUAUCAAUGAAGUUCGUCACUUACUUUUUCUUGCAAAUGAGUAACUUUAUUUUGAAUCGUUGUUGGCUGCUGCUACAAGUCUUAAUUUUUUGUGUUUUGCUUCCUUAGAUGGAGAAUACGGCUGGAACUGAUGUAGAAAUGAUAAUCGACAGUCCUCCGGUUGUAUCAAUACCUCAAAAGAAAGGUAAAAGCACUCCUCAUCUCCGCACUCCUCCUAAAAAGCAAAAAAGAACAACCCCAAUAGAUUCCAUUCCUACAGAUGGUAAUACUGGGAGAGAAACGUCACAAAUUUGGGAUCACUUUGCUAAAUUUAUUGCUAAAGGAGGUAAACGAAGAGCAAAAUGUAACUAUUGUGUAAAACACUUUGCUGCUGAGACAAAAACAAAUGGAACCUCUGUAUUGUGGUCACAUUUAAAUGACAAAUGUCUCAAAUCUCCCUUUAGAUUUGUUGAUAGAAGGCAAACAACUUUGAAAGCUGUACCAAUCAAAGUAGGGGGACAAGAAAAUGGAACAAGUUCUAUAGAAAAGGUUGUGUACAAUGUGGAGGAUAUCAGGAGGGCCAUCGCUGAAUUUGUCAUUAUUGAUGAACAACCAUUUAAAGUUGUUGAAGGGGAAGGUUUUAAAAAAUUGAUGGCCAAAGCUUUGCCUAAUUUUGAAUUACCUUCACGGGUAACUGUGGCUAGACAUUGUUUGAAGAUCUAUCAAGAAGAGAAAGAGAAGCUUAAAAAACUUGUCAAGAAUCAACACAUAUGUAUUACUAGUGAUACAUGGACAUCACUUCAAAAUUUGACUUAUAUGGUCGUGACUGCUCAUUGGAUUGAUGAUGAAUGGAACUUACAGAAAAAGAUUCUUAAUUUUUUCCAAACUCCGGAUCACAAGGGUGAGACUAUGACACUAACAUGAUGGGUGAAGUUGAUGAUAUAUUGCAUUCUCAAUGGGAGAAACAUUUAGAAGAUGAGGAAAACAUUGGAAAAAAAUCUGAGCUUGAUCAAUAUUUGAUGGAUAAUGUAGAGAAGCCAAAAGAUUUUAAUAUCUUGACUUGGUGGAAAGCUUCAUCGAAUAGAUAUCCAACUAUUUCAAAAAUGGCAAGGGAUGUUCUUUCUAUUCCCGUGUCCACUGUUGCAUCUGAAUCAGCCUUCAGUACAGGUGGUCGUAUUCUUGAUUCAUAUCGGAGCUCUUUAUCACCAAAGACAGUAGAAGCUCUUAUUUGCACUCAACAAUGGAUACGGUCACCUUCUAAAGAAUGGAAGGUUCAAAGAUUAUUUGGACGAAGUUCAAAAAAUUGAAGAAGUUGAAAAAGGUAAUUUACUAAUUUAAUUCUUAAUUCUCCAUCUUUGAUAUUAAUUUUCUACUUUGAAAACAACUUUAUGCUAGUUGCUAUCUAACAAAGUUGAGUUGACAAAUGACUCAAUAUCUAAUUACUCAUUUAUGUGCUAAUAAUUCUUUUCCUUACAGAAUGUCCAGGUGCUCCUUUGAGUAUCGAUUAGUUUAAUGAAGUAGCUUUUUGCAAAUCUUUUGAUAUAUAGGUAUUUCCUUUCCCUUUAUUGAAAUAGCGUUUUACAGUUCUUUAUUAUCUAACAAAGUUAAUUUUACAAGUCUAGUUACUCGUUCACGUGCUGAUAAUUUUCUUUCUUUCAGAAUGUAUGUCUAGGUGACCUUUUGAGUAUAUAUUAGUUUGGAUGAAGAAAAUAUGCAGCUGGAUCUUGGUAGUUGAAGAUUAUUGGAGUAGUUUUGCAAUUCUUUUGUUGGGUUUUUAAGAGAAUAUUUUACAAACAUUAUGUGAAGUUCUGUGUUUUUAAUUUUCAAUGUUAAAUAGACUUAUUUUUUAUAAGAUAUUUGCUCUUGUUGAUCAUGUGAGGAUCUUGAUAAUCAAAAUUUGUAGAAAUCAGAUUGAAAUGAAAUGGUUAUUGAGCAGUUGUCAGGUGGCGUUUCUCUUCGUAUCUUCUUCUAUCUCGAUGUGUUGUCUUCUGAUGUUAUAAAAUCCUCAUUCUCUAGUUGUUUGCUUUAGUUUUCUGUUAGGUUGAUGAUGUCUUAGCGUGAUGGGUAUUGUAACACAUAUCUGUCAAACAAAUAUGUAAGCAAUUCUUGUAGAAUAAAGGCAAUUCUUGUAGAUAAGUGUAAGCAAAUAUGUAAUCAAAGAGUUUAAGUAAUUAUGUAAUUAUGUAAUCAAAGAGUUGAUUACAUAUUUGAGUUGACCUAUUUGGUGAGGAAACUGAAGAGGAAAAGAAGGCUGCUGAAGAACGUGCUGCAGCAUUGAAGGCUUCAGGGAAGAAGAAAGAAUCUGGUUUGACAGAUGUGUGUUACAGAUGAAAUGAUUUUGUUUGACAAUAUUUGCUUGGUCUGUGUUGAAUUGGCCAGAAAGCAAAUAGUUGUCCAAAUGUAGAAUAAAGGCAAUUCUUGUACUAAAAACACCUCUAGCUUGUACAAAAUGAAGAUGGAUAGAUGAAUAUUGGCUUCUCCUAUUGUAAAACCUAAACACUCUUUAAAAAAACCGAUAAAACCGAAAGAACCGAAUAAAACCGAAAGAACCGAAUAAAACCGAAAGAACCGAAUAAAACCGAAAGAACCGAAUAAAACCGAAAGAACCGAAUAAAACCGAAAGAACCGAAUAAAACCGAAAGAACCGAAUAAAACCGAAAGAACCGAAUAAAACCGAAAGAACCGAAUAAAACCGAAAGAACCGAAUAAAACCGAAAGAACCGAAUAAAACCGAAAGAACCGAAUAAAACCGAAAGAACCGAAUAAAACCGAAAGAACCGAAUAAAACCGAAAGAACCGAAUAAAACCGAAAGAACCGAAUAAAACCGAAAGAACCGAAUAAAACCGAAAGAACCGAAUAAAACCGAAAGAACCGAAUAAAACCGAAAGAACCGAAUAAAACCGAAAGAACCGAAUAAAACCGAAAGAACCGAAUAAAACCGAAAGAACCGAAUAAAACCGAAAGAACCGAAUAAAACCGAAAGAACCGAAUAAAACCGAAAGAACCGAAUAAAACCGAAAGAACCGAAUAAAACCGAAAGAACCGAAUAAAACCGAAAGAACCGAAUAAAACCGAAAGAACCGAAUAAAACCGAAAGAACCGAAUAAAACCGAAAGAACCGAAUAAAACCGAAAGAACCGAAUAAAACCGAAAGAACCGAAUAAAACCGAAAGAACCGAAUAAAACCGAAAGAACCGAAUAAAACCGAAAGAACCGAAUAAAACCGAAAGAACCGAAUAAAACCGAAAGAACCGAAUAAAACCGAAAGAACCGAAUAAAACCGAAAGAACCGAAUAAAACCGAAAGAACCGAAUAAAACCGAAAGAACCGAAUAAAACCGAAAGAACCGAAUAAAACCGAAAGAACCGAAUAAAACCGAAAGAACCGAAUAAAACCGAAAGAACCGAAUAAAACCGAAAGAACCGAAUAAAACCGAAACCGAAAAAACCGAUUUAUAUUGGUUUGAUUUGGUUUAUAAACUUAAUAAACCGACAUAAUUGGUUUGGUUUUUUUUUGAUAAAAAACCAAACCAACCCGACCUAUGUACACCCCUAGUUGAUAUCUCCACUAUAUCUACUUUUUUUUCAUCUUAAAAUUAUUCUUAAAAAUAUAUACUUUUAUGAACUUUGUCAAAUAAGUAGAACUCGAUUUACGUAAAAUAUUAAUAAUGUCAUUAAAUAUUUAUUAAUAAAAUUAACUAAAAAGAAAAAUAUGACAUAUAAAUAUGAAAAAAGAAAGUAACAUUUUUAAUUUCUUCUUAUUGAGCUCUCACGACAUAAGUGAAUAAUAUUCUAGUGGUACUCUUUUUUUCGAAACUAAUUUCACGAGAUAUUUAUCACUUUUUACCAGUAAUAAGUAUCAAAUAACUCUAUUCACCAAAACUAAAAUAGAUGAGAAGAAAUCAGAUAGUAGUAUUUUUGUUUGUACUAAAAAAUUUGAACUUAGAACAUCAUAAUUCAUAGUUCCUCCUAAUUUGAUUGAAGUAUAUACUCCUUGUGUCUCAUACUAGUUAAUCAUCUUACUAAAAAUAGUUAUCUCAUAUUAGUUGAUCAUCUUACUAAAUCAAGAAAAUAUUAAUUAAAAUUUUCAUAUUAUACCCUUGCAAUUAAAUUUUUUUGAAAGUGUAUUUAUAUUUGUAAAAUUCCCGAGAAGUUUUUUAAGGAGUGAAUUAGUAAAAUUAUCUUCUUAUUUUAUGAUUUCUUAAUAUAUAUGUAAAAAGGAAAAAUGAUCAACUAGUAUGGAACGAAAGGCAUACAUUUUAUUUCUAAAAAACUUGGAAAUUUAAGUAUUGUAUUCAGGGGCGGAGCCAGCAUACGAACCUCCUUUGGCAGAAAAUAUUACUAUUUAUACAUUAAAAUUUUGUUAUGUAUAUAUAUCUAUUAGUAGAUGUCGAAAUCCUCUUUGAUUAGUUUAUGUAUUUACUUCUUCAAAUUUUGAACACCCUUAUUAAUAAUCCUAACUUCACCACUGACCGUAUUAAUACUGAAAUCUAAGUAAUUUAAUUUGCAUAUUUAGCUAAGAUAAUUGAAGUGAUCAAGUUUUGACUUUGUGGGCACUUGUCUUGUCGGACUUUUGUUUUGGGAAAGAGAUUACUCCUAAUUAACAUCAUUUUUUAUUUGUCAGACACGUAUUUGUUUGGACGCAAAUUGCAAUAACCAGCACGAGAAAAUAAUGAAUUCUAAGCAUAAAAUUUUAUUUACCGAUUCAAAAUUUAAAUUUUUUAUAUAAAUAAAAAAAUUAUACUCUAAUUAUUUGAAAAAUAUAUUUAAAUAAUUCAUCCUUUAUUUGCGAUUCAAAAGAUUGAAGCUCACUUUAAUAUUGACUCUCGAUAAACGAACAAGUAAAAACUAUCAGAAGACAUAGAAACUAAUUUCAUUAAGUUUUCUGAUUAGUCGGUGAAUGGAAUUAGUUUUAAAAUGGUCAAAGAAGCAAGUUAAUUAAAAAGGCCCACCUACCAUUACCAAGAGAUAACAUUAUUUUUUUCUGAAGAUAAAAAUUGACUUUAAUUAAGAUAAUAAUAAUAAUAAUUAGUACUAAUUAAUUAAACUUGGAUCAAUACUAACGUGAUUUGGUUCCAUCAUGCACAAGAACCAAUGUUGUACUAUGAACUUAAAAUAAUCAAAAUUAUUGGCACAAGUGGAUGGUAAAAUUAAAUAAAAAAUAAAAGAAUCACGUGAAAAAAGGAAAUGCUUAGUGAUUGAUUAACUGACAAACUUGUCUAAUUAAACUUAUUUAAUUAAGUUGAGUAGCAUUAGUUAGGUACUUAAUUGAAAUCUUUACAACACAACUAUGGAUGGUUAGCUGUGUUUCUUUCUCAAUUAUUUGACUAGAGAUAAUAAUGUUUAUUAUCUUGCUAGGGCCUCACUAAUUAAUUACUUAUGAAUUAAUCUGUAAUGCAAAGUACCUUUCAAUCCUAUAUGGAUACCUAAUACCCGCAAACUAUUGAAAUUUGGAUAGGAGUGAAUUUAUCCACCGCACAUUAUAUCAAAUGUUUUUCUUUUUCUGGCUUAGUUGGUAACUUGGUAUAUGAAUAAAUUUCGAAGAUUUUACUAUUAAGAGAUAAAGUGAAAUUGACGUGAUCAUUUUAUUCUUAAUCAGAUCUGAGAUAAAUGCGUAGAUAGCCACUUGGAAUAUCACUAUUCAAGAUAUAUCCAAAAAUAAAAUUAAAAAAAUGUUAUUUAGUCAUUUUUUAAUCAAUUUCAGAUUGAUCGAAUUAAAGUUGAAAAUCUAGGUAUGAAAUUAUAUAUUAUGCUAAAAUUCUUCUUUAAAUCAAGUAUGGGGUUAUAUAUUGGCAUAUUAUAGGUGACAAUUAAAUUAUAGCAUAAUAUGUUUGCUGGAAAUUGACUUAGAUAUUAAUUAUCUUUACUUUGAAAAGAUAGGUUAUUCUUUACAAUGAUGAAAGAUAUUUGGGCAUUAAUCAUUAAUAGCUACACAACAACUUCCCCACCUAAUUCAAGAUUAAAAAAUACUUAGAUUUUUGUUACCCUAACUACAAAAUUAUUCGAUAAUUACAUAUCAAAGAUUUGUAUAUAUGAUCUUUAUGGAUUUGACUACAACAAUAUAACUUCCAAUAAAAAAAUAAUGUUACUUUGAAUAUGACAAAUCGAUAUAAAAUUGUAUUCGACAUAUAUAUUAUAUAUAUACAAAUAGAUCUUUGAUAUAAUCACGCAAAUAGCAGAAUCUUUUUUGAAUGGGCUAAUUUUUUUAAAAGGAAGAAGCUCAAAUAUAUCAUCGAAUUUUGCUCAAAGGCUCAUAUAUGCCAUAAUUAGAAGUUUGUCUCAUCUACGUCAUUUGAGUUAACAAAUAAUGAUAUGGAUGAAUAUUUUCUCUAACAGAUAAGAAAUAGCAUAGAUGAAUCAAUUUUUUAACGAAUGACAUAGAUAAGUCUUUUCUCAAAGUUCGAUAACAUUUUUGAACCUUUUCCUUUUUUUAAUGGUAUGCUAGAUAAAUACAAUGCCUUUGUCAAAUGCUCCAUCUCUUAAUUUUGUGUGUGAAUAGUGAUAAGUGAAGGAAUCAGAAUAUUCAUUAAUGUAUGUAUAUUCUUUUCUUUUUAAUUAUUUUUUUAGUUAAUUGGAAACAAUAAAUACCUAAACAAAAGUUGAUGAUGGGGCUCACACUCAUCUGGAUAACUAGAGAUAGAGGUGUCUAUCUUGUCUCCAUUCUUUUGAAUGGACCCUACCACUUAAUUAUUAUACAGGAAAAAAUAUUUUAGCUUUUGAGAAACAAUUUUGAUAAGAUGAUUAUUAGGUAAGUAUCUUCAAACAGAAUAUAAAUGCUAUCCACACAUUUAUUAAAGGGAGUUAUAAAAUUUAAUUAGUACUCACUCCAUUUUAUAAUACUUGAUCCAAAUUAAUUUGAGACACUUCUUAAAAGAAAUAUUUUCUCCCUUUGAUUUUAGUUGUUUAUAUUUAAUUGGAUGCGUUUUUUGAUAAAUAGUAAAUAAAGUGAUAAUUUUAUUAUAUUAUUUAUGAUUGUUAUGUAAGUCAUAUUAGUGAAAAAUGAAUUAGAAAUAAUUAGUAUUUAAUAAUUUAUCUAUCUAUACUACCUUAAAAGUAUGAACUCUCAAACUUGAAUGUUGAAUUGCUAUAAUACCCCUAAUAAAAAACACUCAAUGUAUUUUAUUUAUUAAUUUAAUUAAUUUUACUAUAUUGAAAGUAGAUACAUUUUCAAAUUAAAGGAUUGUGACUUUUUCAAUGAGUUGUGAGUUUUCCAAAGGGUUGUGACUUUUUUUUACAGGUUAUAACUUUUUCAAUGAGUUGUGAUUUUUUCGAAGGGUUGUGAUUUUUUCGAAGGAUUGUGACUUUUCUAAAGGGUAAUGCCUUUUCUGAUGAGUUGUGCCUUUUUCAAAGGGUUGUUACUUUUCCGAUAAGCAGUGACUUUUUCGAAAGGUUAUGACUGUUUGGAUAAGACACAAUUAACACAUAUUCAUACUACUAUUUGGUAGCUAUAAAAAGAGGGGUUUCCUCACACUUUUAAACUACAAUUUUUUUAAGUUCUCUACUCUUCUUCUUCUUAAAAAAUCUCAAGUGUUAUUUGUAAAAAUUGUGAAUCAUUCAUCAAUUCACAGUCAUAUUUUUUCUUACCAUUUUCAUGAGUUAACAAUGACGAAAAGUUAUGUGAGAGACAAUAAUAUUAAACAUAUAUGAACAAAGGCAUAUGAUUUGGGUAAGAUAUUUCUUCUUUGUUUUUUUUUUUUAUUAUUCUUUUCCCUUAAACGAUGGAGUUUCUUCCUAAUUUUUCUAUAACAAUGGGUAUCAACGUAAUCCAUUGAAUUAUUAGUUUUGAUGUUAAAUUCACUAUUUCAAAAUAGAUUUUAACUUUUACUUAUAAUAUGAUAACAUAGCCAUGAUAAUAAUUAUUUUUAAUAGAUAUGUACGUAAAAAUGAACGGAUAAAGUAAAGUGUUGGUGGCAAGAGGUUUAAAUCAAAUGGAACACUAGAGUAAAUAUAGCAUGAACAUAUAUUUUCGUCUUCCUUCUUCAUUGGCUAUGUAUUGUUCCAUAUUUUUUUUAUGUCACAAGAUACACUCCUUACUAGCUAUAUAAAAAUAGAUAAGAAAACAGUGAUUGAUCAUAAAAUGAUCAUAAAUCAAAUUAAUGAUUCUAUAAAUAAUACUUUACAUUUUAUUCAUCUAUUAAUUUUUAUUAUUGAAAAAUUUAAUAAAGAUAAAAUAUUGAAAUACUUAUGGUAAUCCUUAUUAGUGUCAUGCGCAUACUAAAUUUCAAGUAUUAAUAUUUAAGACAAAAAUUUGUACUUAAACGGUGUACAUCAUUUAUGUUCAUAUCCUCAAGAGUAAAGGCUAUUUGUUACAUUUUUUGAAUGGAUAUUUUUUUUUCUAUUUUGUUGGUUAGAUUUGUUUACAAAAUUGAGUGAAGUAAGAAAUAAUAUUAUUUAAGAAAUGUCACUUUCUCCCAUAGUUAAACUUUGAAUGUAUUUUGAAAUGUUUUAAUAAUGUCUGGUCAUUUUGAUCUCAAAAUACAAGUAACUCUAUGACAAUAUGUAUUAAUAAUUUAAAAACACUUGUCCUAUGUUCGUUCAAUUAUAAUUAUUUACUAAAAAUCUUUAAUUUAAUAAUAUUAAUUCUAUCUUACAACGUCAUAUACUAUAUAUAUGAUACACACGUGCAACGCACGUGCCGUAAAACUAGUAAGAAUAAAAUAUAUGUAAGCUAACAUUUUUUAUUAUUAUUUAAAUUGAAUAAGUAAAAAUGAAAAUUAAUUUCUAAUAUGAAUAUAGUGGAUAAGUAAAAAUGGAUGAAGGAAGUAUUUAUUAGGGGUUUAUUUUAUUUAUCCAUUUUUAGUUGUUCACUACAAUAAGAUAGAUAACCGCUUUUAUUUCUUCAAUUUGAAAAUUAAGAGAUAUUUUAUUAUUUUUAUACCUAUUUUACCUUGUGUACUUUUCGUAUUCCAAUGCAUCAGUCAAAAUAUUGAUUUUAUAUAUUCAAAUAGUGAUUUAGUAAGCUUAUUAUUUUAUUAAUUACUUUUUAAGGCAUGUGCCAAAUUAAACAUGACCAAGUAAAAAUUAAAUAGAAAGUACACUUAACUAAUCUUAUUAAUUAUUUUCUCUGUUUCAUAUUACUUGACUCCUUUAUUAAAAUUAAGAUGUUUCAUUUUAAUUUUUUCCUUAUCAUCCGUAGUAUUAAAAAACUAGAUAAAGUAAUAGUAGUAAAAUAUAAAAUUUCAAAAUAUCAUUAGUAUGGUUAAUUGAGUAAAAUAUAUCCGUAUUAAAAAAUCCUUAAGAAGUCAUGUGCCAAAUAAUAUGAAACAAAGGAGGUAUGUUUUAAAAUUUUAAAUUUUACUGGUAGUAAUUUAAAACUCGUUAAUCCAGCUCAUUAUGUUUCUAAACUUCAUUAAACAACCAUUGUUUUCAGACAUAAUGCACUAUAAUUAUGGACUACUUUACAAUUAUCAUCAUCAGUUUCAAUAAAUAUUGCACUAUAUUGUGAUCUCGAGGUUAACAUUUUUUAUUUCUUCUCGAUGAAAAAUGAACUUAGAGAAUAUAAGUCCAUCCGUUUCUUUUUAUAUGUCAUCUUUAUUAUAAAUAAUUGAUCCAUAAUACUUGUCAUUUCAUAAAAUUAAUGCAUAAAUUAUAAUAUUCUUCCUAUUUUACCCUUGUGAGUUAUUAGCCUUGAAAAUAUAUAUUUAACAAACAUAGAAAAAUUAAGUGAAUAAUUCAUGUUCAUUGGUCAAAUUAUCAAAAUAAAUUAAUUUAUAUUUAUUGAUUGAAAAAUUAACUUCAUAAAAAGUUAAAUAAAGGUAGAAUAGUAAAAUUACAUAAUUUCUUAAUGCACGGCGAAAUAAAAAAUGGUGACAUAUAAAUAAAAACGGAUGGAGUAUAACUUUAUCAUUUGUGUGACCGAAAAUAAUAAAAAUAGGAAAAAGGUUCAAAAAAGUCCUUGCAGUUUGCAAAAUGGUCUAUUUUUGCCCUCUAUUUAGAGUUUGAGUCAAUUAUGCCAUUGUUAUUACAAAACACAAUUGUGAAUUGACAUUGUAUAUAUUGAUACUUAUUUUCUACUAGUUAUUUAUUUAAAAAAAAAUAGGGUCAAUUCAUUAGACAAGUCAUUAUGGUAAAGGCUUUUAGACCUUCAAAUUUUUGGGGCCUAUUUCUAUCAAUAGUUAUUAAAAGUAAAGCAAACGUGUGUAAAUUUCUUUUUCUUUAAAAAUAUAUUGAAUUAAGUUAGAAAAUAAUUCAUAGUCUCAUGUGCUUGAUAAACUACAUAUUCUAUUUUCCAAAUUAAAACACCGUCAAAUAAUUUUAAAUUUAGAUAUCAAAGUCUGUCGAAAUAGGAUUAUCCUUUAUCUUUGUUUUUAUGUAUACCUCACAAGCACACAUGUUUAACACCAAUAUAUAUAUGUGAUUUAAUUAUUUUUUUUACUAAUUAUUGACGUAAAAUGUAUAUGUAGUGCACACAACACAUGUAUAAGAUGCACAUGUGGGGAAAGACACUACUAAAAAAUUGUCAAAAAAACAACGGCCAAAAGCGACGGACUGCGUCGCUUUUUUGGUCAAAAUCGACGGAAAAGCGACGCAAUCACUUCCGUCACUUUUAGCUCGACGCUUUUCAAAAAGCGACGGACUGCGUCGCUAAAAAGAGACGGACAACGUCGUUUUUAAAAAAGCGACGGACUGCGUCACUUUUAGAGACGGACUGCGUCUCUUUUAGCGACGGACUGAGUCGCUUUUUUACUUUUUUUUUUUAAAAAGCGACGGACUGCGUUGCUUUAUUUUAAUUUUAAUUUUUUUUAAUUUAUAAAGGCCGACGCAGUCCGUCACUUUUCUGAAAAUUUAUUUUUUGAAAAUCUCAGAAAAGCGAUGGACUGCGUCGCUUUUAGAGACGGACUGAGUCUCUUUUAGCGACGGACUGAGUCGCUUUUUUACUCUUUUUUUUUUGAAUUUUUUUAAAAAAACGACGGACUGCGUCGCUUUAUUUUAAUUUCUAGGGCGAUGCAGUCCGUCGCUUUUUUGGAAAUUUAUUUUUUGAAAAUCCCAGAAAAGCGACGGAUAAAAGGACACUGUCCGUCGCUUUUCUGGAAAUUUAUUUUAAAACUUAAAAAGCGACGGACAAAACCACGCUGUCCGUCGCUUUUCUGAGUUUUAAAAAAUUAAAACCCAAAAAGCGACGGACUAAACCACGCUGUCCGUCGCUUUUCUGAGUUUUAAAAAAUUAAAACCCAAAAAGCGACGGACUAAACCACGCUGUCCGUCGCUUUUUCUGCAAUAUUUUUGAUAGCAGGAGCUCGCAGCUUCUGCUGCCCACCUGCAAAUGCAAUUCAAUUCAAUUCUACACUAUUCAGCCCAAUCAAACACACACAAUUAUAAACAAUCUAAACAAAACAUAAAACAACAAACUUAAAAUAACAUUCAAAAGUAUCUAAAUCAUAAAUUAAAGACUUAUAAAGUCUUUUAAAAUUCGUUUUAAAAUUUCAAAAAGUUCAUAAAUGUCCAGAGAUCUAAACUAGGAAGUUAGAUCUACAUAAUCAUCCUCAUCACUCUCGUCGUCGGUGUCAUCGGGAGCCGAAGUACUAGGUCGACGAGCGAGGUUCAUCACUUGUUCUUUGAUUUGCUGAACGGUCUCACUCAGGCUUUGUUGUUCAGCUACUCUUUUCCGCUCCGACUCUGCUAGUGCCGCUGUAAGUUUAGCUAUUUGAUCCGACAUAGCAGCAAUCUGAACACCGUCAAGUGCCUCAGCUUGACGUGACGAUCCAAUACCUUCUAAGCCUGACUGAAGGCGUCUAACAUCGUUGCGAGAGCCUAGACCAUAGCAUCUACCCUUGUGUGUCCCCCCUACCACUUUUUCUUUCCAAAUCUGAGUGGACAGUUCAGGUGUCAAUUGAACCAAACUAUCUAGAUUCUCAUCGACGAACUUAUGAAAGUCAUUCUGCAUAUUAAAUAUAAAUAUUGACAUCAAUAUAUAUACAUAUCAUAAAUAUAUUCACUAUUGAUAUAUAUUAUUCAUAUUANNNNNNNNNNNNNNNNNNNNNNNNNNNNNNNNNNNNNNNNNNNNNNNNNNNNNNNNNNNNNNNNNNNNNNNNNNNNNNNNNNNNNNNNNNNNNNNNNNNNNNNNNNNNNNNNNNNNNNNNNNNNNNNNNNNNNNNNNNNNNNNNNNNNNNNNNNNNNNNNNNNNNNNNNNNNNNNNNNNNNNNNNNNNNNNNNNNNNNCUCCCAAGUACACAUAGUCUGAAAAAAAUUGAAUAAUGUUAAUUAAAUCGAUAGUAAAAAAAAGUAAAGUAUACUAAACUUAACUAAAAAAUAUAUACCUUAAAGUUAUUAAACAUCGCCUGGCGUAUACUGUUUGGAAUCUUGCUCCAAGAGUGAUAAGCUUGUGUAUAGAGUCUUCUAACACACUCUUUUAAAGCCCGGGCAGCAUCCUUUGCAGGAUGCCACCUGCAAAACACAUAAUAAAUAUGUUAGUUCAUGAAUAAUAUAUUAAAGUAUAAGAAAUAAAUAAAAUAAACUAACAAAUAGAUAACAAAACAAACUUACGAUGAUCCAUCCGGCUCAAUCAUGACUAUACCAAGUCUGUCCUUCUGUCCUGGAGCUAGAGUAGACAUCGUAUCAUAUGGUGUAGCACUUGAUUUGUUAAACUACUCGAGGAAUAUAUAUAUAUAAUUAAUCAACGUAUUUCAUACUCCGAUGAAGUAUCAUUUACAUGUCAUCAUAAUUAGGAGGUGAUCACUACACUUGACAUCCAUUCAAGAUCGAACGUAUAUAAUAAUACUAUCUCGCAUUUCAUACUGGAAUGAAUUAUAUGUUAGCUCUUCACUUCUGCUACAUCACGACAUGAGAUAUUAAGUUUAUGAUUAGACGACGAACUGAUAGGAUUUGUACAUUACUCUAUAAAUAUAAGUAUAAUUAUCUCCUAAUUCAUAUCAACGUAGUUUCAUACUCUAAAUAUGGAUUAUAGAUAUUUUUUUAUUUAUUCCACGAAUUCUAACUUUUUAUUUAUAAAAGUAUACAAAAUUGUUACACUUUUUGAACAAUUAAUCGUAGGUGUAAAAUGAAAAUUUAAUAUUAUGCACAAUAGCAAAAUUAUGAUUAAUAGAAAUAUUUUAAACAUACCGACCUCCGGAUGUCGCUUUUAUUAAAAGUAAUUAGAUAUAAUAAAAAAUACCGACCUCAUGAGGUCGGUAUCACAUUAAAUUUUAAGAUAAAUAAAAAUUAAUCAUGUUAAUUAAAUAAUAUUGACAUCGGGAGGUCGGUAUUUUAUAUUAAAUUAUUUUUUAACUUAUAUAAAACCGUCAUUCGGUUUAUUUAAAGUUAAUUGAAAAUAUUAAUUUAUUACAUACUAUUUAAUUUUACCGACAUCUGAAAGUCGGUAUUAUAAUUUUUUUUGUUUUUUAUUUUACACAAAACCAUUCUCCGGAAGACGAUUUAAAUAAUUUAAAUCAAAAUAUUUCUCAAUUUUAUUUUUUAUAUGAUUAAACUUUAAAGUACUAAAAAGUGUUGGAGAAUUUAUUAAUUUCCUCAUUUCUCAUAUUGUGAUGGCUUUGGUACCUUAGACUUGAAGAAAACUCUUUUUUCUUUCUAAAGAAGUACAGUCGAAAUCAUGAAUUUUUAUAAUUAAAAAAAUUGUGUCAAAAGUUGGUGGGAAAGUCUAAAGACACAUGCCUAUUACAUUUCAAAGGAGGAAAGGUGAAGAAUAUAAAAGACAUAAAAUAAAACGAAAAGGAAUAUAUAUAUAUAUGGAGAGGCUCAACGGAAUUGGUGGCCUAAACUCAAAUUUUAAUUAGAGAUUUCAAGUGUAUAUUCAAUAAAAUUAGCUUCUGUGAGCAUCACGUAUCUCUCACUACUAAAAAACUGCUAAAAAACGAUAGAAGAAAAAGCGACGGACUAAGAGAUGCCGUCCGUCGCUUAUUUUAAAAACUAAUUAAUAAAAUAAAAUAAAUUAAAACGACGGACAGCGCAGUUAUUAUUUAAUUUAUAAAUAAUUAUUUUUAAUAAAAAGAGACGGACUAAGAGAUGCAGUCCGGCGCUUUUUGGUAAAAAAUUUUAAAAAUAAUUAUUUUAAUUAAAAAGCGACGGAUGGCAUCUCUUAGUCCGUCGCUUUUUCUUCUAUCGUUUUUUAGCAGUUUUUUAGUAGUGAGAGAUACGUGAUGCUCACAGAAGCUAAUUUUAUUGAAUAUACACUUGAAAUCUCUAAUUAAAAUUUGAGUUUAGGCCACCAAUUCCGUUGAGCCUCUCCAUAUAUAUAUAUAUUCCUUUUCGUUUUAUUUUAUGUCUUUUAUAUUCUUCACCUUUCCUCCUUUGAAAUGUAAUAGGCAUGUGUCUUUAGACUUUCCCACCAACUUUUGACACAAUUUUUUUAAUUAUAAAAAUUCAUGAUUUCGACUGUACUUCUUUAGAAAGAAAAAAGAGUUUUCUUCAAGUCUAAGGUACCAAAGCCAUCACAAUAUGAGAAAUGAGGAAAUUAAUAAAUUCUCCAACACUUUUUAGUACUUUAAAGUUUAAACACUAAAUAAAGUUUUAUUUUGACAUUUGGUAAAAUAUAUCAUUUCACCCCUAGUGGCUUUAUGCUUUUUCUCUCAACCAAGUGCAAUUUUUUUUCAUAAUACGUUGCAUGGUGCAUGCAACUUAAAAAAAAAUAAUAUUAAAGAAUAAGAAUUACUACAUGUAAAAUGUUAGUAAAAUAUUAUUUAUUGUCUUAUUGACCAUCUUAUUAGAAGUUCUAGAUCAACAAUCAACCAUUUUACUUAUACAAUAUUUCAUACAUCACAAUAUCUAUAAAUUUCAUCGUAUUUUCUCCUUUCUUAACUGAAAGCACUCAACACACGUCAACGAACACAUAUAUUAUAUAUAUUAUGUAUCUAGACACAUAAUAUAUGUUGCGCGUGUGCCCCCAUUUGAGAUCUAAAUUAGGUCAAGAAGAAGGGCCUCCAUUAUUUAUUGACAUUUUUUUUUUCUUUUUGUAAAGUUGGACCCUUAGGGUUGCAUGACAUUUAAAUAACAUAUCUUAUACCAAUCUUAUUAAAAGUUAUUAAAUUAGGCAACUUCUGCAGGACAUGUCAAAGGGAGAGGCAUUAUAUUGUCUCUUAUAACCCUCAAAUUACCAAAUUGAACAAUACAAGAACUAAAAGUUCAAUUAAAAAAUUAAAUCAUGUAUGUCGCUAAUUAAUACUCACCUGAUGGAUAUUUAUUGUUUUAUGGACCAGAUAUAUUCUCAUUUGCACUACAUUAUUUUAUGUUUAUAGCCAACAGAUUGAAUAUAUGUUCCAUGUUCAUAUAUACCUAGGCCCUAGACUUAAUUGAUAAGUCCAUAACUAGGGAUGUUAAUCAUUUAUUAGGGUGAAGAUUAAUUAGCCAAUCUUAUUUAAUUGGAGUUAAUUAGUUUAAUCUAGAUUCUAGACUAGGGAUAGGUUAUCACAGCUGUAUAGUUGUACAAGCACAUGAUAUCCACAUGAAAUUGUUGAUUAAAUUACCAUAUAUAUAUAUAUAUAUAUAUAUUCAGAGGCGAAUUGAAAGUUAAACAUUGGGAAUUCUAAAGAUUCCCUAGGGGAAAAAUAGAGAUGUCUCCUAUGUUACCCAUAAUAUGUGAAAGUAUCGACGUAAUUUCAUAGAGUUAUUCGGUCUGAAUGCUACAUGAAGAACAUAAGCCAGAUGACGGAACGGGAAGACCCAGGAUGGCUUUUUUACCCCAUUGUAGGGUGGAUCUCGAAAGAUAUGAAAGAUCUCCCUCCAAGCCGUACAUACGACUUUCAUCGGCUAUAUAUAUAUAAAGUAAAAUAGAAUGACGGGGCUUGAAAAAUAAUACUUCCCUCUGUCCCUUAUUACUUGUCCACUUUUGAAUUGACACACCUAUUACGAAAACAAUUAUUAACAUAGCGAGUUUACUAUUUUACCCCUAUUAAUUAUGAAGUGAAUGAAUUAAAAACUUAAGUUUUCAAGAAGUUCUACUUUUUUCAAAGUAAUUAAUUGAUGAUAUAAUAGGUAAAAAAAAUUGUCCUUUCUUGAUUUGUCAAAAUUGACAAGUAAUUAAGGACAACUAUAAAAAGAAAAGUGGACAAGUAAUUAGGAACAGAGGGAGUACUACAAAUUAUUGGAAAUAGAAGAAAUACUACUAAAAACAAUACAAAAAAUCAACGGACAAGAGCGGUCCAAAAAAGAAAAAUCUAGAAAUUGAUCUUGUCGGUUAAUUUUUUUUUUUUCAAAGAAGAUUGAUGGACGUUUAUUUUCUCGCACAAAAAUGCGUGAAAAUCAAAUUGAUUAGAAAGAGUUGUUCGGAUGGUAAGCAUUUCUCACCUUCAACACGAAAGUUGUGAGUUUGAGUCACCAAGGAAGCAAAACGGUGGAAAUGGAAGCCCCUGAGGUCGAUUCUAAAUAGAUAUAAAAUUGAGUAUAUACCGUCCGUCGGUUUUACGCCUAUAAAGCUUAAUUGACGAUACAAGAUUAUGUAGGCCACAAUUUGAAUUGACAUAAAAUGAUAAAUGUCACUAAAUUGCGACUCUGCUUCACUAGCUAGUCAAAGUAAUUAAGAAAGACAAGUUAGAUUAUGUGACCUAACAAUUAUAAAGCUGUCCACCCACAUUGGAUGGACAAUUAUGUGUUGGAAGCAUAUAUUAUAUACAUAAUAAAAUUGUCUAACCUAUAGUGGUAUAUUAUAAGCAAUUAUUCAACAGAAUAUUUUGCAGUAUAGUUUGAAGUCUCCAAAUUUUGCCCAUCAUUCAGAUAUAAGUGGAUUUACACGAUAAAGUUAUAGCUACUUGCAUUAUAUCAAUGAUUAGUGAAUAGUCAUGUCAUUUUUUUUCUUUUUUUUCAAAAUGAAUGAUUGACCCCAAGAAUCAGACAUGGGGUUAAUUACAUUUCUCUAAAGAAUAUUUUUAUUUUGGCAAUGGGAAAUAAUAAUAACAUAGUAUUCUCCUUUUAAUUUGGUUACUUAGACAUUGAAAAACUGAAUUAUGAAAUUGUGAGAUAGAAUUUUUGAAUUGAAUUAAUAUGUGCCAAAUUGAAUAAGCAUGAAUAAUGGAUCCAUGGAUGAAGAUAGAAAGUUGAAUUCUAAUUGUAACUAAAUUUUCAAUUUCUUAUUUGUAAAGAAGAAAGUGAAAUAAAAUAACUAUAUUAAAUAAUGAUUUUGAUUUACCAGAGAUAUCAACAUAUUGUUUUAGCUUGGUGGAAAACAAAAUCGUUUUCCUCAGGAUACUAUAAAUUAGAAAUAAUAGAGAACAAAAAUAAUUAGAAAGAUUUUUAAAAUGAUCAUCUACAAAGCCAUUCAUUUUUAUCUUUAUUCAUACCAAAAAAUGACAUAGAUGUUAUGAGUAGAUCCCCUUGCUCGUACUUAUUCCUAUUGAUAUUUUUUUAUGUAAAAUAAAAGACCGCUAGACACUGUCUAGUAGGCUUAAAAAAAACAAAAAAAACAUGAUGAAGUUGUUAUGAUUAAUUAAAAAAAAUCAAAAAUCAUAACAACAUCGGACCAAUUUGACAUAUUAUUUGAGAUCCUUGACAAUAUUUAAAGAUUUUCGUGUUGAACUUCUUUUUCUCGAAACGGUUGCUAAAUAUUUUUUCACCAGAUACAUUUAAAUUUAGGAAAAGACUCAAAUAUGUUAUUAAACUUUGGAAAAAAGUUCAUCUAUAUUAUUCGUUAAAAAAUUGUCUCAUUUAUGCCAUUUCGUUUGAAUAGUUGUGCAAAAUCAAAACUAUUUUCAAUUGAUAAAUAAUGACAUAAAUGAGUCUUUUCUCAAAUGAAAAUGAUACAGAUCGAUGAACCAAACCUAACGGAAAGCCAUAGAUGAACUUUAUCUCAAAAUUCGAUGACACAUUUAAACAUUUUCCAUAAAUUUUAAAAAAGAGAAACUGAAAAAACUUUCUCUAAUGCAGUUUGACAGGAGGUACACUAUUCUCGAGUUUUACAAUACUCGAUAGGAAUCGAAUUUCACUUUCCAAAUUCCGAUUCCCCAUUUUUUUUUCCGGUUUCUCAUUCAGUGUUGAUACUCACAUUAAUGAUUAUUAAAUUCGAAUUCGCCUCGAAAAAUCGAUAGUAGUGAUUAUUAAAUUUGAAUUUGCCUCGAAAAAUCGAGAGCCUAACACUAUCCCGAGACCUCUGCUCUAUCACAGUAUAGUAAUAUAUUCAAAAGAAAUUACAGAUAACUGGAAGGGAAAUUGAAAUUGAGGCAAUUGAAGGUUGCAACGUGUAAUUUGAACCAAUGGAAUAUGAAUUUCGACUGCAAUUUGAGGAACCUGUUAUGCUCACGUAAGUUUCUAUAUGUGCUAUGUUAAAUAUCAUUUCUUCGGGUCGUUUUUGUUCUUGGUUAGGAAGUGAAUUAUUCAGGUAUCAAAAUCAGCAUAAUUGGAAUCGUGUUUGAUAGCAUUUUAGUUGUUAUGUAUCAAAUUUUACACACCAAGCACGGUGUUUGGCUACCAGUUUACAAUCCCGCACAACUAAAACAUGUAUUUUAUGUAGGGCAGAAGAUGGAAUAACUAAACUCGACAUAACAUGCAUAACUUUAACAAAUAAUUGUGUGAAUAAUCCGGGUAAUCCUACUACUUUGCACAUAUGAAUAAAUGAAUAAUUGAUUCCACUAGUGUGAGCUUGCUCAAAUUGACAGUUUCAAGCUUGAAUAAAGGAGGAGAGGGUUGCAGUGGGCUGACAAGUGACAACUGGUGUAUAACUUGUCAAUUAACCGACCCCAACUCGUUUUGGACUGAGGCGUAGUAGUAAUUGUUGUUACUUUGCACAUAUGAAUGUUUGGUUUUGUUGUGGAGUAACAAGACCUAUUGAUAAUAUAAUAUGCUGAUUUUUCAUUUGAGAUGGAAAUCAGUUUGUUUUGCCUUGGCCACAACAAGUCAAUUAUAUUGGUGAUAUCAUCAAGGUUUCUCAUCAUUGAAAUACUACUUGAUGUUUAAAAAGAAAGACUCACUGAUAAGUUGGCAUCAGAAAAGAAGUAGAGAGACAGUAAAUUAUCAUUUGAGUUUUUCCCUCCUUUGUAAAGUUUCCAUUAACUUGCAGGUGGGAGAUUGGACUGAUGGCAUAUUAUGUUUAUGUAGCUUCAGUAUAUGUGCCUGUUAUCAGAUUCAGAACAUUACAACUGUCAAAUGUUGUGCCUAAACAGGAAAAUAGUCAUGAUAAGGCCAAAGUUGUGGCUAGCAAAUGAUGGCAACUACCGAGAAAUCCGAUGGUAAACAAAAAUAGCAUCUUCAAGGACUGCUAAAUGUGCAUAGUUUUGGUGAUCCUGUUUUUGCCUAAACCAAAAGCAAACCAAUUUUUAACAGGCUUUAAAGUUACAUAUCAAAACCAAACCAAGAGUGUAAAAGAAUUGUCUGUUUUGCUUUGUUGGUUCUAAAUUGGUGUAUUUGAGUUUAUCAAGUCUUCAUUGUAUUUUGCUUUAUCAUUGUAUAUCAAGUGAUAAUGGUUCUUACUUCCCCUUUGGUACUGUCUGGUGUAUUCAGCGUUUCUUAAUUAAGUUUGCUUAGUGAAUUGCUUUCUGUUUCCAGAUUAGAUACGAGGAGGAUAUAGCACUUGAACCUUUUGCUGGCUAUGGGAUUAUCUAAGAGUAAGUGGUGCAUCUGGAUUUUUGCUUCCAGUGUCUGGUGGUGCUGAUAGUUCCUUCCUUGUUGCUAUAGUUUUUCAAUGUGACAUCUUGUAGUAAAAGGUUUAUUGGAUUCUCUUCCCUUCUAAACAUCUAUAUUGUUGAGUUCUAGCUAUUUUCCUGUUUUUUUGUAGCUAGAGUAUGACAAUCACAUUGCUGUCAUGUAAAUAGGUUUCGUUGUAGUUAAUGAGAAGAAUGAAAUUGCAGUGAUUAUGUUCCCCUAUCCGUGUAGUCGCUUGAACCUUUGGUAGUUUCCUACAUGAACCAACAGCAUCCUUCAGUGAAAAAAUGAUAGAUAAUUACUGGUGCUGUUUGAUUACUCAAAUUAUUAACUGGAUUCGUAUUUGGUGAAUUGUUACCGAGAAAACAUGGUACGUGUGGAGGUCUGCUUUGUUAAAAUGUACUAGUUACUAAAGAAUGGUCUCACUUAUAUAAUUUUGGGAUUGAACUUCCCAUGGUGUAGUUAAACUGAAAAUGCUACAGCAUGGUCAAAUUUUGAGGGGAUCCUUGAUUUGUCACAUUAGUGGUCAGGUUUCCGCUACACAUCAGCUAAUUUUUCCGUCUGUAGUGUUCUAGAGCUGGCAAGCAUUUUUAUUAUCCUAUCCGUGCAUGUCCUGUAAUACAUGUACCCUGUCUUCAUUUACGCUAUUCUGACUGAUAAAUUGCAUUGAGCUGGUCAGAUUGUCUACCUUAUUGUUAAAGGUAAAAGUAAACAGCACUUAGCUUUGUUUUCUCUGUAGUUUACUCACCGGUGAUGUCAAUGCAGAAAUUGCAAAUGGCGAUGAACCGGUAAAAGCUGAUGACAUUUGAAUUGGCUAAUACACUGAUGGUUAGUUUUCAACGGGAAGCAAAGAAUUUGCUGAGCACGUUGUUUAUACUGUUUUUACUUUUUAUGGGAUCUGAAAAUAGGCAAUAAAAUCAGCAAAGUGCCACUAUUUUCUCCUUUAUCAGAUUUUCUAUUCUGAUUUAUAGGUGUUCUCUAAUUACAACUGUAGUAAUAAUUUACUACUUUAAAGUUGCUUUGCUCAUUUUCAAUUUGCAAAUGGCUUUUUUAUUGCCUUGCCUUGGGCAGCAUAUUUCUGGUCCAGAAUUGAGAGCCCUUUUAGUAAUCUUAAUACAUGUAGAAAAUUUGAACAUUGCAAAGAUGAGAAUUUGGUCAUCAUGAAAUCUCGGCUAGACCUGUUGUGCUACUGCCUGCUAAACCAGUGUUCUCAAAGGCGAUCGCCAUUGCACCUUUGGCGAGAGGCGAGGCGAGGCAAGGCUAGUCAGACCCUUGUCUCCGUUUGUCGCCUUUCGCCGUCCAAAACACUGUGCUAAACCAAAGCUGACAACCAACCUCAUGAAUUCUAGGAGUCAACCCUACUUAGAUUUUGUUCUUAAAUGACAUUCAUUCUCUAAUAUCAAGGACUCAUUAAAAUUCCGAGAAGUGAAUAUUCCCAUAGAGUUUAAUGACACCGUUGAUCUGAACUUUAAGGGUUUAAAUUUUGCAAGUUUUUUACUUUUACUGGCGGAUGAAAUUAGAAAGAGAAUGACAUCUCCAACUGUAAGCAGAUGAUCUACUAUAAGAUUUCAUGCCUUUUCUAUUGAUUCAUAUAUGUCACCUUCAGUGGAGAAGUCCUAAGGGUGUCCUCACUUCUGGAGAAUACCAACAGUGUUCUAUCAGAACUCUAUGUUUGAAAAUGAUUUAUUUGAAUUGAUUAUUGAGCCAAACAGUGUUGUUUAUGCGUGUGACGGUUCAGAAGCCACAAAAAACCGGGCAAAGGUGUUGUCUAAUGAGAUAGAUCCUGGCCUCUUUAAUUUUGGUCUCUUCACUACAUUUUAUAUUUCAAACACUUACUGGAAAGUCCACACUACAAGGUAAUAAUGUGAUAAAUUUUACCCUUAUCUAAUUAUUUGCUUUAUGGAGGAACUGAAACCUUUACCCUCAUAUUGUUUGGCCAACUAAUAGUUGGUUGGACUAAUAAGAACCAUUUCUGAAAUAAAGACCAAGUAAUUGCUUGUCAGUGCAAUUUUAACCUGAGUAUCUCUUUGUAGGUAGAUGGGGGGAUAAGACAUUGAACAUGUAUUAGUUAGUCCCGAGAUUAUUUAUCCCACCAUUUAUGAUAACUAAUCCCAUGGGAUCACUUUGUCCCAUCCCCGAUACCAAACAACCCCUUAGGGUAGCAAAACAUUCAAGCUUGCGUCUGAAUGGUUUUAGCGUUCAUGUUAGCAUCUCUACUACCGUGGCUUCAUAAUAAACCUGGUUUUUAUCUAGUUUUUGGUAGCUCCAAUGUGGAUGGAUGAAGGAUUAUGUGGUUACUUAACAAAGGUAGAAGAAUUUUUUGUUGAAUCGAGUCAACAGACGUGAUGAGAAUAUAAAGUGUAAAGUUAGUUAGCUGUGAACAGUAAAAGUUAGUUAGUUGUGAACAGUAGAGUUAGUUGACAUUCAGUUACAUUAGAGUCAAGUUGUUGAUUAGUUAAAUUCUGCCAUAGUUUGUUGAUUAGUGAUUUGUAUAUAUAGAUUCACAUUGUAAUACUUAUUUUCUUAAUUCACAUUCAAUGAAAAAUAUCUUUCCAUGUAUCUUCUCUCUCGAUUUCUUUCUCUCAUAUCAGUACAUUCUCCAUUAAUGGAGAUUGGGAGCUCACAGUGCUGAUUUUGUCAAGACGAUUUUUGGGCCACCUAGCUACUACUGUUUGAAUUUGUUUGCAGCUGGCUUGAACUCUCCUCAUAUUUUGAUCUUCUGUGCUUGUAGAGCAUGUUGAUAAACAGAUAACAGAUUGAAUUGUAUAUUAGUGCAUCUCUCUCUUUUUUUUCUAACACUUAUUCAGGUGAUAACUGUCUAUAUUUGCUGUAUGAUUGUAGUUCAGCAGAUAUAGAUAUCCAAUUGGAAGCAUCAGUAAGAUGGAUCUUCGAACAUUUCUGAAAUGGGUUGCCAUUCAUCUCGGUUACUCAUUCUCGACAAAGAUUGUAGCUGCACCACCUACUGCUGAAGUGGAACCUAUACGUUCAAAUUAUAGUCAGGUAUUGAUUCAGUGUACUGCCUAUUUUCAGUUUCUAAUGCCUUUUCUAGUCUUGCGUAUGAUCAUGUUUCCUGUUACUAGUAUUUUCUUAUCCUUCACUAAUAAAUCACUAUGGAGAGUUUUUAUUCUGCAUUACAAUAUUUGUGAAACAACUGGAUGAAAUGGAUAAGGGUAUGACCUAUGAUGAGCUUUCAGUGUAUGGAAGGUUGUGGAAGAUUUUUCGCUGGGGACCUGUCCGUAUCAAUGUUUAAGAUUUGUCCUCUCAUUCUGUAAGUCUAUGGAAGCAGACUUGCCGUAGGAUCAUUUCUUCCACAGGUUUCGUAGUCCUUGACAACUUACUGAAUCAUAUUGCAGAAUAUGUGUUACAAAUGGGCACAAAGUUGACGCGUGCAGAGGUGGCUGACAAAGUGAAGUACCUUCUUUAAGUACUAUUCCAUUCCAUCAAUAGACGGACAAGGGAGGCUUGCUCAAGUGGUUCGAGUCACUCUGGAGGGUAAGUAGAACACUGUUGAUCCUCCUUAAAAAGAGAGAGAGAUACAUACCCGUACUAAAUGCCUGCCUACUCGUUCCCAUAUCCAUGUACCUUAAAGCCAAGUAGUCAGAGCCAGUAUAAAGGAUUUAGACAGUGUAAUGCUAUUGUUCUGUGUUCCAUACUUUCAUUAGAGAAGCAUCAUCAUCAUUUACGCCUCAAUCCCAAGCAAGUUGAUGUCAACUAUGUAGGCAUUAGAAGUUCUUUAUAGUUUCUACAUAAGAUUGUUUAUCAGAUAAGGCAUAUAAAGUUUCUCGUCUUGCAGAGUUGUGUUAUUCACCCAAAGACAACAACAGGUUUGAUCUGCGGCAGCUUCUGUACAAAAUUAGCCAGCCUUAUCAACUUUGAAAGAUUGAUAAGCUUGCUGGUGAAUGGUGAUAGAGAAAUGGGUGUUGUGGCAACUGGCUUGGGCGAUUAAAGGGCUCGCGUUUCAUUCUAACUUUGAUGAUUUAGCUCAACGUGCAGCUGAAUAGGAGAAACUGGAUUUUAAAUGCUUUCCAAGAGAUCUUCAUUUUUACGCACAAGAGAUAUGAAAAUGUUACUUUUUUCUUCUGUUGCUCAUUUUGUAAGUGGCCAAAUUUGAUACAAAACAACUACUAACACAAGAUAGAAAAAUGAAUCAGUUAAACCAAAACUCUUUGACCAAUCACCUAAACCAAAGACCAACCAAGUAAUUUAUUUAACUUUUUAUACAUUAGCAGUUUUUUUUAAGCAUAUUUUUACCUAUUACAACAAGUUAUUUACUUUACCCAAUUAUGAAAGAAGCAAAAUAGUUGAAUUAAUGGUUAAAAAAUAGACUUUAACUAUUCAACGAUUCAUUGUUCUAUUUACCUAUUUAAACUAUCACUAUUAAUAUGCACCUUGACAUGGAGUUAGCCGAAUAUUUAUUCCCAAUUGACAAUUGCCGUAUGUUAGUUAAAUCAACUUAACAUCGAGUGAUAAUUGAAGUAUGAAACUCGCAAAAAAGUGAUAGUUUAAAAGUAUUUGUUUUACCAUUAAUUCAUAUUAGUUUGAUUCAAACUUGCAUUUUCUUUUUUAAAAUGAUUAUAUUAAAUACUUUUUUUUUUGUGAAUUGCGUUUAACAAAUUUUUUAGGCCGUUGCCGCUCUAGAUCCUCUUUUCCCUCCAUUUUUUCCUCAUGUACUGACAGUACCAGUGACAAUAAUGUACUUUAAUUCGUUUUCAGGGGCAUUUGAGUAAUUUACUAAAGCAAAACAAUUUCCUCCUGUUUUCUUAUUAAGCAAAAAAACCACCUUCGUAAAUUUUGUUCUUCACAUUUCGGUCUGGAAAACCUCAAACGACAGCUUUGUGCUUAGUUCAAGGAAACAGCAAUGGAUGCCGACGAGGUGACAAUUUUUUAUUUUUUUUGCAUGUUUUCAUUUUUAUGAUAAAUGUUAUUUUUAUUUUCUUAUAUUAUGUUGGAGUAUAACAGAACGAGUUUAGGAUUGAGGUUUGAGGAGUGGUAGUAUUAAUUAGUUGUAAAUUUAGUGAUAUAUUUUUUUGAUAAUUUUUGUAUGUGUUUGUUACUAUCUGUUGCUUCAUUUACUUUAAAUCUUAGUUUUUGCUGUCUUAUUUUCUAAUAAUCGUGUUCUCUACCUCACAAAGGUAGUGUGGUAAGGCACCCAAGGGUGUGUCGUAGUGGUCAAUCGAAGUGGUUGAGAAAUUUGAGGUCUCAGGUUCAAAACUAGCGGAGACUAAAACACUAGUUGAUUUUUUUCCCAAUUGUCCUAGCCUUGGUGGACAGAGUUACCUGAUACUUAUUCCUGGUGGUGGAGGUGGCACAAAAGUUGGCCCGGACACCACAGUCACAAAAAAAAAGAAGGUAGUGUGGUAAGGUCUAAGUUGGGGCGGUGGCAACUAUCCCGUGGAAUUAGUCGACGUGCAUGACAGUUGGUUCGAAUACCACGGUCAUAAAAAAAAUGUAGUGUGGUAAGGUCUAAGUUGGGGCGGUGACAGGUAUCCUGUGGAAUUAGUCCAAGCGCGUGAAAGUUGGUCCGAAUACAACGGUCAUAAAAAAAAGGGUAGUGUGGUAAAAUCUAAGUUGGGGCGGAACCAAGUAGGGCUGAAGGGGUUUAUUCGAAUUUAUACAUGGUUAAAACUAUUUUUUAUGUAUAGAUAGUAGAUAUUGAAAUCGCCUUCGAUUUCUUCUAUUCAUAGUUAGAAACUCAUUAAUGAAAAUUUCGGUUGUGCCACUUGAUCUAAUGCAGUGGUAAGGUGUACGCUCAUUUUAACCUCCCCAGGCUCCACUUGUGAGAUUGCACCGAGUAUGUUAUUCUUGUUGUUUCAUUUGUUAACAUUGUAACCUCCCUAGACUCCACUUGUGAGAUUGCACCGAGUAUAUUAUUGUUGUUGUUUCAUGUGUUAACGUCGUAACCUCCCCAGAAUCCACUUGUGUGAUUGCACUGUGUAUGUUAUCGUUGUUGUUUCAUUUGUUAACAUCGUAACCUCCCCAGACUCCACUAGUGAGAUUGCAAUGAGUAUAUUGGUGUUUUUGUUACAUUUGUUAAUGUUUUUUUUGGGUUACAGAGAUUAAUAGCUUUAGAAAAGGCGUAUACGGAUGUAGUCUUGAACACAGAGAAAGAAGCAGCGACGAGGAUUAUGGUGUCGGAACAGAAAGCUCAAUGUUUUCAAGAGGAGCUCCAAGUGGUGAAAGAAAAGGGGCUAAUGACGCUGAUGAAGCUCAAAGAGAUGAUGGAUUCUAAGGUGAACUCUAUUGAACACUAGGCAUUUGACCAUGAAAUUUUUUCACUAACAGCACUGGUGUUCUUUGCUCAAACCAAAAUUGACCAUGUUGCAAGUGUCUGCUGAUCUUAGUCCCACAAUCAAUUUGAAGCCAAAGCCAACUAUAUCUCACACUUUUCAAUACUACAACCAAUCCUCGGAAUAUUGACACUUAAGUUAUAAGCAUCAAAUAAUGAUUUUAAGCUAACACACACUCUGUGCUCUCCAACUAUCAAACAUAAUCUUAUCUUUAUUUCAAAAUUACGUUAGGAAAAUUUAACCUCUAUGAAUUUUUUCCUUUCCAUUUUGUUGUGAAGACCUGAAAACAAAGACGUCAUUGGCAUGCAGCCAAAAGAUAUGGACUGUAUGAGUGUCUCAUUUUCCUCCACAAGUGCACAUGUCCUCCAAUGCAACUCCCAUUUCCACUUGGUCAUCCCACUUUAGAGUUCUUAAGUACAUCUUGAAUAACUUCUUGCUACCAUUCUCUGAGCAAGACACUUUUAUCCUUUGUAGUUCUUGUUUGUCUACUAAAGCACAUCAACAUUCGUCUCACAAAUUCACUCUGAUAAGUUCUAAAUGGGGGCUUGUUCAAUUUAUCGCUUGAUAAUUUAUUUAUUUGAGAGGGAACCCAAAUCUUCAUACCUUUUGUAACUACCUUGUGAAGGUGUGCAACCAUUUUGGCAGCAUUUGAGCCUAAAACCUUUCUUGUCAACCUCAUUGAAACCUCUUGAACAAAAUAUGUCCCUAACUUCUCACCCUUAAAUCCUAUUCUAAGCAUUGGUUUGUUUGAAUAGCAAACAUAGGCCAAAAGCCUAAGUUGGGUGUGUGUCACGACCCAAAGUACACCCUAGACGUGACAUGGCAUAUAAGACCCCGUGAGGUUUAUUAUGGCAUCUUUAUUGAUUAAUACACAAGAGUAGGCUAUACUCGCUAUAACCCAAAGAUUAGGUCCAAGGCCGAGAAAAAUCUGAGAUGAACACAUGAGGUAGAUUUGGGUUCAUGCUUAUUUUUGGAGUAUAGUUUAAGUCAGGGCUAACAUAAGCAAGUUCGUUGAGAGGCAGUCUUCUGUCUUGUCAAAUAAUUUUGAAAGGGGGAGUAAUUAUUUAAAAGUGAGGUGAGUAGACGUUUUUAAAUAAGCAACAUGGUGACAUGCUAAGGACCAAAAAAGUUUCGAAGAUAGUCAGCUCUGAAUCUGAACUCUAUGAAUCCUACUUGGGUGAUUUGAUUGAUUCCUAAUUCUUCCUCACAUAAAAAUGUUCUUGCAGUUUCAAUAAUGUAACGAUGCUAAGGCAUAUAGAAUGGAGUAAAAAGAUGUUCAAAUUUUGGUAUCAAAAUGUUUUUCUACCUACGGAUGAAAUUUUUGAAAAAGCUAUUUGACUUCAUUUUUACCUUUUUAGUGUGUAGAGCGAAGUGUUUGUGUAUUGAUCAACAAAGAUGCAAUAAUACAUGUUUUUAUCAAGAGAUAGAACAAGACAAAUCACUUCAAAUAAUUUAAAGCGGUUUAGAGCUUUUCAGUGUCAAUUUAUAAAAUGGAUGUUAAUGAGCUUACAUGUGAGCUUGUGGAGGUGAAAUGGGCCACUCAUGCAGUCCACUUUUGUUCCAGCCGCAUGCCAACGAUGUCUGAGUUUUCAGAUUCUUCACAACAAAAUGAAAAGGAAAGCAUCCAACAGAUGUUAGAUUAUCCUGACAUAGUUUUGGAAACAGAUAUAAAAUAUAAUUUGAUUCUUGUAUGUCAGUAGAGCCAAUAUGUGAUAUGGAUUUGUUACCAUCGUGCACGUUGGCAUCCUUGUUGUCGUGAUACGAUUGUACGUUGUGCGGCUCCGUUGCGAUAUGAUGAGUGGCACCGGAGUCGAUUUACCAAGGAUUGGCAGUGGUAUUGAUUGGUAGACACUUGCAACAUCGCCAAUCUUGUUGCAUAGAAACAUUGAGUAAUGACAAUAGUGUUAUUGUUAUUCGAGGACUGAAAUAAUGGAUUUAUCAAAAAAUAAUAAGAUAAAACUGAGCCUUUUUUAUUUCUAUUUUUUAAUAAGGAGAGAUAAAUGCCAGUUCUUCCCAUUCUGAUUUUACAAAGCUUCUUUGAUUCUCAGUUACAAAAGAAACUUUUUUUAUUCCCGAUUCCCCUCUGGCCAAUUAUUUAGUAGAUGUAACUAAUUUUAACUUUUCUCCUUUCUUUAUAUAUCAUUCAUCUAGAAGACAUCUUGCAAACAUAUUCAUUGCCAGUAUCCACUAUUUAUAUUUUUUCCAUAUCUUAUUGACAGAUUAUUGAAGUAGAGUUGACAUCGUUGAGUCAACAGAGGAAGAUUGAAGAACUUGAAGCUCAACUUGAGGAAGCAGAAGAUAUUGUAAGUGAUCUCAGGGUUGAGUUGAGAGAAGUUCAAGCUGAACUUGAGAAAGUUGCCAGCAAAGAGAAAGAAGAAAAGCAAUCACUGGAUGUUGAUAGUACUGAUACUAGAGAACUAACAAAGGACAACACAGUUGUAUUGCCUCCAGAAUCUCAGGAUGAUUCAGUGACAACUUCUAACAUGGAAGUUGACAGUAUGAACCAGAAAACUGAGGGCUACCAUUCUUGUCAUACAAAGGUUAACCCUGGAAACUGUUCUGUUGCUAGUUCGGAUUUAAGUUUGACAGGCAAAGCUCUAGAGUUAUACCAAAAUGGACAUACACAGAUAAUUCAUGCUGCUGAAGGAAACCUGUCAGAUAGGGAAAUCAUUCAAAAUGAAACAUUUUCUGAACAUUCUUUGAAGUUGGAAAACAUGCCAACCAAUAAUUUCUUGACAGAUGAUUCAACUGUAGCAAGAGGCAAUGCUCCAAGUGAAGAUCCUUCUGAGAUGGUCCAAAGAUUGUCCACAGGAAAAGGUGAACAAGGCAUAGAGAUGGGAUAUGCAGAAAGUUCUGAUAAUAAACCGCAGUCUUUUGAGGCUUCUGGUGUUCAUUAUGCAAUAGAUGAGCCUGAGGAGUUGAUGGGGAAGAUGGAUCUUUCAGAAGAAGAUAUUGAAAAUGUUUGCAAUCAGUUGUUCUUUAUAAAAGAUCUUUGCAGUCAACUGUUAAAGUCAGAGUCAAGGGUGACUGAUGUAAACAAUCGGGUCCCUAGCCAACCUCUAAAUGAUAGAGUGUUUAAGUACACAUACCAAAGAAAGAGGAAAAGAGAAUUGUUGAGUGUAUCUGAUGAGAAAGCUUCAAUUGCAAAGAGCUCUCAAACAAAAAAAAAGUGUGAAACUAGACAGUCUUUUUGAGACACAGGAUGAGUUCAGUGACAGAAUCAUCUCAGGACAGUUGGCAAAUGGCAUUAGGUUGCUCAACAGGUUGGUUAUUUGCUUAUUUAUUCCCUUUGAUUAGUUGAUAAUUAUGUUGUAUACCUAUCUCUGUUUAUAUACUAAUUUAACUGGUAUACCUUCAAUUUGAUAUAUGUAGCAAGUGUUCCCUCACAUGAAUGUGACGAUAUGUAUAAUUUUUGGUAUGAGAAGGCAGGCUGGUAGAGCUCGUCCAAUUGUUAUAAUGUGCUUUUUUCCCAUCCAAAAUGAAACAAGAGAAAGGAGAGGUGUCAAAUUUGAUGUCUUUUUGGUUAUCUAAAAGUUUUAAUACAUAGAAAACUUGGAAGUUCUGUCUAUUUUUAGAUCUUUGUGGGGAAUUUGCCAGGAGUUCUGAGAAUAUGUUGCAACUCCAUUAAGGUUAUCUGCUUUCUGGACUUACUGACUGCCUUCCACAAUUUCAUCAGUUCCUAGCAUUUACAAAGUUUAUACUAAGGAGGCAUCGUUCUAGUGGGAAAGGCCAAACCUUCUACUCUUAAAAAGGACUAUGUUUAUAGUUUAGUCGACCAAAUUCGGAACUUGUUUAUUUUGAGGACUUUAUGUCAAGUGAAGUUUCACUAGAAGAACUUUUGGAUAAUAUUGUAGAAGUUUUUUGUGUUUGACCAUCUUUCCGAAGUAUCUUUUUGCAUUGAACUACACAAAAUGACAUGUAAAGAUUCACUUUAUAAUUAAUAUGUUUUGAAUAGGUAAAUUGAUUUGAUAUAUGCAUUAUGAGACUCUAGUUAUUCAACUUCUUUGCAUUAAAAUACAAAAGAUAAGUUCACAAAAUAGAGAGAGGGAGCAUGUUUAUGAGACUUUGGUCAUAGAUGGGUUGUUAACAAUGCAUGACAUUAGUUUUCAUCCAUAUGCUAAGGGUACUUUGUCUUCAAAAAACAAAAAACAGCUUAUGGUACUACUCAUAAGGAGAAACUAUUUUUCAGUUUCUUUGCCAAAACAGAAAAAUAAGCACACACUUUUAGUUUCUGAAUAGUUUGGUUGAACACGCUAGUAAGCUUCUUCAUAGAAAGAUGUUAUGGAAGUUGGAAUAUUCCAUCAGGAUAAAUUUUUCGAGAAAGAACAUUUAGGAAUAAUGAAUUUAUCAACUCUUAUGUUGGUUUAAUGCUCAGUACUGUUAAGUAAUGUUAUCAUAUUGCCCUAUUUUUGUUGGUGUGCUGCAAAUUUUGAUGACUGUUAAGAUGUUAACUAGUUUAAGGUUUCUGAAAAUAUGUUGUUUGUCUCUUGGUUGCUCAUAUCUUCCCUGUUUGUUCUCUGCAGCUAAUGUGUCUGUCUAAGAAGUGCUAGUGAAAUUGUGUGUGCCAUGUCUUCUGUGCUAUAAAAUAAGGAAUGUCUUCUGUCAGCUAUCUCUGAGAUCCAUCAUGUCAUUUAGGAUGGAGGUUUACGAGUGAGAUGCACGAUCCAAUUGAUUGUUUACAUGUCCAGCAGGGGCCGUAUCUAGCCUUAAUGCACCAGAUAACUUUUUCCCAGAUCAUGUAUUUGUAUCGAUAAAUCCACUAAUUAGUGAACCUAGUUUUUGUUGUAUAUUAACUUGAGAUCACUGUAGGAACUUGUGACUUUGUUAUCCAGUAGGUUAACUAUUAUUAUUGUUUUGUUUGGAUUUGGAUGCUAACCUUGUAUAUUAUGUAGCUUUCAAACUUAAUGAUGUUCAUCUUUCCUCUUUGAUCAUCCUUUUAGGAGAACAUUUGCGUAACUGGUAAAGUUAUUUUCAUGUGAUCAGGAAAUCAUGGGUUUGAGUUGUGGAAACAGCUUCUUGCAUAAAUGCAAACUCUGUGUACAACAAAUCCUUUUAGUCCGUCCCUUUCUUGGACCUGUGCAUAGCGAGGGCUUAAUGCACUGAUCUGUCCUUUUAGUCAUUCUUUUACAUAUUUAAUUGUGAAAUGUAUCUAUUGAUUAAGAAUGGGACUUUCAAAGAUAACUGAUGGAAUACUUCUGUUGAUAAAGAAUCACAUUUUUGGUAGUUUAUUGUGGAAUGCCUUUGCUGAUUCCUAUAUUCACAGUAUUGAUAGUUUAUCUCUUCUGAUGGUAUUAUGUCUUUGAAAUAACCUUUCACUAACAUAAUUUUAUAACUAAAAGACUUGUAACUAAAAGAUUGUGUUAGAGAGGUAAGUACGUCGCCAUUUUUUUUAUCAAGGGUUUCCUAUCGGAGACUUAAAAAUGGAAUCUUCUUUGGAAGAGAAUACAAAUUCAAAUUGGUUGAGCUCCAAAGUGAGUAUUGAAUAUUAGGCGACAAACUAAAAAAUUAAGAGUAAUCAAAUUUUAUCCAUAGUGAUAAAAGAUAUUAAGCACAAUAGCCUGAUUUAUUUUUAUUAAUAAAAGAAAAAUUAAAUGGUCAAAAGCUAACACAUUUAAACUAUUAUCUUUUCACAAGUUUUAUUUCUUACUAUCCAUUGUUUUAUUUAUCUAUUAAAUUAUCACUUCCUCUUAUAUUAGAACACACAUCAAUGUUGAGUUGAUGUUAAGUGAAAAAAUAUUUGUCCAACUACGCAUCUAUUUUAAUACAAAAAAAAAUAAUAGUUUAAUCUAGUAAAUGGAACCAUGACAAUUGAGGUAAACUCGCAAAAAAAAAAAAUUAUUUAGAUGUAUUUUUAACCAUUAAUUUUAAAAGAAAAUAAAAAGUGGUAGUCAUAAACCCCUUCCAAGUUGGAAAUAAGAGGGCUUUUUUUGGGGCUUUGCAAUAUUGAAGUCAUCUUCUCCAUUUCAAUCCCAACAACUAAACGUUCGAAGGCAAACGCCGGAAAAUGGGAGCAGCAAGCAAGGCAGGGGACUUGAUAUUUAAGGCCUUCGUCGGAGGGCUCGGUGUCACCACCAUUUAUCUGACGGCGACAUUCUCCGUCAACGUCUACCGUGGUCUCUCUUGGCAUAAAGCCCAAUCGGUAACCUCCACAAUCUCUUAUAAGCAGUUAGUGUAUGAUUGCUAGUUGUUUUUCUGUUUGAUGGAAAACCUAAUUGUGGGAUUUCUAGCUGUGAUGCCCUUUACCUUUGAAAUGAGAAUUUUUAUGGGUUUUGUGUAUUUUAUUUGCGAAGAUAUCUCGAUCCAUUUUUAGUAUCUCCAUUUGAUCUUCCGUCAUGCUUAUUUGAUUUCGUUCGUUUAUCUGUUACAUGGAUUAUUCAUUUGCCUUUAACUUGCUCAGGUUGAACGUGUGAUAUAUGGGUUUGGUUGGGUUGUUGAAAAUAUGCUUAAACUUAGUGAAGAAUUAGACUUGAGUGUAGCUGAUACUUUGCCCGAAUUACCUACUUUAACACACUCAUUCAUUCCGAUAUAAUCUGUUUGUCUUACUUUCAGUUUUAGUCUGUUUCAAAAAGAAAAUCUAUUUCCUUUUUUGCAACUCUUUAGUUCUAACUUCCCAAACUUUGUGCCAAGUCAAAACUAGAUAAACAAAUUGAAAUGGAGUGAGUAGCUCCUAGUAUGUCAUGAAGAAUGUCUUCUAGUACUAAUUUGAAAGAUUAACGAUCAUUUUCUUUCUCUUGUAGCAAUUGUUUGUCUAUUGCUUUUUGUAUAUUUGCUCCUUUGUAUUGACGCAAUACAUCAAUGAGGAUUGUUCAGCUCAAGAGUAGUGCCUCAUGUUCUGCUGGCUACUGGCCUCUACUUGAAAACCAUGCUGUUCAGUGUGCCAGACAGUCAAGUAGGACCGAAGUUCCAGCUGUCACUUAGGCGUUGGAAGAGCCUGUACCUUUCCCCUAAAUCUUAUCCAUAUGAUUUAGCUCUAAUAUUUUUGUGUGCUUACACAACAAGUUCUAAUUUAAUAUUUAGUUUGUGUUAACCGUGGUAGAUUUAUUUGAGAUAAACAUCAGUCAAUUGGUGACUUUUGUCAAAAAUUAAUAUGAAGAAAUACCUGUCGUUGUGUCUUUUUAAUCAUCAAAUUGCUGGAUGUGGACUUUUAAUGAGGUGUUUAGUUACUUAAGGGUAGGAGAAGGGUAAAGGAAGGAGAAAUUCAUUAGUUUAUGUCCCUCCCUCCCAUUAUUUGGAAUAAGUCGAAGGGAUAAAGAGAUAUUUUGUCCAUUUAGUCCUUAAAGAGGCUAAAAGAGCGGACUUGGAUAGGUAUCUAGCAGAACCUUUCACUUGUACUCCUAUCUCCUACCCUUCUGCUCUCUUUAAACAGACUGUAAAUGAAUUGACUUUUCCAAAGUGGAAAAGAAUGUGAUAAAAAAUGAAACUUUUCUGCUGCCAGAGAUCACUGAUCAGUGGAACUCUUUGCUGACCUAUUUCAGAGUUCAUCUAACAUGCAAGGUGGAUGGCUAUGUUGCUUGGACCCUCCAAAAAUGUUGCCACACCUAUAUAGGAUUCUUCAAUAAUGCUCUGCUUUUGGAGGAUCCGACAUGCACUUGUCGACAUUUUUAAAGAGUCCAAGCAACAUAGGUGGAUGGUUAUUUUGGUUUUCUUGGAGUCUUUUCAAAUGGGUAUAAUGAUUUUAGUUAUCAAACUACCAAGUACUGGUGCGCAAAAACUGAGCAACUCAAGCGCUUUCAUUUCUUGAGCACUAAUGAUGUAUUCAAGUGCAAUUGUUUCUAGUGAUCUAAUGAGUUCCUGAAAGAUGUGUUUGAGCAUGGGGCUUCUGAUUGAGAACAUACUUGAAGAGUUGUUUUGUUCUAAGUUGGCUACUUCACUCAUUGUGUAUGUGCAACUGCUUUAAGGCUGAUGUGUGUAAUGAGUCAAGUUAGCAGCUAGACCAUCCUUCAUGUUUUGUGCUUGCUAGCGUGCUAUAUUUGCUAAUUGGUAUGAAAUUUGGAACACUAUGUCCUUCUAGUUUCAGGCACCUGGCUAUGCAUCACAUAUGUUCCCUAGUCCCUGCACAUUUUGUGCGCUUUUUGUUAGUGAUCUUCUGUACAUAUUCUGCCUUUGGCCUAUUGAAUGCUGACAGUGCACCGUUUCUCCUAGAUCAUCUUUGCUGAAUCUGAAUGUUACGUAUCAUAUGGUUCGUUAAUUAAAUUGUUAGUUCUACAAGAACGCUUUCUGAUAUAUGACCUUUUUCUUCCUGCAAAUGUAGAAAAAUGAGAAAGAUGGAUCUGUAGUUCAGCAGGAAGAAUGACCCGUCUUCAAGUCCUACCCUUGGUCAUCGUGUUGCUAGCUGAGGUCCUGCCAGAAAUUUCGGAGUAUAUCUGAAUCUUGUCGCAUUAUGUAACGACUCUUUCACAGUUUUUCCAUAGGAUACUUAAAACACAGCAGCACUUCAUAAUCUUCUCCAUCCAACAAUCAAAUUGGAUGGACGGUAUGUCAUGUUUAUUCAUUUUCCAUUGCUAUAUUGUUGCUGAAAUUCUCCACAACGAUAUUCGGAGUCCCACAGUUGUAUGAUUUACCUUCAUUAUUAAUUCUAUUUACAAGUAACAUACAUAGAUAGCAUGGCAAUGGAUUUUCCUUUUGAUUAUGCAACCACCCAUAAAAGGCAAGUUCAUUUUGUGGUACUAAAGAUAUCACAACACAUCAUAUGUCAUACAAUAACCAAAAGAUGAAAAAUAAUGUAGAAAAUAGUAAAUUAGGUAAUUUCCUUUUAUCAUAUCUUACAUGCCCAUUUUGUAUUGUUUCCCAUAUGGUUCUUUUGGUGCAAUUCUAAAGGAAACUUGUAUCCAUAAGCAAAAAAGCAAGGCUAACUGCUUUUCCAUUGAUAGAGAAAUGCCCAUUGCGUAUAUAUACUCAAAUGUGGAAUUAGUUACUUGUGUGGUAAAACAUCACAUUUGAAUAUUAAUUUAUUUUUUCUAAAUAACUUUACAUAUUUAACUAAUAAAUUGAAUUAGUAUACAUAAUUUUGUUUUAGUUAAAAAUAGUACUAGUACAUUGUAAGCAGUUUAGAGAAGUUGUAGUUAGAGAAUAAUUUUGAUUAACCAAAUAAUGAGGACACAAUAGAGUAACAUCUUAUUUGUUCAUGUCAAUGUUUCUCUUGUCAUGACAUUGUCCGGAUAUCGAGAGUCAAUUUUUUAAAAUUAAAUUUGGACAUAUAAUCUUUAAGUUUUAUUUUUAUUUUUUGUGAUAAGGGAAAUUUGCAGUUGCUAUCCUUCUUGUGCAUACAGGUAAAACCCUUGCUCCUAUGCAAUAGCUCGCAAACCACACAAGAGAGCUAACCUGAACUAGGCAAAUCCAGUGUAACGAGCUCGACCUAAAAAAUGAACAAACCUCUUGCUUUUGCUGGCAAGGGGUUUCGAACUUGAGACCUCCAAUAUGGAAGUCCCAAGACCGUGAAUAGUAAUUUACAUAUUUAGAAACUACAUAAAAAUACUAUAAGUCACACAAAUUAUAAAUUUAAAACACAUGAAUAAAUCGCAAUCAAAGAUUUUCUCGUUUGAUUUUCAAAAUCUGAAUAAUGUCAUACAAACUAGGAUGGACAGGAUAAUUUUUUUUUUAUUGAAUGUCCUUUUUGAGAUUAUGUACAUUUCAACAAUAAUAACAUAUUCAAUAUAAUCUCAUUAAUAAAAUAUGGUUAAGAUAUGAUAUUAAUGAGGAAUUAAAAGACUAUUUUCGAUAAAAUCUUGUUCCGAGACUUUAACAAAACAGGGUUGCGGUAUAGAUUUGGUAACAACCAAGGGCAAUUUCGGUACACUAUAUUUUAUAUAUAGUAAAGUAAAGAACUUUUCUAAUAUUGAAAAAGCCAAGCGUUACACAAAGCAAAUUUCCGUUAUCUUCUCUCUCUAAACCUAUCCACCUAAAUUCUUCAGAUAUAUUUCUCUGAUCAAUUUUUAGGGUUUUUCCCAAAUUUUUGAUUUACCGAUUCCACUCAGCUAACAAUAAUGGUUUCCGAUUCAAUUGUCAACGUUUCAAUCCCUGUUGCUUCCUCUAAUCCCAGAGAUUUUGGCAAGAAAAAAAGGGUAACAAUUUGUUAAAUUUGUUGUUUUUUUUGUUCUAUUUACUUUUACAUGUUGAUAAAAUUUAAGCUUUUAUGGAUAUUUUUUACCUAAUUUGAUUGUGCUAUGUAUUUCUGAUAUUUGCUGUGAAUUUCAGGCUAAUCGGGCGGCUAAGUUGAAGCAGUGCAAGCUUGAUGCUCGACGUGAACAGUGGCUCUCACAAGGUUGUUAAAGUUUCUCCUUUUUUAGCAUAUCUUUCAUGUAUUUUAGUAUUUAGUAAUCUACCCUUUUUGGUUGGGCUAAAAUUCAUUUCUUUGGAAUUUGGACUUGAAUAUAUACAAUUACCAAGUUUUUUUAAUAAAUAUUUUGUCAUAUUAGUUCUAGUCAGGGGUAUUUCACACCCAUUGAGUUAAAAUUUUGGCUGAAGUCAUAUGCCAACACUUGGGGCGAAGUUUCACUUAGACAGUUUAAACAGCUGAAGUAGGGUUUGCCUGUGCUAUUUUGAUAAUUUUUGCAUCUGCUUAUAAAAAUCUCAGGCGUGUGUGCAAAAACGUUUCUUAUGUGGAUUAAUUGGUCAUUUAAGUUACUGUAACUGUCUAGAUCAUGUUAUUCACACGCCACACCCAAAAUAAAUAAAUAAAUAAAGAGAAAAUGUAGGCCAAAACACAUAGCAAAGAGACCAAUGAAUCAAUGACAUGUGGCCUUUUUGCCCAAAUCUACGAGGUAAGAAAUCCUAAUUUUACGGAGAACAUAUGUCUUCUUCUAACCUAUAUAUGUCAUACCAAUUGUUGUGAUUCUAAAGUCAUAACAAUUCUACAAGAACAAGAACAAAAAAAUUUCCGCAGUUCUUGGCCUAUAUAUACAUGCUGUAUUCAUCUAUCUCAUUGUGGCGCCUUGCAUAUAUUAUGAUUUAGAGUAUGACUAUGUUCAAAAAUUUAAUGUCCAUAGUAAAAUAGUGUCAGUUGGUGGAAUAUUACUCCAACCUGUUAAAGUUAAUUGGUUUGUGUUGCUUGAAUGGAGACAUCCGGAAAAGACGUGUCUGGAAAGUUCCUUUUUUUAUCAUGUAAAAAUAGAUUUCACACUAGACAAAAUAGUCAUUUAAGUAUCUUUUUAUAUUUAGGACAUUCCGAAUUAACUAAAAUUUUGAAUAUUAAAAUAUUGUCCUAAAUUAAAGUGAAAACACGUUUAUUAAGCAGACCUCCCAACCCCAUCCAAAUUGUCUUCUCCGCGGCCAUACCCCUCCUUUUUCAUUGUCUUUUCCGCCACCCCCCACCCCCCACCCCCAUUUGAUUGUCUUCUUUGCCGCCCUCUGCAUCCUCCCAUUUCUUUGUCCUCCACAAAAAGCAAGAAAGUUCACCACAAACACCACUCGUCCAUUGCUCCAAUGGAAGAGCGGAAUUGCUCCAAUGGAAGAGCGGAACUCAAUGUUUCAAUAUUUUGCCAGCGAUAGAUCUUAAAGAAUGUCAAUUUUCUGCAUGUUUAUUACUCCAUUACACAGAAAAAGCUGCAAUAACAUGUCCAAGAUAAACAUCAUGAUUUUUAUUACAUGGAAUGGUGGUAGAUGGAUUUGCUGAAACAAUUUUUAGAAGCUCCUUGACUUUUUAAAAAGUAAAUUGGAUGUCAACGACAAAAUAAAGCAAAUCACUAUUUCACAAAUCCUAGAAUAAAUUUGAGUCGGAAAAUUUGACCUCCAUUAAAGGAGUUUAAGCUUGGGGAAAUGGUGGGAGGUAGUGACUGGAAAAAUAGAAUAAAAUUUGCCAAAUAAACCCCUUAAAUGCGCUACAAAUGAGUGUAUUAACUCAUUAUGCCAUGCCAGCAACAAGUGUCUUAUUGAUACGAAAUUCAGGUAUUGUUAGUGUGUAGUAGGUACACAAUCUACUUCAGGUGUCUAAGUGAAACUUCGUGUCAACUUUAGUUGUUUGCGUAUGACUACAGCCUAAAAUCUUUGAAGGUAAAAAAAAGUAUGUGCAUUUGGUGUUUGAAUUAAUUAAUCUCAAGAUUGGUACUUUUCUGUGUUUCUGUGAUUAGUUAUGUUGCUUUCCUAUAUUUAUGUGCCUAAUUCUUGGUGGUUGGGGCUUGUGUAGGGAAGAAUAAAAGCUCCAAGCAGGAACUUAAUGGUGGGGGUGGGGCUUGUGAGCAGGGGAUGCAGGUUACUAAUGAAAAGGGCCAAUUGAUGGAGAAGUUAGCUAUAAAGCCGAGAGGAAAAGCAGAGGAAAAUGGGGGUUACACGAACACCUACAGUGAUUUUGAUUCACCUUCUAAUAGCCCCACCAGCCACACUAGUAGUGUGUUGGAAGGAAAUUAUUCUGGGACCAAUUUCACUGGUGGCAGCAGCAGUAGCAGCAGCAGUAGCAGUGGUGGUUUUAGUAGCAGUGGUGGGUGUUGCUCAGUAAGUAUGAGUGAGGAAGAUAACGAAGGGGACGAUGACUGCUUGGAUGAUUGGGAAGCUGUUGCUGAUGCUUUAGCUGCCACUGAUAAGGAGCAGGAGCAGCAUAACUCUAGCUUGGAUUCAGCUCCAGAGGUGCAUAUGAGUUUUCAACAAGAAGUUUCUGACGGGAAGGUACCAGUGAUGGAUACAUCACAGCAGAAUCCCAAGGGCAGAGGAACUAUACCUGGAUUUCCUGUCAGCUUUCAGGCGUGGAGGCCCGAUGAUGAAUUCCGUCCCCAAAGUCUUCCAAAUUUGUCAAAACAGUAUACUUUCCCUAUGAAUUCGGGGCGGCAUUACCGGGGAGGCUCUGUCUGGGGAUGUAAAAGUGCAGCAAUACCCACAUCAUGUCCUAUAUGCUGUGAGGAUUUGGAUUUUACAGAUACAAGUUUUCUCCCUUGUCCUUGCGGGUUUAGGCUUUGUCUCUUUUGUCACAAGAAGAUUCUUGAGGAGGAUGGGCGUUGUCCAGCUUGCAGGAAGCAGUAUAAACAUGACACGGUUGGAGGAGAGACAACCAAAGAUGCAGGCGGCCUGAUGUUUCAAGUGGCUCGUUCCGGUAGCAUGAUCUCAAGGUCAUAGGAAGAUUCUGUUUUUCUAUAAAUGUGUAUGUUGUGUCCUCUUUCUCUGUGUGGCUUGACUUUGUCUUUGUUAGACUCCAAUUUUUCUUAGCAUUAGAUGUUGAUAUAGGAUCGAGAUUCUGAAAGCACAGGGGAACUGUUAUAGUUCUCUUAUAAUUUUUCUCAUUAUAGAUAUGAUGCUUGUGCUAAUGUAGAAGACUCCUUAUGUGAAUAGAUAAGGUGGAUAAAGGUUAGAUAGAUUGAAUUUGAUGGUAUAAAUGUCCUAGUCUCUUUGAGCACUUCGUCACCUUCUAUCAGAUUUCCAUGAAUAAAAAUGAGAGAACAAUGGGGCAUCAAUCUUUGCAUGAAUAUCUUUCUUUUUGAAUAUUUUUGCUGCUCUUCAUCUUGACUUUUUGCUAUGAAUCUGAUAAAAUAUACAGCAUAUAUAUAUAUAUACACACACAUACACCUCAAACUUAGCAGUUAACUGGUCUAUUGCUCUCACUUUUCUCUUCAAUUCAGUUUGGGAUCGAACCACAAAAUGCAUCCUUACCACAUUGUGGGCUUUUAGUUCGGCAGAUAUGUACUGAUAAGUUUACUGCCACCAGAUAUGUAUCAAUGCUCUGCCUCAAGGUAAUAAAGAAGUGAAUUUUGGGGAUAGAUAUUUAGAUUCUCUUGCGAAAUGCUAAGUUCUUGCGCUUUGGGAGUCACUUUUAAAGUGUAGGGAUUUAUGAAGUGAAGUAGUCUUGUUGAGAUUAGACUGUUCAGCUGUAUAUUUGACGUUCUUAUUUUUUGUUAUCUUUGUUGUAUUACCUAACAGUUCUAUAUUCAAAUUGUGCACUCAUUGUGUGCUCACUGGACAUGUGGAUUAGAUCAUUCUUGGGGGGUGUUCAUUUGGAAGUAUCUCGAAAAAUGUUCUAUUCCUUGAGCUUCUUAUAAGCUGGUAAAAAUAUCAAGUCCUUCAAUAUGGUUAGUUUUGUUGAAAGCUAACAUUUAUGUGGACUUUUUCUAAGCUUUAUAUAGUCUACUUACUGGAUCUUGACAAGAUUAUGUUAGUGUGACAAUUGAUUUUGGAGAAACAGCAGCAAUUAUGUGGUGUUGCUUCCUUUUUCCUGGUACAAGUUGAUUCCUUUUCCAUGGAACAGAAGACAUUGUGCUACAGCUAAUAUUCUCCUUGCUGUUCUUGAAGUUCAAUUCCUUUAGAGCCUCUGGUUUGUUUCAGGGAUAAACACAUGAGAUCUUUGCAUGAUUCCCAUGGCUGAUAGAUAAAAGUUUGGUUCUGUAUGAUUUAUUAUACAUUAUUAUGAUGUUCACGAGUUUCGUGAGGUUAUCUUUUCCAAAUUUUUGUAUGGACUUGGCUGUCAGUGAGUCCCAAGUAUGGCUUGGAUAGAGGAAAGAAAAUCUCAUACAACGCGAAGGUGCAGUUGAAACCUUUUGCUGUCACUAUGCUGUCUAGGUAUCUUCCUAUUAGAAGUUGUAAAAUUGAAGUUUUGCUAGCUUCGUUACUUAAAGGUUCUUAAAACAUAAACAAGUGGGAAAUUCUCGGUGUACAUGGAAAAAUUGUGAGUUUGUUGUAUCCCAACCUUAAAUACUUGAAUGUUGCUAUUCUUGCUGCUAAUUUACCAUACAAGUAAAGCAGUUCUCAGGAAAAUUGAAACAUCAUCAAUUAUCUGAGCUACAUACAUCUGGUUACUCUCAUUGAAGUAAUGUGGAGCUGCUAGUCUAUCUUUUUAUUAUUAUUAUCUUAAGCAAAUACCAUCUGGCUGCUAUUAUUAGGGGCAUUGGAAUAUACGUGGUGGAAUGUUAUAGGUGUCUGUAAGUUGGCUCGGAUACCAUCUUUAUCAAGAUAUUAAGGCGCAAGGCGCUAAGGAGUUAUUUUCUCUGAUACCCAAGAUGUCUGUUUGUGCUGAGGAGGGAGUGUUUUCCACCAUUUGGUAUAGGUAGAUUCAGGGAAGAAAACAUCAUCGCCAAGAAGGCUACUCUGGAUCCAGAUAUUCGCAGCUGUUUCUAAACUCAGAACCCUGUCUUGCACUUGUGCAAAUAGCUUGUUUCUUAGUUCCUCCACUUCGGCCCAGAAACAAGACUCGGAACGUGCACCAGCUUGCACUUUAUCAAAAUGCUCUAACCAUCUCUGUGUGAACCGAUAACGCUUAGGCCUAGCCCUGAUCAAGUAAGGUCCAGUAUCUUCAUUCUUCAAGUGCCUGUAAUAGUUUGCAAUAUCCAAGGGCUCAACUUGCCUGCGAAACUGUGUCCCUAGUUCUAUCCAGUCUCUUCGUCCCUCAAAGCUAUCUGGGAGCUCAUACCUUUUCAACAUUUCAAUGAUCUCAUCCCAUAUACCUGCUAGCUCAAGCCUUUUCACAUUAGCUUUGAAGUCAUCUUCGGUGUUUUGAAUCUUGAAUGCAUCAUAAUACCCAACUUUACGGAUAUCACACUUGGUCUGGUACUCCUGUAUCUUGCUUAAUGCGUCCCUGAUGCUGCUCUUAUUUUGUUCAAUCUUUUCCUCGUUCUUCUUCUUCUGCUUCUCCCACUCUCCUGCUGCACGAAGACACAGCCUUGCUCUUGUGCUCUGAGAUUUAGAUAAUGUGAAAACGCCUAUUAGCUUGAGCAAGAUAGACAAUUCUGUUGAAAAUGAAAAAUUAACCAUAUCUAUUGCUUACCAGGCCAAGGUCAUUCAGUGCUGAAUUCAUACUUGCAACUUCACCCCUUAGAUCAACAUUUGAAGAUAAAGGAAUAUCAGUGAGAUUGUUGAGAUGAACAACAUCUUGCAUCUCUAAGCUAUCUUGCAUUUCGUUUUUAUAUAACAGAUGAUCAUUUAAGCUUCUAGCACCGACUACUGCAGCUUCUGCUUCGGAACUCAGUUGAGAGGAAUAGAACAGUAACUGCAGAACAGCAUCAGGGUUCUCAACGACAACCAGUUUCCUAUUCCCAGUGCAGAAGAUGUAAGUUCCAAAGGGUCUAUAAGGGCUGAGUUGAACAAUGUUGGAAACAGUUUCCAACAGCAAGUUUGUGCAUCCCUUCAGAUUACAUGCAGCAUAGCUUGCAACAGAGGAUGCAUUCCUCAUUACAGUCAUAAAGAAAUUCAAUGCAUUACUUGAUCGUGCAACAGCAUCGCGCUGAGAAUACUGGGACUUCGGAUUGAUGAAGGGAGAGAUUGCUUGAAGCAAUUCUUGAAUUGAUGAAAGAGGAGCAAGCAUCAUCCUGGGGACAAUGUCGUACUUCAUGACAAAAUGUAUGAAGUAACGAGCCCAGUUUUCGCGCCUGAGGGCAUGAGACCAUAUCUUGUUGCCAACAAGAGGGGAUCCAAAAGUCAUACAGUAUAGAUGGACUAACAUGUCACCUUCUGGUCUUGUGCGGCAACAUUCCAGACACCAGAGAGCUGCCAGAAUAGCUAUAGCACCACCGGACGAGUGCCCUGCAAACACUACUUGUCUUCCUUUUGACAUUGCCGUCUCCACCUAAAACCAACACAACUCCAUGAAUCAAUAUUCACUUUCCAAAUCAAAGAUGAAGGUAUGAAGCUUAAUUUCCAUUAACCUAGUCUACACUCUACAGAGGCAUUAUCAUGAUAGAAUCUAUGAUAGGAAUCAGUACUCUAUUUAAACUUGGAACAUAUUGCUGACAUGAUAACUAAUACUCCCUUCUUUGCAACUUAAGUGUCUUACUAUCUUUUUUGGUCUGUUCCAAAAAAGAGUCUCUUUUUAUAUCUUGUAAGUUUUCCAAUCCCAACACUCUACAAGGAGUUUAAGACCAAAAGAUUUAUAGGACUACACACAUAUUUAAAAGUCUCCCUUUAUUUCUUAAACCCCAUGUCUAGUCAAACUAUGACACUAAAAUUAGGACGGAGGGAAUAAAUAAACCACUAGACGGAAUCAAGUUGAUCAAACUGAACUAUCAGGAGUAGAACUUCCAAUGCUCUUAAAAAAAAUUGAAUCAAAAUGAAAAAAUUCUUUGUCUAAAGACUUGCACAGAAUUUGAUUCUUUAACUGGUGUACACUCAAGAUGUAAAAAACAUUUAUCUAUAGGUUAUACUAAUAUUAAACACUACAAUUUUUUCGUGUCAAGUCAAAAUCAAGACAAACAAAUUGAAACAAAAGGAGUUUUAAGAAAGAACAAGAUGAUUGAACCCCAGUAUGUAUACCUCCUUUUUAAGUGAAGAUUUGUCCAGUAUGUCUUGAAAUCUUCUAGCAAAUGCUUCAUUGACCUUAGCUACCUCAUCAGUGCCAACACUUCUCAAAGAUGGAAACAGAGUGGUGUUAAUCUCUGUCUCUCCAAAAGAAGUGUUACUGUACCAACCAUCAAAAGACAAAGUUCCAGCAAAAGCAAAAACAACAUCAGUAGACCGAUCUAUUUUCUUGUAAAUAUAAGGUAUCCCAGGUGAUAAUUUGUGAGCUUCCAUGGCUAAGUUACAAGCUUUCUUGAUUAGCUCUUCUCUGACUUCAAAUUCCUUCUUCCAAAUUUUUCACCAUUUUUUGCUUCUUAGCUGCUUAAAGAUUGCAACUUUACUGUUUAGUUUUCAAAAAUCUUUGAAGAAAGAUUGAGGAUGGAGAGAUGGAAUGAAGGUAAAGGGGAAAUGGGUAUUUAAGCUUUUGGUGAUUGGAUGAAAUGUAGAGGAAAUGAGUCAUUGACUUUUGAAGUCUUUGUUUUGCUUUGCUUGACUCUUGCCUGUGGAAAUUGAAUAGGAAGAUAAAUAGUAUCUAUCAAGGAAAUUUCCUACUAAUUGUUCUGCAAAAUGGUUAAUGUACGGACUCUUCAAAAAUGUUAUUUUUAUAGAAAUGAUUACUGUGGAAGGAUUUGAUAUGCACUCGCUUUUUAUUUGUCGUGAAUUCCCCUUUAUGUCUUCCAUAAGAACAAGAGGGAUGGGCUCUCCGCCAACACUUUUCAUAUACUUGUCGACAUUUUUAAAAGUUUGAACGACAUUGUAUAUUUUACUUUUAUUUUUGUUCUAGCUUGUUUCAAAAAAAUAUAUCAUAUUUCUAUUUUACUUUUUAAAAUAGUACUCCCUCCGUUUCACAAAGAAUGACCUUCUUUCCUUUUUAGUCAGUUUCAAAAAAAUGACCUCUUUCCUUUUUUGGUAACAUUUUACUUUUUGCUUUCCACGUGACAUGUUUAAGACCACAAGAUUAAGGACAAUUUUGUACAUUUAACAUAACUUUAAUUUAGGACCACAAGAUUCAAAAAUCUUCUUUAAUUUCUUAAACUUCAUGCCAAGUCAAACCAGACCAAUCUUUUUGAAACGGAGGGAGUACUUUAAUAUAAGCUAAUAUGUAAUGUUUAAGAAUACAAAUACUUUUAUUUUGUUAUGCACGUAUUUAAUUUAAGAGAACAAAAUUAAAAGAAUCUUUUUCUUUAUAUUCUACUCCCUCUGUCCCAUUUUAUGUGAGAUAGUUUGACUCGGCACGAAGUUUAAGAAAGAAAUGAAGACUUCUAAAAUUUGUGGUCCAAAAUGAAUGAUAGAAAUUUGUGUGGUUGAAGAAAGAUUGAGGAUGGAGAGAUGGAAUGAAGGUAAAGGGGAAAUGGGUAUUUAAGCUUUUGGUGAUUGGAUGAAAUGUAGAGGAAAUGAGUCUUUCAUAAGAGCAAGAGGGGUGGGCUCUCUACUAACACUUUUCAUAUAUUUGUCGACAUUUUUGAAAAGUCAUUUAAAAUGAAAUAGUAUAUUUUACUUUUAUUUUUGUUCUAGUUUGUUUCAAAAAAAUAUAUCAUAUUUCUAUUUUACUUUUAAUAAUAGUACUUUAAUAUAAGAUAAUAUGAUAUGUUUAAGAAUAUAGGUAUUUUUAUUUUGUUACACACGUAUUUAAUUUAAGAUAACAAAAUUAGAAGAAUUUUUUUCUUUAUAUUCUAAUUUUUAUGCACAUUACACAUCAAAUGCGACCGACACAUGGAAAGUGAAAAGGGGGGAGCAUAUUGGUGCUAUUAUAUUCUUUCUCUUGAUUAUAUAUUUUGAAAAGUUGGUACUUUCUUUGUUUUUUCUUUAAAAAAAUUUAUAAGAAAUAAAGGUUGGGAAGUUAGACAAGGCAACUCGUUUUGAAGAAAAAUAAAAUUUUGGGAAUGACAAUCAAAAUAUCUCGUGUUCACCUUGGAUCCAAAGAAGGGCCUAACCCGAGAUACAAAUAGAAUAGAAAAGCUACUUUGUUAUUGUCUCUAUUUGAUUAAGGUUUAUUAAAACUGUUUAGUGAUUAACGAGCAAAACAAACAAUUCUAAUAGACUAGAGUUUAGUUUUGCACAUUAUUAAAACUGCUUUAUGGACAAACUCCCUUUCACUAGUUCCUUGAAGGUGACUUGUAAAAAGCCCAUGGUUCAGCAGAAGUAUACUCUGUCACCUGCUUAAUGUUCAAGAAACUUUCAAGACCCCUGCAUCAAUGCACAAACGAUUAUCACUUAUCAGUCCGAUCAGAUCAGAUCAGAGGUAUCAAGUUUGUGCAUUGAAAAAUGAUACAUAGCUACUUAUCUGGCUGCUCUUAUUAGGGGCAUUGGAAUAUACGUGGUGGAAUGUUAUAGGUGUCUGUAAGUUGGCUCGGAUACCAUCUUUAUCAAGAUAUUAAGGCGCAAGGCGCUAAGGAGUUAUUUUCCUUGAUACCCAAGAUGUCUGUUUGUGCUGAGUAGGGAGUGUUUUCCACCAUUUGGUAUAGGUAGAUUCAGGGAAGAAAACAUCAUCGCCAAGAAGGCUACUCUGGAUCCAGCCAUUUGCAGCUGUUUCUAAACUCAGAAUCUUGUCUUGCACUUGUGCAAAUGGCUUGUUUCUUAGUUCCUCCACUUCUGCCCAGAAACAAGACUCGGAACGUGCACCAGCAUGCACUUUAUCAAAAUGCUCUAACCAUCUCUGUGUGAACCGAUAACGCUUAGGCCUACCCCUGAUCAAGUAAGGUCCACUAUCUUCAUUCUUCAAGUGCCUGUAAUAGUUUGCAAUAUCUAAGGGCUCAACUUGCCUGCGAAACUGUGUCCCUAGUUCUAUCCAGUCUUUUUGUCCCUCGAAGCUAUCUGGGAGCUCAUACCUUUUCAACAUUUCAAUGAUCUCAUUCCAUAUACCUGCUAGCUCAUGCCUUUUCACAUUAGCAUUGAAGUCAUCAUCAGUGUUUUGAAUCUUGAAUGCAUCAUAAUACCCAACUUUAUGGAUAUCACACUUGGUCUGGUACUCCUGUAUCUUGCUUAAUGCGUCCCUGAUGCUUCUCUUAUUUUGUUCAAUCUUUUCCUCGUUCUUCUUCUUCUGCUUCUCCCACUCUCCUGCUGCACGAAGACACAGCCUUGCUCUUGUGCUCUGAGAUUUAGAUAACGUGAAAACGCCUAUUAGCUUGAGCAAGAUAGACAAUUCUGUUGAAAAUGAAAAUUAACCAUAUCUAUUGCUUACCAGGCCAAGGUCAUUCAGUGCUGAAUUCAUACUUGCAACUUCAUCGCUUGGAUCAACAUUUGAAGAUAAAGGAAUAUCAGUAAGAUUGUUGAGAUGAAUGACAUCUUGCAUCUCUAAGCUAUCUUGCAUUUCGUUUGUAUACAACAGGUGAUCGUUUAAACUUCUAGCAACGACUACUACAGCUUCUGCUUCGGAACUCAAUUGAGAGGAAUAGAACAGUAACUGCAGAACAGCAUCAGGGUUCUCAACGACAACCAGUUUCCUAUUCCCAGUGCAGAAGAUGUAAGUUCCAAAGGGUAUAUAAGGGCUGAGUUGAACAAUGUUGGAAACAGUUUCCAAGAGCAAGUUUGUGCAUCCCUUCAGAUUACAUGCAGCAUAGCUUGCAACAGAGGAUGCAUUCCUCAUUACAGUCAUAAAGAAAUUCAAUGCAUUACUUGAUCGUGCAACAGCAUCGCGCUGAGAAUACUGGGACUUCGGAUUGAUGAAGGGAGAGAUUGCUUGAAGCAAUUCUUGAAUUGAUGAAAGAGGAGCAAGCAUCAUCCUGGGGACAAUGUCGUACUUCAUGACAAAAUGUAUGAAGUAACGAGCCCAGUUUUCGCGCCUGAGGGCAUGAGACCAUAUCUUGUUGCCAACAAGAGGGGAUCCAAAAGUCAUACAGUAUAGAUGGACUAACAUGUCACCUUCUGGUCUUGUGCGGCAACAUUCCAGACACCAGAGAGCUGCCAGAAUAGCUAUAGCACCACCGGACGAGUGCCCUGCAAACACUACUUGUCUUCCUUUUGACAUUGCCUUCUCCACCUAAAACCAACACAACUCCAUGAAUCAACAUUCACUUUCCAAAUCAAAGAUGAAGGUAUGAAGCUUAAUUUCCAUUAACCUAGUCUACACUCUACAGAGGCAUUAUCAUGAUAGAAUCUAUGAUAGGAAUCAGUACUCUAUUUAGACUUGGAACAUAUUGCUGACAUGAUAACUAAUACUCCCUUCUUUGCAAUUUAAGUGUCUUACUAUCUUUUUUGGUCUGUUCCAAAAAAGAGUCUCUUUUUAUAUCUUGUAAGUUUUCCAAUCCCAACACUCUACAAGGAGUUAAAGACCAAAAGAUUUAUAGGACUACACACAUAUUUAAAAGUCUCCCUUUAUUUCUUAAACCCCGUGUCUAGUCAAACUAUGACACUAAAAUUGGGACGGAGGGAAUAAAUAAACCACUAGACGGAAUCAAGUUGAUCAAACUGAACUAUCAGGAAUAGAACUUCCAAUGCUCUUGAAAAAAAAUUGAAUCAAAAAGAAAAAAUUCUUUGUCUAAAGACUUGCACAGAAUUUGAUUCUUCAACUGGUGUACACUCAAGUUGUAAAAAACAUUUAUCUAUAGGUUAUACUAAUAUUAAACACUACAGUUUUUUCGUGUCAAGUCAAAAUCAAGACAAACAAAUUGAAACGAAAGGAGUUUUAAGAAAGAACAAGAUGAUUGAACCCCAGUAUGUAUACCUCAUUUUUAAGUGAAGAUUUGUCCAGUAUGUCUUGAAAUCUUCUAGCAAAUGCUUCAUUGACCUUAGCUACCUCAUCAGUGCCAACACUUCUCAAAGAUGGAAACAGAGUGGUGUUAAUCUCUGUCUCUCCAAAAGAAGUGUUACUGUACCAACCAUCAAAAGACAAAGUUCCAGCAAAAGCAAUAACAACAUCAGUAGACCCAUUUAUUUUCUUGUAAAUAUAAGGUUUCUCAGGUGAUAAAUUGUGAGCUUCCAUGGCUAAGUUACAAGCUUUCUUGAUUAGCUCUUCUCUGACUUCAAUUCCUUCUCCAAUUUUUCACCAUUUUUUGCUUCUUAGCUGCUUAAAGAUUGCAACUUUACUGUUAGUUUCAAAACCUUGAAGAAAGAUUGAGGAUGGAGAGAUGGAAUGAAGGUAAGGGGAAAUGGGUAUUUAAGCUUUUGGUGAUUGGAUGAAAUGUAGAGGAAAUGAGUCAUUGACUUUUGGAGUCUUUGUAUAGCUUUGCUUGACUCUUGCCUGUGGAAAUUGUAUAGGAAGAUAAAUGGGAGUAUGUAUCAAGGAAAUUUCCUACUAAUUGUUCUGCAAAAUGGUUAUUGUACGGACUCAUAUUAAUUUUAUAGAAAUGAUUAUUUUUGAAGGAUUUGAUAUGCAUUCGCUUUUCAUUCGUCGUAAAUUCCCUUUUACGUCUUUCAUAAGAGCAAGAGGGGUGGGUACUCUACUAACACUUCACUUUUCAUAUAUUUGUCGACAUUUUUGAAAAGUUAUUUAAAAUGAAAUAGUAUAUUUUACUUUUAUUUUUGUUCUAGUUUGUUUCAAAAAAAUAUAUCAUAUUUCUAUUUUACUUUUAAUAAUAGUACUUUAAUAUAAGAUAAUAUGAUAUGUUUAAGAAUAUAGGUAUUUUUAUUUUGUUACACACGUAUUUAAUUUAAGAUAACAAAAUUAGAAGAAUUUUUUUCUUUAUAUUCUAAUUUUUAUGCACAUUACACAUCAAAUGCGACCGACACAUGGAAAGUGAAAAGGGGGGAGUAUAUUGGUGCUAUUAUAUUCUUUCUCUUGAUUAUUUUGAAAAGUGGGUACCCACUGAAGGACAACUUGGUGGUUGGUACUUUCUUUGUUUUUUCUUUAAUUUUUUUAUAAGAAAUAAAGGCUGGGAAGUUAGAAAAGGCAACUCGUUUUGAAGAAAAAUAAAAUUUUGGGUAUGACAAAUAAAAUAUUUCGUGUUCACACUGGAUCCAAAGAAGGGCCUAACCCGAGAUACAAAUAGAAUAGAAAAGCUACUUUGAUAUUGUCUCUAUUCGAUUAAGGUUUAUUAAAAUUGUUUAUUGAUUAACGAGCAAAACAAACAAUUCUAAUAGACUAGAGUUUAGUUUGCACAUUAUUAAAAUUGCUUUAUGGACAAACUCCCUUUCACUAGUUCCUUGAAGGUGACUUGUAAAAAGCCCAUGGUUCAGCAGAAGUAUACUCUGUCACCUGCUUAAUGUUCAAGAAACUUUCAAGACCCCUGCAUCAAUGCACAAACGAUUAUCACUUAUCAGUCCGAUCAGAUCAGAUCAGAUCAGAGGUCUCAAGUUCGUGCAUUGAAAAUGAAACAGUUUUUUGGUAAAGAACAUUUUUCACUUUAUUAGAUCUUAUACAAUGUGAGUUCAGAUUAGUGAGUGCUUACCAUUCCCCUAGAUCACGUCCAAAACCACUACGCUUUUUACCACCCCAUGGAAGCUGAUUAAAGGUUGGCUGUGAACAGUUAAUCCAGAUGAUCCCUGUCUGAAAUGCCUGCAAAUUAAAUUCCAGCUAAUUAACAACAGGUCAAUCGCCUUCUGAUAUUGAUUUAUAAAGGAAUUGAUUGUAGCAAAUGUGAAAUACUAGCUCCCACCUUUGUAAACCUCUCACACCUUUUAACAUCUUUUGACAUAACAGCAGCAGCCAAACCAUACCUAUGAAAAAAGGAGGAAAAAAUCAACAACAAACAACUAAAGUUUGCUCUAUUUUCUAUUGGCAUAUAAAUCUCUGAGAGAACUAUACUCCUAGAAAACAGUGGAUCCAAAGAAAACAUACCUAAAACUUAGUUCCAACUAACUAAAAAGGUAAAAAUGGAAGAACAAAAAAACAUGGUUAACAUCAGUCUGAAUAGGCAACUCACUUGGUGUCAUUUGCUAGUUCAAUGGCUUCCUCUUCAGUUUUGAAUGUUUUGACACAAAGAACAGGUCCGAAUACUUCCUCUUUCCAGAUUUCCAUUGAGGUAUUAACAUCAGUAAUAAUAGUUGGCUGAACAUAAUAUCCUUUCUUCAAAUGCUGCAAUUCAAUUGUGAUGACUUCAGUUGUUUUACAAAAGAUUGACAAACAAACUAAAGCAUCUGCAGGCUUUUGCUAAAAAGGAUUUUUUUUACCUGAGGCCGUUUGCCACCAUAAAGAAUGGUUGCACCUUCACUUUUGGCAUUUGAGAUAAACUUCAAUACCUUCUCAUACUGCACGUUAACAAAAAUUAGUACAUAGAUAUUGUCUACAAAUUGUGUGACCACUCCAUCUACAAGAUCCGCUAGAAAAUAACAAACCAAAAGCAGUGUCAUCUAAUGAGUUACUGUGUCAACUCAGUAUUAAACAUCUACGUUUUGUUUAUGAAGCACUUUAUAGUUAGAGAACCACAUAUCCUAUUUUACAUGCGAUUUCUUACUUGUCCAGCACUGACGACAGGACCAAGCUUGCAGUCUUCUUCCAAAGGAUCGGAGAUUUUGAUGUUUUUGGUCCACUUAAGCAGCCUGUCCAAAAAUGCAGAAGCAAUGCUUUCCUGGAAUAUUCAGAAUUUGAUUUUAAGAAAAGUAUCAACAUGGUAGAUAACAGAAAGGAAAAUACCACAAAAGAAUACAUCAAAAAGACCGGGAAAUGCUACAGUUUUUGUAAGUUAGAACUAAUGUAAUCAGCAUUCACGUCUGGCCUUGAUAUGCUAUGUAUAGUAAAACCUCUACUAGAUCAUAUUUUUCUUGGGAAGGCCACAUCCCAUCUCAUAUACUCAUAUUUGCUACACCUUUUUACUAUUUACUGAAUUCUAGUAUGUAAUUUGAUACUACUCUCCAUGCAAUUUCUAACUUUAUAAAGUUUUUUUCAUUAGAUAAAUCAAUUGAUAUCCAAUUUUAUUUUUUUUAAAUUGCACCCUACCAAUCCACAUCAGCUCACGUUUAGGAAAUAAAUUUAUCUUUCCCACCCUGAACAAUUUUUGUUCAUAAGAAAACAAAGUAAAUGAACUGGAGUCCCAAAUUUUUCCAAGAAAUAGGCAGGUAAGACAGUGUCACACAAUUUGAAUCUUUGAGUGGCAAUUUUGGUGAUCUUCUCUCAGGCAUAACCCUCUCUCACAAAGUGUUAAAGAGUUGAACUUCACAUUCCUAUUACACUGCCAAGCACGAUAUGACUUGACGAACAUACACACACUGACACACAGAGGUGUUCCGAGAGGUACUUCCUAGAUAAUUUGUAAAUAGUACCAAUCCAGGACCGAGUUAACCAAAGGAGAACACUGUGACUAAAUAUAUGGACCUCAUCCACUUUUACACUUGUUACCUGUACUAUAAGCCGUGAUGUUGCACUACAAACUUGACCAGUAUUCGCAAAGAUACCAAAAAGAGUCCACUCAGCAGCUGCAUUAGACAACGAAGAACAUAGGAUCAAUAACCAAGAUUAUAUUCCUAAACAAAAGGGUGAAGUUAACUUCUUAACCAAAUGGUCGUGUGUACAAUUUAAAAAGAACAAACCUAUAUCAAGGUUAUCGAUGUCGUCAAACACAACUAUUGGACUUUUUCCACCAAGCUCAAGACUAACUGGCUGCAAAUGAAACAUAAGGGCUUAGCAAUAAUUAAUCCACCCGCACGCCAGCAAGUUAUUUUUCCAGUUAGAACCUAAAAGAUUACUUAUUUACGACAAAGCGUACUUUAACAAGUUGAGCUGCAGCAGUCAUGAUCUUAGAUCCUGUAGGUCCACUUCCUGUAAAUGAAAUCUGUCACCAAAAAUUUUAAAAAUCAUUUCAACAUAUUUUAUGUGAGAUUCGAUAAAUAUACAAAAGACAAACUCGAAAAGGAAACAGGCAAACCUUGUCCACAUGAGGAUGAGAUGCCAAAGGACCACCAGCUUCAGGCCCUAAUCCUGUUAAAAUGUUAAGGGCACCAGAAGGAAGACCAAUCUCUCUACAGAUCUCACCCAACUCCAAACAGGUACUACAAUUGAAUGUCAGAAUCAUUUAAUUAACGAAGCAAAUGAUGCGGAUCAAGGAUAUAGAUACUGAAGAUGAUAUGCUACAAGGACUCACACUGAUGCUAGUUCAGACGGCUUAAGUAUUGCUGCACAACCAGCAGCCAGAGCAGGGGCAACUUUCCAUAUGGCCAUUAACAAUGGAUAAUUCCUUCAUUAUGAAAACAAAAGGAUCAUUGACUUGAAAAAGUAUACUUGAAUGUCAUUCUCAUUGUUCAUUUAUUAGGAUUAUGGUCCAACUUUUCCAAUGAAAUAUAUUGUUGAACUAGGAGACAACUAGGUUAACUGAAUAUUCUUCAUUUUCGCCAUAUUUCAACAUUUUAAGAACUAACCAGACCACCUCAGAUAAAGUAUAAUGACUUACUUUUAGCUUGUCAAUGAUACGAAAACAACCAGUGGAUAUAUAAAUGUACAGAAAACAUUAGUUAAAUGCAGAAGUUCCACCACAAACAUCUGCCUGAUCAAUAUGUGGUUUGUAAAACUAAAAAAACCGUAAUAACUCUGAAAAAUGGCACCUACCAUGGAGUUAUCAAUCCCACAACACCAAGAGGUUCUCUAAGAACAUAAGUUUUAAAUGAAUCCGAAUUAAGAUUGACAGGAGUCUUCCUUCUCGAAUCCAAAGCUUCAGCGAGGUCUGCAUAGUACUCAAAACAUCCUGCGACAUCAUCCUGAAAUAUAAGACAGCACAUAGAAUAAGUUUGUGUACAUCAAGUUGAAGCAAACUAUAUAUUUAUCUCAUUUAUGCAAGAAAGUACCAUAUCUGCAGCAGACUCAAACAAUGUUUUUCCACUAUCAAGGGAUUCAAGUGUUGCAAGUACGGAUUUCUUCUCCAGUACCUAUGAAAAAAAUAAGCUAAAACAGUUAGCAAAUGAAUCAUUUAAAGAAAAGCAGAAUAGUCAAUUAGUUCUGAAGAAUGUCCCAAUAUCUUGCCAACACCAUGCAAUAUAUACAGCAGCUCACUAGUAUCCAAGAACAUAAUCUACUUGAGUGGAAAUUUCCUGUUUUUCUCAAAGUAGUAAGGUAGAUGCCCCUAAAAUGACUCCUCCGCGACAUCUACAGCUGCACAGUUUUUCAGGCAUCUAUAGUGGAUAAAAUUUGUGCUUAGGACAAUCUAAAAGGCGCUCACAGCUUGGAGGAAUCACAAAUGUAAUAUUACAUAUACACUAAACCUAUUACUAUGCUUUAAUCUCAAAUCAAAUCGUUUACGUUCAUUUCACUCCAGUUGGAGACUUGUUUCACUCCAAUACUGAAUAGUUUAUCUAUAAAAAAGAAAAUUGAGUUUUAUGUACGUAGUAGACUUGGCAUUCUCAGAGCUAGCUAUCCUUCAACGGAGAAAGAUUUAAUUAUCUGUCGACACACUAGCAGUACUUAGAGACAAUCAACUAGCUUUUACGCCUAAAAGUUUCACUACACCUGAGUUCAAUCCUUCAAGGACAGAAGGAACCGCGAUCUCGAUGUAACUCAGAGAAUACAGUUCCUAAAUCCUGUAUAAUUUGAGCUCACACUGUUCCGAACUCAUACAUAAUUACGAAAUUAGCAUUGAAAUAUAGAUAAUUUUUCUGCUUCUGGACUAGUAACUGCCUUCAUCCAGAUUCCAGGGUUCUAAUAAAAUUCCUGAAAAAAAUCAUGAAUAUGUAAAAUUAAGAUGCCAAUGCAGAACAGUACACAACCUUAGCAGCAAUAGCACGGAGAUAUUUUGCGCGUUGUGCCCCUGUUGUAGAACCCCAGUCAUCCCUAGCAAUCGCUUUCCGUGCUGCUUCCACAGCUAUAUCCACAUCUUCCGCGGUAGCCGCCGGAAUAUCCCCUGAAAAUCCAAUUUAAACAUAAUCUCUCAUCAGAACAAAAGUAAUUUUCACGUGCUUCACCAGCAUUCAACAAAAAAAAAAAAAAAAAAAAGAGUGAGAAAUACGAUCAGAUUACAAUUACGGAUAGAAUAGAGUAUGCUAAUCAUCUACUGACGUACCGAUGAUUUCUUCAGUAGCCGGAUUGAUUAUCGGAAUCCGGUUCUUCUUGACCGGUUCUCUCCAUUCUCCGCCGAUGUACAGCUGUCGACGUGAGAUUGGUACAUUACGAUUUGCCAUAACUCGAUACAAUCACCUCACAGUUUAAGACUCUUACGUAGAGAAAACUAAUCUACGUUACCGCCAAAAAAUGGCGCAGGGAGUAAUUAGAUCAGUGAUUUUUGUUCUUAUAAAAGCCACUAUAUAAAGAAAUGAGCAUACAAAGAAGUCGAAAGGAUUUAACAUCUACAAUUUUAACCUAUAUAUAAGUAAUUUUAGGGUUCUGAUGAAGAUGUUCCACGACCUAAUAUUUGUGUGAUUAUGAAAUUUUUUUCAUUUAAAAGUAAAAUGUUGAUUUUAAUUCAAAUUAUAAUUCAAAUGAAGAAAUGCAUAAUUAUUUUUGGAAUAAAUUGAUAAGAAAAUAAUAUUACUAUUUUUUUUGAGAGAAAUCCUCAAAUGAAUGAAAGUGGAAAAAGAAGAAAAUAUAGCUCCAAAGUGGAAAUUGUGCUUUAUUGGAUAAUGUAUGAUUAGUAACAUCACUUAUCCAUCUUUUUCAUGUGUUAGCGUGGGUUAGAGUCUACAUUGAUUUGAGAUAAUGGACUAUGGUUUGAAAUUAAUUCUCAUUUUAUGAGUUAGUAUUUGACUCAUAUGUUAUAUUAUUACAUAUUACUAAAGUCAGAUUCAUUCAUGCAUUCAUAUGAGUGUCAAUAAUGCUUAGGUUUCUUGAUAUUUCUUUUGUUACGUAGAAACUAAGACAAUCAUAAAUAUUUGCGUUCAUACUUAAUAUUUACGUCAAAUCAAAAAUAUAAUCUUAAUAAAUAAUAUGAUAAUACAUACUAUAAUUGAGCAAUAGAUUUAUGUAUAAAACUAUAAAUAUUAUAUAUUUAUUAAAUUAAUAUAAAUAUCGAAUAUGAGUAAUUUUAACGCGAAAGAUGUUAAUAGUAAAGGGAUCUAAGGCAAUGGUGGUGGUGGGGGGGGCCUAACCAGAUAAGAUGACAAUGAAGUACUCAUCACUUGUUGACAUUUCAGUUUUUUUGUUUUUUGACAAUAACAUAAAGAUAUGCUUCUCAGUUCUCACUUAAAUCAACAUUGAAUUUAUAUUACUUCAUAAAUUUUAUUUCAAUCAUGGUAUUCAAUUGUUUUUGUAGGUUGUAUACUUAAAAAUCAUUAGUAAUGGUUUCGUUUUUUGAAUUGUUAUACUUAACCUAGAUAUGCCUUAUAUACUUCAUCUUUUAUGAUUUAUCAGGUUGGAUUAAUUAGUGAUGAUUUCUGAUACUGAUUGAAAAAAAUGUAAUUAAAGAAAAUCGAUCAUGAGAAAAUUAAAACGAACAACACAAUAACAAGACAUAUAAAGUAAACCAAGUAGCAAGUGGUUGUGAAAAUUGAAGUAAUUUUAUUACUUCAUAAAACAAUACUCCAUAAUUUUAUUUUAAUUUAUAUGUUUUACUUUUUUAAUCCUUUUUAAAAAGGGUGUUUCUUCCUCACAAUUUUCGGCAAUUUAUUGAUUUAAAUUUUUUCACAUGACAUGUUUAAAAUCAUAAAAUUAAAUAAUAUUUUCUACAUAUUUUUAGUUUAAUAUCACAACAAUCAAAAUUCUACUUUAAUUUUCUAAAACUAUAUAACAAAUCAAAACUAAAAAAAUAAAUUGAAACCAAGAUCGUACUACUAAUAGAAUGGACUAAUAUGUAUAGGAUCUAUCUAUAGAAUUAAUUGGGUUGGCAUUAAUUUGUUGACCUAGCUCGAUCAAAUUUGUGUAUUCAUACCUAAAUUUGACCAACUUAUUAAUGUUAACAUAAUGAGAAAAUACUUAAAUAAUAAAAGUAUGUUUUUUCUAACAAAAAAUCUCACUACCAUUCAAAAUUAAAAAGAAUCUCCACAUGCUUGGUCAUGGAAAAAAAAUCAAACCCCCACAUAAGGAGCGUAUAGUAAUUAAAUAAAAAUAUCAAACCCGCACGUAAGGAGCGUAUAGUUUAUCUUUUGACUUUGCUGGAUUAUUAGUCUCCAUGAAUUGAUUUAUUCAUUUACUAUUAAAGGUGAUAUUUUAUUUUCUUGCAUCAAAAUUUAGGCUUUUGACUACUAGAGAACAACCAGACGCUACUCUUGGAUAUUAUUUAUCUCAUGUCUAAGGUGAACCCAUUAAUCAUCAUACAGUUUUUGUUUUUGGUUUCUCAUUCAACGUUUGAUAUUUAUAUUAGAGUUUGAUUAAAUUUAGAUUUGUGUUAGAAAGUUCACUCUAAUACAUAAAGUGCUCCCUAAUAAUAAUGACUCUAUACCCAAAGAAACUUGAACUCGAGACCUCCGAACCCAUUAUAGUUAUACCACAAAAACUAGGUUCUUUUGCAGUGACUCAAUUAGUCGCCACAAAAGCAAAGGAUUUUAGGAUUUUGUGACAAUUAUAUGCGCAUUCGAGUGACUACAAUAGCCACAAGUAGCGUUAUUUUUCAUAUUUUUGAAAAAUUAACAAUUUCACAAUUAGAAUAGACAAAUAUUAAAUUAAUUAGUCAAUUCAAAUAGAAGAAACCCAACUAUAUAGUGAUAAUUAAUAUUUUUUUUCUUAUUGAAUAUAAUUGUAGUUUAAUUAAUUACUUAUUCCAGGGAAAGAAAAGUUUACAACUAGUUUCAGAUCUCAUACACGUUUCUUCAUCUAGAAUUUGCCAAAUAUAAAAAUGUCCAAUAGGAUCACAAUUAUCCUUAUCUCUAUCAAAGUUAAAUAACUCAAAAUGGACAUGUUUUUUUGAUAAAACAAUUAAAUCUAUAUCACAAGUGAGUUUGUUAUCUCCUUUGGGAAUUAUAGGAAUAUCGAUGUAAUUGAGAUCACUUCCGGGAAUUAAUUUACUUUGGAACACAUCUUCUCCUCUCAAAAAACAAUCGAUUACUGCUAUUUUUUAAGCUUUAUUUUCAAUACCAACUGAAUAUAUGAAUUGUGAACUAACUGAACAUGAGAAAAUAAGUAGGAGACAUGUAUUGAUAUUGUAUAGAUAAUUAUGCUAUGUAUCAAUACUGUAUAAAUGGUGUAUAAGUAUGUAUCAAUAUUAUAUAUAUAUCGAUAUUGUAUAAAUAAUGUAUAAUUGUGUAUCAAUAUUAUAUAAAUAAUUAUGUAUUGUAUAAUAUCAAUAAUUAUUUGACUAUCAUACAUUCCCACCUUAAUAAAUAAAAGAAUAAAUAAAACAUAAUAAAUCUACACAAUUUUUUAUUUUUUUUAAAUAGCACGGCAAAAAAAACAGAAAUAAAGAUUUUUUUUAAAAAAACAAGGAAAAUGGCCAAAUUUACAUUCCCAGUUGUAAACCAAAUAGACGAGCGACUAUAUUUGGUACAAAAAAUGGCAAAUUGGACAUUUUUAAUAAAAUAAAAAAAAGGUGAAUUAUUUUUUGUGUAAGUGAAUUGUUUUUUUAAUCCAAUGAACAUUUUGCAUGAUUUUUCCAAUAUAAAAAUAAAAGUAAGAAAAUGGGUGUCUUGAGCCCAAAUAAUUCGUCUAAAACCUUUCAAUUUAUCAGGUUUAUAUAUAUAUAACUAGACUCAUAUUUACGAAAUGUAGAAAAAAAAAAACAAUUCACAAAAUACAACAGAAUAUCUUUCAUAAAAUAUAUAUAAAUUUCACUAGGACUUAAAUGUUUCGCUCAAAGGCAUAAAAAAUUCUAUCAAUAUUUUGUGUAUGAAAAUAGAAUAAAAUUAAGAUAUGUAUAUCUUGCUCAAAACUUAAAACUUUGCUCACAUUUUGUGUAUAAAAUUUAUUAUGAAAUAUCUAUAUCUCUCUUGAGGCUUAGAAUUUCGCUCACAAUUUUCUUAUAUGAAAACUGUAUAGAAUGAUAGAAUAGGAGAGAAAAAAUUGUAUAACUAUUGUAUAAAUUUAAUAUAACUACAACACACAUGUAAAAGUUCUAUAUGAAAUAAAUCGAGAUUAACCAUAUCUUUUCCACUUAAAAAACAAUGGACUUCCGCUGUUAUUGAAGCUAUAUUUUUAAUAUCAACCCUGUACGAUAUUUGUGAAUUGAGUAAACAUGAGAAAAUAAGUGAGAAGCAUACUAUGAAUAAUGGGGAAGACAUGAUGGCUUUUUCUUGUUUUUGUGUGAGUGUUUGUGUUGAUGUGACAAUUUAUAACAAAUGUUCUCAUGUUACUUGAGAUUCAUGUAAUAUGAUUUUAUUUUAUUUUUGUCUUUGCAGAGAAUGAAGUUUUAUUGAUAAGUCUAUAUUAAAUUUGAAUUAAAUGUCAUAUUCAUGAUAUGUUAAGUAAGUUAAAUUAUUGAUAAAUAAAAUUGGAUUAAUGUACAAAAACUAAGUUAUUGUCCUAUCGGGAACAACAAAAUCCUCUUAAGUCUUAAACUCAGACACGCGUCCAAUGAUUUAUAUUAUAUCCCAAAGACAUUAAUUACCACAAUUGAGUUUAAUAUAUAAUUAGAUUACUUAAAAAUAAUUAAUUUUAAUGUAUUCACUUGUAAUUUUUUUUUAUAUAACAAUUCUCUCUUUAUAUUACUAUAUAUAAUAAGUGGGAAUAUCUACUACUUAGCACAUGACAAGUGUUGGAUGAUAUGUGCUUUGAUAGUGUUGUACAUUCUUCUUUUAUGGUUGUACCUUUAAAAUUUAUAUUAUUGAACAAUUUAACAUCAUUAAUUACCUACUACUUUAUUAGCCGAAAAGAUAGACCUCAUUUGGGCCCAUUUAUUAUUUAUAUGUUUUCAAUUUUCAAUAUAUGUUGUCUAUCUUAUUAUUUUUUUCAACCUUUUAUUUUUAAACUUCUUGAAAUUUAAUUACCUAUUUAUUACUCUCUCUAUACACUUUUUAAUUGUUAUGAUUUUCCUUUUUUAGAGUCAAACUAUAAGAAUUUUAACUAAUAUUUUACAAUGUGUUUUUUCAUCAUAUUCAUAUGCAACAAAUUACAAUUUAUAGUACUUUAGUAUAGAUUUUACAUAUUUAAAUUUUUUGUUUAAAAUAUCAAAUUAAUACAAUCUAAUUUAACUUUGAAAAUUAUUAUAUUACUACUAUUAAUAAGAGUGAAUGUGAGGAGCUUCCCGUUUAUGGGACUUGACAAAAAAAUCCUCAGAUGUUAUUUUUGUAAUUUCACAUGAAAAAUGUAAUUCAAUUGGUUAGUUAAAGGAGUAGUGCAGCUGCAUUUCAUUUUUUGUAUCUAUUGGACUAAUUUGUCCCCUUAAAACUACAAAUAAUUCGCACAACUUUCUGAAAACAUGAGCCCCACUUAUUACUACUUAGUUGUAUUGCUUUGGUGACUGAUAUCAACUAUUCUCUCACCAAUAAUAUUUCUCCAGUAUUGACUUUAUACAUUUUUUAAGAAAUUAUAAAUAAAAGAGUAAUAUUACUAUAUCAUUCUUUAAAUAUAAUAAAUAUAAUGUAUUAAAAAAUAUAAUUGAAAAAUGACUAUAAUUAAUGAUAAGGGGUAAACUAUCCAUUGAUUUCAUAAAGUGGACAAGUAUUGUAGGACAUUCCAAAAUAGUAUAAUAGACAAUAAUUAUUGGACGGAUGGAGUAGGAUUAAGUCUUUCUUUCAGUACUUUUCUCACAUUAAUUAAUUUCUCUCAGCAUUCAAUUAGUGAAUCUUUAGUAGAAUUAAUUAGAAUACUUUUUACUUAAUAAUACGCACAAUAAGCAAUAAGAGGAAGCUUUCGUUGGUCUGUUCUUUUAAGGGUAUGUUGCUAAACCAUCAACACUGAAAGGUAGCUCUACUGAUAAUUGUGAAGAAAGCAUAUUAAUGGAUUAAAAAUCAAAAAGAGGUAAUUAAACCCUAAAAUAUUAUAAAGACAUCUAUAAAAUUUGGUUGAAGCUCAAAAUCUAUUAGUGCCAUAUAAAUUAGGAUAGAGGAAAUAACAUAUAUUAUUUGAAAUAACAUGAAACGUACUACAAAUCACACAAUAAUUAGCAACUUCAAAAUUUAAAGGACAUACAAAAAAUUUGAUCAACUCUCAAAAUUCUACUAAUGUCACAUAGUUUGGGAUAGAAAAAGUAACAUAUACGUAAAAUGUACUAUAACUCAUAAUAAUUAAAUAACUUCAAAAUCUAAAAGACAUAUACAAAAUUUGCUUGACUUUCGAAAUUCUAUCAAUGACACAUAAAUUGGGACAAAGAAAAUAUUGAAAAUUACAUAUAAAGUAUUAUUAACCACAAUAAUCAACAACUUAAAAUUUAAAGAACAUACAAAAAAAUUGUUUGACCGUUAAAAUUUUAUUAAUGUCACAUAAAUUAAAAUAAAAAAUAAAAAUAUAUGUUGGGCCCGUGCUAGCACGGGCUACUGUAACUAGUAUAUAUAUAUACUUAAAUCCUUGACAGAAUAAUCCUUCAUUAUGGACAGCUAAUAUAUAUCCAAAGCCUGCCUGGCCCCUGCUACCACUAGUAAUAUUCAAAAACACAUUUCUCCUUAAUUUAUUUUUUUUAUUUUGUUUUAAUUAGUUAAAACAAAUCUUAUUUUUUUUAAUUUUUCACAUGGUAUUGAAUCCAUAAGAUUAAAAAAUAUUUUUGGUUUAGGAUUUUAUUUUUUAAACUACAUGCUAAAUAGAAUAGACUUAUAUUGUAUAGGAUUAGGAUCUAUAUAUAGGAUUGGGUUGACAUUAAUAUAGUUGACCUAGGUCGAUCGAGUUUGUGUACUCACACCUAAAUUUGACUAACUUAUUAAUGUAAUGUAAUUACGUAAAUCUAUAAAUUAUGCGAUCAUAUAAUAAAACUUUAUCUUUUGACCUUGUUGGACUAUUAAUCGCCAUGAAUGAUUUAUUCAUUUAUUUUUAAAUAUGAGAUUUUAUUUUAUUUUCUUGCAUCAAUGUUUAGGCUUUAACUAUUAAUUAGGGAACAACCAGGAUUUUAUUCAUCUCAGGUCUAAGGUGAACCCAUUCUAUAGUUUAUUUGUUUUUUUUUGGUUUCUCAUUCGAUAUUUGAUAUUUAUAUUAAAGUCUGACUAAAUUUAGAUUCGUGUUGGCAAGCCCACUCCGAGAAAUAAAGUGAUCCCUAACAAUGAUAAUUUUGUAUUCAAGGAGACUUAAAUCCGAGACCUUCCGAACUCAUUAUAGUUAUACUACAAAAAUUAUGUUCUUUUGUGGUGACUCAUUUAGUCGCCACAAAAGGUUGAUUCUAGUUGUAGUGUUAUUUCUUAUAUUUUUGAAAAAUUAAUGAUUCCGCGAUUUGAAUGUAUAUAUCAAAUAUUAAAUUAAUUAGUCAAUUCAAAUAGAAAAACUCAACUAUGUAUUGAUAAUUAAUAUUUUUUCUUCAUGAAUAUAAUUGUAGUUUUAUCAAUUACUUAUUCCACAGGAAAAAAACCUUACAACUAGUUCCAAAUCCCAUACAGAUUCCUUCAUCUUGAAUUUCCCAAUUACAAAAAUGUCCAUCAUCACAAUUAUUUUUAUCUCUAUCGAAGUUAAAUAACUCAAAAUGAACAUGUUUUGUUGAUAAAACAACUAAAUCUACAUCACAAGUGAGUUUGUUGUCUCCCUUGGGAAUUAUAGGAAUAUCGAUGUAAUUUGGACCAUUUCCGCGAAUUAUUUGACUUUGCAACACAACUUCUCCUCUCAAUAAACAAUAGAUUACUGCUAUUUUUGAAGUUUUAUUUUCGAUAUCAACCUUAUAUAAGAUGGGAUUUGAACUAAUCGGACAUGAGAACAUAAGUAGGAAACAUGCUGUAAAUAAUGGGGAGGUCAUGAGUUUUUUUUCCAUUUUUGAUGUGUGUGUCUUUUUUUAUGUUGAUAGGACUCUAAUUUAUAAUAGUAAUUAUUACAAAAAUUUAAUUACUUCUCAUCUUCUAUAUAUAAUAAAAAUAUAAGUCAUUGAAUCUAGUCCAACAAUUACAACAAGUAAUUCUAUUUACAGAAAAAGGCAAAUUUCAUUAAUAUACAGAAAAACAAAAAAUUACAAAAAAAAAAAGUAAUUUUAUUUACAGAAAAAAUAGUCAAAAAGGAUCAUGCACUUUUACAAAAAAAAUAAGUAAUUCUAUUUUUUUUUUCAGCGUUCGUUAUUUUUAAAAAAAAGUGUUUCUUUUAAUUAUUUUAUUUUAAUUUAAUUUAUUUGUCUUAUUUUUCUUUUUAAUCCGCUUCAAAAAGAAUGUUUCUUUUUCUUCUUGUUUUUUGGAUAACUCAGUAAUUCAAUUUUUCCACAUGACAUGUAUAAUAUACAACAAAAUUAAAGUACAUUUCGUUACAUUCAACAUUAUCUUUAGUUUAAAAUCACAACAAUAGAAAAUCUUCUUUAAUUUCUUAAUAAUAACUCUCUCUCUAUUUAUAUAUAUAUAUAUUAAAGAAGGUGAUGUUGUGCUUAAAGAGAUGAUCGAGAAACCAGGUGUACGAGAUGUUGAGCCAAUGGAAAAAGUGCUUAAUUGGACUUCCACUCCGCUCUUGAUUCCUCGCUCAUCCUGAUAGACAGAGAUGAAUUCUAUGCCAUUUCAAAAAUCUGUGGUAGUCCGAAGGAGGCCUGGAACCCACCUUUUGUGUCUUUUUACCUAAUUAUCUUUCAAUUUCCUUCGUAAUGGUUUGAAAAAAUCAAAAUGGCCCAUGGUCAUGGCCAAAGUUCGUAUAUCCUUAUUUUCAAUGAAAGCUACCUCUAUUGUGAAAAAUUUAUUUCACUUGCUUUAAUUCUUCUAUCUAAAAGUCUUUAUUUCAGUAAAAAUGAUUUUAAAUCUAUCAACAUCAAGUCAUAUCACAAGCCGAAUGAACAAAUGAGGUAGAUGACAAUGUGUUCUAAGAGUAUGAUGAGAAAAUCAUGAUAUCCAAAUACAUUGCCAACGCAUUGAAACGGUUCGAGAAUCAACAUAAGUCGAAUCUAGAUGAUAUAGAAACUGUGAAUCUAGAAAAAAGAUAAAUGUGUCAAUCAAACACGAAUCAACGUCUACCUGACUAAAGCUUAGAAAAGAGAACUCAACGAUUUACAUAGACAAAACAUCGAUACAUUUGAUUGAUUACAUGUCACGGUUGGGCGUAGAUAUUUAUCUCACGAGUCGUCAGUCGACUCAGGUACUGUCAAAAGAUACUAUGUUUGAAGGCUCAUAGUUUCUUUUAUUUCUUUCCUUGUAAUCACAUAAUUUGCAUGUAAUAAUAUAUGCUUUAUAGUUAGAAAAUUAUCCUUUGUAAUGAACUACGUCUGACCUAAAUUCUCAAGAAUGAGAUACGUAGGCGGCNNNUAUAUAUAUAUAUUGAUCAUUUGCAAACUAAAUCACUUAAAGAAAAUAAAUUAAAACAGAGAGAAUAUUGUUGUUAGUAUAGAUUUAUAAGUUAUAUGUAUAAGAUCUAUACAUAGGAUUGGGUUCGAUUAAUAUAGUUGACCUAGCUCAAUUGGAUAUGUGUAUUCACACCCAAAUUUGACUAACUUAUUAAUGUUACAUAAAUUUAUAAAUUAUAGGGUCAUAUAAUUAAAUUUUAUCUUUUGACCUUGUUGGAUUAUUAAUAGCCGUGAAUGAUUUAUUCAUUUGUUUUUAAAUAUGAUAUUUUAUUUUAUUUUCUUGCAUCAAUGUUUAGGCUUUAACUAUAUAUUAACUAGGGAACAACCAGCAGGAUAUUAUUCAUCUCAUGUCUAAGGUGAACCCAUUUUGUAGUUUGUGUGUUUUAUGGUUUCUCAUUUGAUAUUCGAUAUCUAUAUUAAAGUCUAAUUAAAUUUAGAUUUGUGUUGAAAAGCCGUAUCUAAAAAAUAAAUUAAAGUACUUCAUGACAAUGAUAAUUUUGUAUUCAAGGGGACUUGAACUCGAGACCUCCGAUCUCAUUAUAGUUAUACUACAAAAACUACGUUAUUUUAUGGUAACUCAUUUAGUCGCCACAAUAGGCUGAUUCUGAUUGUAGUGUUAUUUCUUAUAUUUUUGAAAAAUUAAUGAUUCCGCGAUUUGAAUAUAUAUAUAUAUAUAUAUAUCAAAUAUUAAAUUAAUUAGUCAAUUCAAAUAGAAAAACUCAACUAUAUAUAUAGUAAUAAUUAAUAUUUUUUUUCUUAUUGAAUAUAAUUGUAGUUUAAUCAAUUACUCAUUCCACAUGAAGAAAAGCUUACAAUCAGUUCCAGAUCCCAUACACAUUCCUUCAUCUUGAAUUUCCCAAAUACAAAAAUGUCCAUCAUCACAAUUAUUUUUAUCUCUAUCAAAGUUAAAUAUCUCAAAAUGGACAUGUAAUUUUCCUAAAACAAUUAAAUCUAUAUCACAAGUGAUUUUGUUAUCUCCUUUGGGAAUUAUAGGAAUAUCGAUGUAAUUUGGACCACUUCCAGGACUUAAUAUACUUUUGAACACAUUUUUUCUCAAAAGACAAUAGAUUACUGCUGUUUUUGAAGCUUUAUUUUCGAUAUUAACCGUAUAUAAGAUGAAAUUUGAACUAACUGAACAUGAAAAAAUAAGUAGGAAACACGUUAUAAAUAAUGAGGAAGUCAUGAGUUUUUUUUCAUUUUCGAUGUGUGUAUUUUGUUUGUGUUGAUGCAACUCUAAUUUAUAAUUGUAAUUAUUACAAAAGUUUAAUUACUUCUUAUCUUCUAUAUAUAAUAAAAAUAUAAGUCAUCGAAUCUAGUCCAACAAUUACAAAAAGUAAUUCUAUUUACAGAAAAAGUCAAAUUUCACUAAUAUACAGAAAAACAAAAAAAAUACAAAAAAAUAACUAUUUAGAGAAAAAAUAGUCAAAACGGAUCAUAGGGUCAACAGAACUUAAAUCGGCCCAAGACCUUUAGGCCAUUUUGCUUCCCUUUUUUUUUACCAGUGUUCGUUAUUUAUUUUUUUUUAAAAAGUGUUUUUUUAAAAUAAAAAAGUAUUUUUUUAAAAAAAAUAAACUUUUUCCAUGUAUCAAUAAUUCAAUAUAGUAUAAAUCUGUACAAAACGUGUAUUGCUAUUGUAUAGAUAGUUAUAUAGUGUAUUGAUACAUAAAUGGUGUAAAUGUGUAUCAUUAUGAGAUAAAUAGUAUAUAAACUAGUAUCGAGAUUAUAUAAACAAUUAUGUAAUGUAUUUAUAUCAUGUUUAUCUGACUAUCAUGUAUUUUCACUUUAAUAAAUAAAUGAAUAAACAAAAAAUGGUAAAACAACAUAAAUAUUCGUUGUUUCCGCAAAAAAAGUGAAACAAUUAGAAAAGGAACCAAAUCAAACCAAACGCAAAUAAAAUCUGUUUACUUAAUCGAUUUUUAUUCAAACUGUGAACACCCUUCAUUGUUUUAUUUUAAUUUAAUUUAUUUUUCUUACUUCUCUUUUUAAUCCAUUUCAAAAAGAAUGUUUCUUUCUCUUCUUUUUUUUCUUUUUUUUUGGAUAACUCAGUAAUUCAAAUUUUACACGCGACAUGUAUAAUUUACCACAAAAUUGAAGUACAUUACAUUCAACAUUAUCUUUAAUUUAAAAUCAUAACAAUUAAAAUCUUCUUUAAUUUCUUAAUAACAAGUUUAUAUAUAUAUAUAUAUAUAUUUUGCAAGUUAAAUCACUUUUAAAAAAAAUUAAAGCAGAAAGAAUACUACUAUUAGUACGGACUUAUAAGUUAUAUGUAUAGGAUCUAUACAUAAGAUUGAGUUGGCAUUAAUAAAGUUGACCUAGCUCAAUUGAGUUUGUAUAUUCAGUUGUUCACACUUAAAUUUGACUAACAUAUUAAGGUUACAUAAAUCUAUAGACUAACUUAUUAAGGUUACAUAAAUCUAUAGAUUAUAGGAUCAUAUAAUUAAAAUUUAUCUUUUGACUUGCUGGAUUACUAAUCGCCAUGAAUUGAUUUAUUCCUUUAUUUUUUAAUACGAGCUUUUAUUUUAUUUUAUUGCAUCAAUGAGUAGGCUUUAACUUAUUAGAGCACAACCAGACACUACUCUUGGAUAUUAUUCAUCUCAUGUCUAAGGCCAACCAAUUAUAUAGUUUCUGUUUUUUUGGUUUCUCAUUCAGAGUUUGGUAUAUAUACUAAAGUCCGAUUAAAUUUAAAUGUGUUGAAAAGUCCAUUCUUGGAAAUAAAACGCUCCCUUAUAACAAUGAUGAAUAUGUACCCAAAGAGAGACCUCUGAACCCAUCAUAAUUAUACUACAAAAACUACGUUCUUUUGUGAUGACUCAUCUAAUCACCACAAGAGUAAAGGAUUUUAGGGUUUUGUGGCAAUUAUAUGCGCGUUUGAGUGACUUAAAUCGCCACAAAAGGUUGAUUUUGGUUAUAGUGUUAUUUCUUGUAUUUUUGAAAGAAGAAAAAAAACGAUUUCGUAAUUAGAAUUAACAUACAUAAUUCAAAUAGAAAAACUCAACUAUAUAGUGAUAAAAAAAAAAUUCUUAUUGAAUAUAAUUGUAGAUUAUUCAAUUACUUAUUCCACUCUAAGAAAAGCUUACAAUUAGUUCCAGAUCCCAUACACAUUCCUCCAUUUUGAAUUUCCCAACGACAAAAAUGUCCAACAGCUUCACAAUUACCCUUAUCUCUAUCAAAAUUAAAUAACUCAAAAUGACCAUGUUUUUUUAAUAAAACAAUUAAAUCUACAUCACAAGUGAGUGUGUUAUCUCCUUUGGGAAUUAUGGGAAUAUCGAUGUAAUUUGGACCACUUCCAGGAAUUAAUUUACUUUGGAAAACAUUUUUUCCUCUCAAAAAACAAUGAAUUACUGCUGCUUCUGAAGCUUUGUUUUCGAUAUUAACCGAGUAUAAAAUGAUUUGUGAACUAACUGAACACGAGAAAAUAAGUAGGAAACAUAUUAUAAAUAAUGGGGAAGUCAUGACUCAUGAGGUUUUUGUUUCUUUUUUGUGUUGUUGUGAGUCUAAUUUAUAGUAGUAAUUAUUCUCAUGUUACUUAAGAUUUAUGUAAUAAGAGAUUUACAAAAGUUUAAUUACUUAGCAUCUAUAAUAAAAAUAUAAGUCAUCAAAUCUAGUCAAAGAAUUGACAAAUUGGACAGUCAAUAACACUUGAUAAAAAGCCAAAAUAUUAAAGGGGAAAUUUCAUUAAUAUACAAAAAAAUAAAAAGUUUACAAAAGAAUUAGCCAAUUUUCUAUUUACAGAAAAAUAGCUAAAAAGGGUCAUGGGCUCAACGGAGCUUAAAUCGGCCCAAGACCAUUAGGUCAUUUUUUUUUUUGUAGCGUUAGUUAAUAAUUAUUUUUUUUAGAAAAAAAAACUUAUUUUGUUAUUGUUUUUCAUAAAAACCUUUUUUUUAAAAUUUUAAAAAAAAUCCACGCAAUUAUCAAUAUUGUAUAAAUGUAUAUAAACGUGUAUUGAUAUUGUAUACAUACUGGUUAUGUAAUGUAUCAAUAUUGCAUAAAUAGUGUAUAAAUGUGUGUGUUUAUAUAUAUAUAUGUUACGAUAAAUAUUAUAUGAUGCCUUGUAUUUCAUAACCGACAAAAUUUUGAUAAUAUUUAUUAGAAUAAAGUCAUAAACAAAUUUGUAUCAAUAGCUUAUUUUGCAGUAUGCAACUAAUUGUGUUUUAAUAUACCUAUCAUUUUUAUGCGAUUUAAGUUUUAAUAAAACAUGAUAUAAUGCAAUAUAGUUUAACUUCUAUGCACUAAAAGUGUAAAAAGUAUACAAGUAAAUCUAUUGAUAUGUUUUAAUUGGUAAUCUGGUAAAAAUGAUAACUACCAUGCUAUCGCAUAUUCUGUAACAAUAGCAUGCAAGUGUUUAAUUUGUGUCUAAUUUUCCAUGAUAAAAGAAUUUGUUGCUAAAUGAAUGGUAGAAAACGAAAGACAAGAAGAUGAAUUAAUAUUUUCAGAAAACAUGUGAGGAAUUAUUGAGUUCCAAGGCAAAGGUCUUUAAAUAGGCAUGCAGGAUUUUUGGGCUGUUCCAAUCCCUUAACCACAUAAAGUAUGAUAUCCACUAACAGAAGAAAAAAUCCAUACAAAUAAAUCACUCAAUUAUCUUUCUUUUCCCCUUAUCAGCAAGGGCAACAUUCUUGUUCUCCAAGAAACGAAUUCUCCUAUUGACAGCAACAAGCUUUGAUUCAACUAUCGUCAGAAGAUCUUUCUCUCCUUGUUCUUCUUCUGGUUCUGGUAUUGGUGUUGAUGAUUCCUUGUGCUUUUUUUCGGGUUUCAAAUUUUGAGAGUAGAGAUCAAGAACUUCUUUACAGGCAUCUAAAUUGUCAGGCCAAGUUUGCAGUUCCCCAUUAGGACCAGUAAUAACAGUACAAACCUUGAUAUCGCAGAGAGUUGCAAGCUCCAUCGAUUUCCUCUUUAUGCAUUCUUUCCUCACCUGAUAAGACUUAGGAUUGUUUGUUUUCUUCUUGCUUUGAUCUUCAUCUGCCAUAGCUUGAUUCGAGGUAGAGUCUGUCAUAUAGCUUGAUUCGAUGUAGAGUCCUGAGAAGAAUGAGUACGUAUAUAUAUAUAUGUGUUUUGUCAAGGUAAUAGGAGACUUUAUUCAAUAACUCUUGUAAUUCUUAUACAUUGAAUAUAUCUCUCUACAUUCAAUGUAUCUCUCACUACAUUGAAAAUAUGUAAUAAGGCAUCCUUAUUUAUAAUACUAACAACCAAAGUAAAAUAGGACUUGAAACCUAUAAAACUAACAAAUUCUAAUUAAACUAAAUAAGGAAAUACCAUAAAUAAUAAAUCUUAAACAAGUAAGGAAUUCUAAACUAUUAAGGAAUCCUAAACUACUUAGGAAUCUUAAUCUUGAUUUAUUUCCUACCUUAUUUAAAUUAUAAUUAGUAUUCCUAAUUUGAAUAGUAAGGAAUUCUAAACGGGCAUGUUAUUAAACAUUGGAAUAAUUGGUUACGGUAUAAAGAGGAGGGAGGAUUGUUGAAGUUAGUAAUAGUAAGAACUGUGAUAUAUCCAUUGAGGUAUCCAAAAUAUAGUUAAUACGAGAAAUUAUAAAAUUAGCUCGUGAAAUUAUAAGUUAUUCAAUUCAUUUAAGUUUGGAUUGAUGAUUAACUCGUUUAUUUAUUUUUAAAAUGUUAUAAUAAAAAUAGUUAUUUAAAAUGUGCCACGUUAAUUGAAAGGUAUAUACAAAAACUAAAUUGUUGUUCAGACGGAAACAAUAAAAUCCUCUUAAGUCUUAAACUCAGAUGCAUUAUGCUAUGUCUCGAAGGCAUCAAUAACCACAACCGAGUUAAACAUAUAGUCAGAUUACUUCAAAAUAAUUAAUUUUAAAUAAUCCUGUUUAAUGUGUAUACACUUGUAAUUAAAUCACUGUGACAGAAUAAUCUUUCAUUAUGGACAGCUAAUUUUAUCAAAACCCUGCCUGGCCCCUACUACCACUAGUAUACAAAAACAUAUUUCCCCUUAAUUUGUUUAAUUUAUUUAGUUCGUUUAAUAAAUAUAUUUUUUCAAACUCUGUAAUCAAAAGAUAUUUUUAAUUUAAGAUUAUAAAAUCUAAAAUCUACUUUAUUUUCUCAAACUUGGUGAUAAUUAAAUUAUUAGUCAAACAAAUUGAAACGUAAAAAAUAAACAGAGUAUUUAAAUUUUGAGAAUCUUAAUUUAUAAGUAUGAUUUCUUAUUCUGAUUUUAAAUUAUGAAUUUAAUAUUUGUUCUCAACUUUUUUAUUAGACAUAAAGUAUAAUUCAAAAUUCAAACACCAUAAUGUAAAGGUAAUAUAAAGUACUCAAAUUUGAAGGACUCUGUGAGUAGAAAGAGAGUGAGAGAGAGAGAGAGAAAAAAGGUCUCUUUUUUGUUUUGUUUGUUCAUUGAAUUGAGUGGAGAUCUGCAGAGGAAAUGGCAAGUUUUGGAGGGACAACUCAGAAGUGUAAGGCUUGUGAAAAAACUGUUUACUUGGUGGAUCAACUUACUGCUGACAAUAAGGUUUAUCAUAAAGCUUGUUUCAGAUGCCACCAUUGUAAGGGUACACUCAAGGUGAUACACACUAAAAAUCUGAUCUUUUUCUUGUUAAAUGUGCUUUUGUGCUUUUAUCUUGCUUGAUGUUAUAUGUGGUGUACAUUUAUAUGUGAAAUCAAUGUUAUUUCAUACUGUAGAUAGAAUUGUAAUGUUCUAAUUGAUUUCAAGAGAGGAGGGGGCAAGGAAAGCAAGAAGAGGGUAGGGUUUAUGUUGAAUAGUGAAAAAUGGAGGGGUGGUGUCCUUUUAUGGAUUUGGACAAUUCUCCACUUCUUGAGCUAGUUUUUGGAGUUGAGUUAGAUUCAAGAUUCAUUUUUUAUAUGGUAUCAGGACCCAUCCCAAUUAUUGUGUAUGAUGUUGGGUUCCCAUUUUAAGUUGCCCACAUACUAGACCUCUAGCUGUGGGCGUGGGGUGUUGAAGAUUCCCACAUCAGAUGAAAAGGGGAUGGGUGGUCUCUUAUAUGGACUUGCGCAAUCCUCCCCUCGUGAGCUGGCUUUUGGGGGUUGAGUUAGGUCCAAGAUCCAUUUCUUUAUAGUUUUAGUAUUUGAAUCCGCAACAAGAAGUUGCAAGCUUGCAACAAGAACGAUGUCUUACUGUGCUUUGUUAGAAAUGAAUGAUUGGGUUUGGUUGGGAGAUCCAUGAUGCUCUUCUGUUUAUCCCAAAAGAACAGAGAUUUCAACUAAUAGAUGCUUUCUGUGUUAGGUUAUGUUUGUCAGAUUGUUUUGAUAUGCCUCUUUCAAAGGUUUGAGUUUUGGAUAUUUAUGUAAGCUUUCUGCAAUUGUCAGUGAAGAGUAAUUGUUUGAUAGUAUUAAGGUUAACCGCGAUUUGCCUCUUUCAAAGGUUUGAGUUUUAGAUACUUAUGUAAGCUUUCAGCAAUUGUUAGUGAAGAGUGAUUGUUUGAUAGUAUUAAGGUUAACUGAUGUGAUAGUAACUUGAUGAAAAAUGAGACAUCUAUCGGGGGUAUAUUUGGACUCCCCUAACUGCGUAAAAUUUUGACCAAAAUUGGUCUGUGAAAUGUAAUUACAUGGACUCUAGGGAACUAUGGGUUUAAGAUUCACAUAUAAACAUUCAAAUGAGAUUUGGUAGAAGUUUACAUGAUCUAUUUAAAGAAGCUGUUUUUUAUGACCAAGAAAUCGUCUAAGGCUAGCCUUUAGGACCAACCGCAACUCUCGAAACUCAGGGUUAAUGGGCCUGCCCCUCUUAAAUAUUAGGCUUAGUUCACAUGGCGCAGGGCUCAAACUUGUUGCCUGAGUUACAACCCUUCAACCUUUGUCACUUGAACUUGGGAGCCAUAUAGAAGAAGUAGUUGUUUCUUUUUCGUAAUGUCUCACGUCGGUUAAUAUCAUCUCAACAGCCAAUGAGUUGUGUUUUUGUUCCCAUUUUCACCUUUAUGCCGACCAAUUUUGACUGAUUAACUUGAGAAUCCUGAUUUAUUAGUUGACACUUGACAUUAUUCCCCAUUCAAAUAUGCUUAAUCUAAGUAAGUGAAACCGACCAGUGGUUUCUUGGUCACGACCAGCUAGGGCUAAAGUUCCAAAUUACAGCUACGAAUUAAACAAGAAUACUUUAUUGGGUGAAGAAUACAUGAGCUCCGUUCUUCUUUUUCUUCUUUUAGGAAUGAAAUAUGCUAGAAUGCUGACAUUUAUAGAGGCAUGAGAAUACAAUCAGACAUUCCAUCAAAAUUAUCAUUUAUGUAAAAACUUUGCCUUUUAGUCUUUACCUGAGAAGUUAAGCGGAGUAUUUGCAACUGCAUCCUACUGUACUAACUUUAUUGAUUUUGAAACUUGACUCCAUCUAUCAGUAAUUGUGCUACUGUAAUUGUUGUUCAACUCUGAUUUGCCGAGGCCAUGAGACUUUUUAUUCAUCCAACUUUGUUAGCAUGGAAUCUGGCAUAGAAGUGCUAUACAAUUAGUUAUACAGAUGAAGAUAUUUUGCUCUAUCAACCAAAAGUCCAAAAUCUAGUGUAAACUUCUCAGACGGACACAGUACUUGGAGUAUAUCUCCAUUUUCUCCUUCAUAUGUUUAGCAUCUCUUUAGCACCUUGUUUUCAUGUGGUUAAUUAUAAGAUGUCUUAAUCUUAUUUUCCUUGACAUUUUUAAUGUUUUUAGCUGAGUAAUUAUAACUCCUUCGAAGGAGUUUUGUACUGCCGGCCUCACUUUGACCAGCUAUUCAAAAUGACAGGAAGUCUGGAUAAGAGUUUCGAAGGUAGUUAAGAUAGAGUUGGCAUGCUGAUUUUUCUUCUAUUUCAUUUUCAUCGCUACUCCUUCUAAAGCUAGUUUCUUCUUGUUUGUUAUUUCUCUUUUUUAGGGGCACCGAAAACUGUUAGGGAACGUUCUGCGGAUCAGGUAUUAUUUGAACACUCUUCCUCUUUCAUUUUACAGCAUACAUUUUUGUCUAUUUCAGUUUGCCUGCUGAUCUUAUAAUUAAUUGCCUCGUAUUUAUCUCCCAGGGAUCAAACAGUAAGGUUUCAAGUUUGUUUGGCGGAACUCAAGAUAAAUGUGUUGCUUGCAAGAAAACUGUUUAUCCCCUGGAAAAGGUAUUGACAAUUUCUUUUGUUGUCUAAUGGUAACUAAUCUAUAAAACCGCAGGGAGCAGACUAGACAGAAUACGUUAUUUCAAAAUACUUUAGUACAUAUUUGAAAAGUUGAGCUCUCUUUAGGAACCCAUGGAUUAGUGCCUGUGCCUCUUACUCGGCAUAUCUGAAGUGCUAUUUUCUUCUUAGAUCAAGCUUAUAGAUUAAUGUCACUGCUGCUUUUGUAGGUAGCAGUGGAUGGCACUUCGUACCACAGGCCUUGUUUCAAAUGCAGCCAUGGAGGAUGCGUGAUCAGUCCAUCAAACUAUGUAGCUCAUGAGCAUAGAUUGUACUGUAGGCACCAUCACACUCAACUCUUCAAGGAGAGAGGCAACUUCAGCCAAAUGGAAGACCAUGAGAAAAACUAAAGGGAUGACUGAGAGCACAAUAUCACGAGCCUUGCCGUGAACAUUUUCAUCUGAGUUUGAGUUUGAAACAUAAAGGGUAAUCGCCUUUCAGUCGGGAGCUGGACCAGUUUGUUGUUCUGGUUCAUACAUACAAUUCAGGACUUAUUACAUAUAUCUAUAUAUGACAUCUUCAUGAGAGUCAAGUGAAGAGUUUCCUUCAUUUUAUGUUUACAUGUCUAUGGGUUUGUGCUUUAAUGCCACCAUUGACCAAUACAAUCUUUUUUUUUCUCUACCAAACACAUUGUAAUUGCUGUUGUGCUUGUUUUGAAAAUUCUCAUGGAUUUUUAUGAUGAGAGACUUUACUUCCCCUAGUUGAUAAUUAAAUUUGGUACUUAUGUUGGUCGGAGAUAGUAGGAUCCCGAAAGAGUAGUUAAUGUGCACACAAAUUGGUCUAGAUGACACCAUUUAUAAAGAGAAAAGAUAGAUAAACUCAUUGUAUAUAAAGAUGUGGUCUCGAUCAGUGAAGUAAGUGAAAAUUAUGAGAUACCAGAAUUCAAAUUUCAACUAAAAGACACAAAAUGUUAGGUAAUUUCUACUCAUCUGGCACAAAGUUAAUAAAUUCUAGUAUAAUAGUCCAUGUGAGCAUUUUUUAUCGGCGGACCAGUUCAUCACCGUUACCACCAUUAUAAGGACAGAGGAGGGAUAACCCCUACUUUUUCCAGUGCAACAAAGAUGGGUGAAAUGAUUGCUUGAAGUCAAAAUUGGACAAGGCAUUAUUACUAGCAAAUUACCUUUACUCAGUUGUGUCACCAUAUUCAUUAUAAUCAGUCACAAAGAAUGCUUUUUUAUAUAUUUAUAUCCAGCUAAUGAUUCUAUAAAAAAAAAUAUUGUUCUUUCCAGCUUCCAGGGGCCUGGAAAAAUCAAUAAGAAACUAUUGUUAUGAGAUAACUUUUACGGCGAAUUCAAGAUUUUUAGUAUUGAACCUAUUAUAUACUUAAAAUUAUGGGUUCAUUACCUUAUUUAUUUCAAUUUUCGUGAUUUUUUACACAUUCAAUUAUAUUCUACGUAAAAAAUAUUGAGUUCAGAUGAAUUAAUUAAAUUAUAGAUGUGUGGAAUGAGAAUAUGAAUAUUAAAUUAUUGGUGUUCUAGUUAUCAGAAGAAAGAAUCAGACACAAGAGAUGCAGGACACCAACUCCAGAAAUCUGAUUGGCCAAUGUAGGAAUGAAUAGAUAGGAUUUUCAUGAAGUAUUGUGUUUGUUUGUGAUGAAGACAUUGACUAGAUCUUAGUGAGGCCCCAUUCUUAUUGGCAAAUCAAAAGCAUUAUGAAGAGGUUCCCCAUACAUAGUAUAUGGAAAAGUAGGUCAUGAAAGAAAACUCCACAAGACCAUUUAUUCUUUUUUCAUUCAAUUCGACGUAGGACUCUUCAACACUUCAUUUCACGUUCAAGAUCGGACAUCUGGUUCGAACAAUUCCAACAUCAGUAAACAAUAAUUUAUAAUUGGGAUGGAUCUUGUUCUAAUAACAGGUAAAGAAAUGAAUUUGGGCCUAACUCAACUUCAAAAACUGGCGAGAUUUCAUGUCCAAGUCUAUAUAAGGAGAGCGCUUCAAUCUGAUGUGGAAUUCUUAGACAUAUAUCUUACUCAGACAAUAAUGCAUGCAUAUGAUUCUUGACUCGUACUUAUAACCUUCAGAUUGAAAGUGGAGGGUGUUUAUCAUCUAAGUAACUUCUUUUCGUCCUUUUUAGCCUUUAAUUUGAUGUGUUCUUUCAUCUACUCUCAAAAUUAUUCUUUCGUUUGAUCAGUUGCUAUUAGGUUUAGUCUCUUUCUCUCUACAUUGUCUUUCACAUUUGUGUUGCCUUUAAGGAAUGAUGCCAACCUUGGGACAUUUUGAUUUUAUGAAUUUCUAUCACGAUCUCAAAUUAAUAUUAUAAUAAUAAUUAAAUCCAUAAUCAAAUACUUUUGAAUAUUUAAUAGAUUUUUCAUAAUAUCUAUAAAUUAUUAAGUUCAUGUGAAUCGGUAAAUCCAUCCCCCACAAACUCAAAAUUCUGAUGGAGAAUUGUUAUUCAAAUAAAUGUUCUAAAGUCCAUUAGAUUUAUAAAAUUAAUAGUAGUACUUCCAAGUACACAAACUUUGGUGCAUACAACAAAGCCUACAUGCUACAAUAAUUCCAAUUGAACAAAUGCCUCCAAAUGAUUCAAAAAUUAGAAUGUGAGAAAUCUCUUUUUUUUUUCUUUUGUAUUUUGCUAUACAUGUGAUAAAAAGGGCCACUCUUGUUGUCGGGUUUGGGUGUCAGGUAUCUCGUGGAAUUGAUCAAGUUGCGGACACCAAAACAAGGACACUCUUUCUGUAGAACAAUUUAAUUAAUCAAAUAAUAGAAUCAUCCCAAAUCAACAAGCAGCUUCUGAUAUGCUCUGUAAUGAGGGAUGCCAUGCUCUGCAUCUUGCACCUGUUGAGUCUCUAUGUUUUUCCUGUUUAACCUGAAGAAAAAAAAAAUCAUCUCAUAAAUUAAAAAUAAAACUAACAAACAGGUUUUUUGGAAUUAAAAUGAAGAUUAAAAAUUCACCUGUUUAGAAUUCUCCUGAACAGAUCUUGUAACACUUUCUUUAAGAUUCAAAUUUGAUUUUUGAGUCAAUUUUUCACAUGAAUAUUCUAACUGCUUCAGCUUUGCAUACUUCUUUGCGCACAAUCCUUUCAUUACCUCUGUAUAAACAAGGGUAUCAAAUCAUUACUAACCAGACAAAUGUACAGAGAGUCAAUCAACUGAGUUACUAAGAUUCUCGAGAACUAACUAACCUUGAGCAGUAACUAGUCUGUAAAUCUGACCAAGAACAAGUGAAUCAUUAGGUUUGAGAAGCUUUAUUCGCCUAACUCGUACCGGCGUAUUAUUGUUAGUGGUGGUGGUAGUGGUGGUGGUGAGAAGAAGAGAAACAUAAUGACCGGAAUUGAUUUUCAUGAUUUGGUGAGCAGUGACAGAUGAAUAGAGCUUCUCUACUUUGCCAUUUGGAUGUUGUAAAAGCAAAGCUGCAUUAUCAAUUGCUUGGCAAUUCCCCAUCUCUCUAAGUUAUAUGUUGUCUUCUUUAUUUCUCUGUAAAAUAUAUUGGGGGGAAAUAAACUUUGCUGUUGAAAAUGAGCUAGGCUAUGACCUUUAUAUAAGUGUCAACUGUCAACUGGGGCCGGGAAAUAUCAGGAUACUGUGGUGGAAUCGUAAGUACUCCUUAUUUUUUUAGAGGUCUUGAAUUUGAGUCAUUUGGUAUGGACUCACCAUUAUUAAAGAACGAUUUACCCCCAAUGUGAAACUUUCUGGCACGAAUCCAGAUUUAGUCGGACUUUAAUAUAGAUAUCGGGUGCGAAUUCAAAUUUAGUCGGGCUCUAAUAUAAAUACCGAAGACAUAAUGGAAUUUUUUUUAAAAAAAAAAAAAAACUAUGCCAGGAGAAGGAAAAAUGAGGAAGAGGAUACAAGGUGAAAUGGAAUCUUUAUCUUAUCAACAAGGUAAAAAAGUUCAGAUAGUCAACAUACUAAGAUUUUACUUUAUCCGUUCAUUUCAGAGGUGAGGGCUACGGUGUGAUCUCAAAUAGUGAAGUCAGAAAUUUCAUAAAAAAAUACGAAAAAGAGUCAAAAUUAUCCCUGAAUUAUAUGAAAUAGAUCGCUUAUACCCAUCCGUUACAUUUUGGGAUAAAAAAUACACCCGUCGUUAUCCCAAGAGACCACAAAUACCCCUCAAAAGAUAAUAUUCUAAUUUUUAAUGGAAUGGCAAGCCACAUAGGACUGAUUCCUCCAUCUAAGCUGCCAACUAGGAUUUCCAUAUAUAUAUUUAAAAUUUAAUAUAUAUAUUUAUACAGAGUUAAAAAAAAAUUAAUCUAUUUAUAUACCAUAUAAGUUUUCGACUAAAAAAAUAAUUUAUUUUUUUGUAAAAACAAAAAUAAAUCAAGUAAUUCCUUGACAUCUACAUAUCUAUUGGUAAAAACGUUAUAUAAUACAUAUGAUUGUGGAAUGUGAUAUAUAUCCUGUAAAAUAAUUAAGAUGUGUAUAAGCUGAUUCGGACAUCGAAUCGAAUGGAUAGUGAUGAUGGUAUGGCAUGGUUGAACAAAGAAAGGCGUGAAAAGAAGACAUGAUUUACACCAGCAUGGCACAGAUCUCACUCCCCCAAACAAAUCAUCAUACAAAAAUAUUCUCUUUUUCUUUCUGUAGAUAGAUCUUGGAUAGUGCAAAAUUGGAACAAUUCUGUUUUUGCUGUAUCUAACUUUAUCCAACAUCCUCUGAUAUUCCACUGAGCUAAUUCCCAUUGUUGUUUCCCCUCAAAGUAACAAAAAGACCAUAAAAAUAUACUUGUCUUCUUUCUGUCUAGUGCAUGCGCAUUUUUUUUUAACCAUGCAUAUUCUUCUUUUAUAAUUAAUGUGCUUAAAAUUCAUAUUUUACCUAUAUAUUUGUAUUUUCGUUAUUGCUUAUGUUAUUAGUGAUCAGUCGAAUAUGAUAUUAACCAUCGAUUGUUAAUAAAACGCUUCACUAGUGUCUAUGUUAUGAUAAUGAUGCCAACGUUGUCUUCAAAUAUUAUGUGUUUGCUUUGUUGAUAUGAUUAAAUUUUUUUUUAUAAUGUGGGUAUUUAAUACUCUCUUCAUUUCAAAUUAAUUAAAUUGUUGAGGUGUUUCACAUUCUUUAAGAAAAGAAGAUUAAGACAUAAAUUAGACAUAAUUUUCUAUUUUUACCCUUAUUAGUUAUUGUCAAAUUUAUGAUAAAUAACUGAAUAUUAAUUAAUAACUAAUUACAAUGCUAACUAAUGAAGGGUAAAAUUAGAAGAACAUUCUAAAAGUAGUCUUGAAAAUUAAACAAUUAAGUUAAUUUGAAAAAUGAAAAAGGUCCCAACAAUUCAAUUAAUUUGAAAUGGAAAGAGUAUGAAUCUGAAUAUAUUUAGGGAGAAUUGAACACCGUUAGAAUAAUAAGGGGAUCAAUUAAUAUAGAUAUUGUGGUAAAAAACCAUAUUAAUCGUUUAUUAACGGGCAUGCAGAAUCUAAAAUGAACAAGUAAAAAUGAAGAGAAAAAGUAAAAAAUAAGGAGUGUUUUUACUAACUUGCUCCUAAAAUGUCAUCAAGGAAAAAAGUGAUUAUUGAAUGGUGUAAAACUCUUUAUUUUGAAACUAGGGUAAUUUUAGAAGAAUAAGAUUAAUUGUUCUUGAAAUCUUAACACAUGGCUAAAACACCACUCAUUUUGAAACGAAGAAAAUAACUAAUUAGAAUCCAUAUAUGACCUAUAUAUUUAUAUUUUUGCCACUGCUCACGUCAUUAGUGACCAGUCGGACAUAACGUUAUUCCUCAAUUGUCAUUGAAAAUUUCUCUAACCUCUCUGUUAAAACAAUGGUAACCCACGAUCUUUCAAAUUCUGAGUUUGUCUCUGAUAAUACUUGUUACUUUCCGGCCACUAACACAUGUACUAAAUAAUUGUACCACCAAAAUUUAGACAAAUAAUAAGAAAUCAUCUAAAUCACACGAUUUUCAUAUACUAUAUAUACUCUUGAGUACAAUUAUAUGAAGUAGCUCCCUUUCAACAAAGGAGAAUCUAAGUGUACUUGAAACAUUAAUACAUUAUGACACUCAAUUCAUGCUUGAAAGAACUUCAUAAUGACAUUGACAAUGCCAAUUUUGACCAAUUAAUUUCUUCAAAAUUCUACUUUUUAUCUGUGAAAUCCAAUUUGGAAAGAAAUAAGAAAGGGUAUAGAAUAAGUGGCUUCCUUUCCAACAAAAGAAAAUGAUAGGAAAAAAGUUAUCCAAAUUCCCUUUUUUUGUUUUUCUGUCUUCAAAUAACAAUUCAUAGUGGUUCAGUGGUCCUAUUAUCUUGGUCUCCCCUUCUGUACCAGUGUAACACAGUCAUCGUUUGGCUGUAUACUUUCGAUCUAUGCGAAAUUGAAUUAAAAUAUCUUUAAUUAAUAGUAUGAUCCGAAAAUAAUUUAAUGGAUCAAAAAUGUCUUUUUUCUAAAUAAAUAUAUUAUUAUUUUCUUUUUAAACGUAUUCUUUUCCUAAAAAUAAUUUUAAUUGUUAGCAAAUUAUUUACUUCAAUUUGGAAAAGAUUAAGAAAUUAAAAUAUAUUAUUAGGAUUUUUAAUUAAACAAAAAUGCACUCAAUUAAUAUAUUUAUUAGAAAAAGAACAUUUUGAUCCAUUAAGUAACAAUAAAGACAUUUUUUAACCAAACUGUUAGUUGUAACCCGUAAGAGCAUUUUUGGACCAAACUAUUAAUUAAACACAUUUUUGUUUAAUUUCACAUAAUUUAAAAACAUUUUUGACCCAUUUUACAAUUUUUCUUUCUUUUUUCAUGUUAGUCAAAAAAUUGUCCUAGUGUUUGUUGUUCCUACUUAUCAUUUUGAUAUUUUCUAUAACAAAUGUCCAGUCUGAUUUACUGCUAAUUAAAAUUCAUAAAAGGAUUGCUUGCUCUAUUGCUAGUUAAAGUUGAAUCCAAUCAUAUCCAUAAAUUUACAACAGUAGGAAAUACUUAAACUAAUAAAUGUUGUUCUAAGCUUCUUCAAAAUGAUCAGACUAUUUUUUACUUCAUUUCGCAUGAAAGAAGAAAAUUGAUGUUGCAGCAGCAACCUACCUCCCCACACACCCCCUUUCCAACAAGCACAGCUUUAAGUGGAAAGGGAGAAAGCAAAACUCUAGUACUAGUAGAAAGAUGAACCUUUAUCUCCGUGGCGUCGCCAAAUCACACAGAUGGGAAAUACUUGUUCAGAUUGAAUGGGAGGGAGUAGAAUUCCUCACUUCUUGUGUCAGUCUUGAAGGACUUGAAUUUGUCCCACCAGUGCUUGCCUCUGUCCUUUCUUGUCUGGCCAUCCUUUUUGUGCAUUGUGUUGUCUAGGAAAAAGGCCACGAUACCCGCCACAAAAGCUUUUGAUUGAAAGGGCACGUUGGCCAUGUCGUUGAACUGAAAGAAUAACAAAUCACAAAAGCUCUUACUACAUGAAUGGAAUGCAACAUAAGUCAAAUGUAUGUUAAUUUGCUAUACCCAUCUUGCAUGUGUGUGAACAGGUCCAUAACCAGCAACAGCAGUAUACUCAUUGAAGUACUGUGGAAUGGACAAGCCAAGAAAGACGGAGAAACCUAAUAUAAACUUGGUGCGGAAACUAUUAAGAUUGCAGAACUGAAGAAAGCCUAAGCCUCCAGCACCUGCGAAGAAAGAACAUCAUAAGAAACCAUAAUUCCCAAGCUUUCCAUAACAUGAAAUAUUUUGGCAUGGCAGUGAUCCAGGGCAUAUGCUUGCCUUAAAAGAUAUACAUACCUACAUAAGCGAAGAAAAGGCAAUACAAAGCACCAACAAUAGGUGCAGGAAUUGAAGCAAAGACGGCUCCAAAUUUCCCUGAUGAUAAUGCGGUUGUCAAGACAAAUCGAUAGAGGGUAAAGAGAAUCAAGUAUCAAGAUAACCCACAAGAAUUGCUCAAACGAAGUGUUAAGAGUGGUGAUUUACCGAGAAUUGAAAAGAAAAUCAUGAACGCAGCAGAUAUCUGAACAACUCUUCUACUGCCAACACGUGUCAGUGCUAAAAGACCAGCAUUCUCCCUGCAUGUACACAAAAGUAAGUCUACUUAGUCAACUAUCAUAACAAGGCAAUGUCAAGUUGCAGAAGGUUUUUGUCUGGACUUACACGGAUACAGAAGAUCCAUUCCCAGUGCCAAAUAAUCCUGAUAGUAGAAUGCCAACUCCCUGAGGCAAAAACAGAAUGUAUCUAAAUUAAAGAAAGCAAGGUAUGAAGAAAUAGCAAAUGGUAGGGGAAGAGAAACAAUCACACUUCCCGCGAACCUCAUUAAGAUGAACAAAAUACAUUUCUUCCUUUUCCAAUCUGAUCUACCCCCACCCUAAAAAAGAAUGUAACUUUAAAAAAAUAACUUGAAAAAACUUUUUAAUGUUCCCAUGAUCCCGAAGUAUCAUUCAAUGAGGGUGAUGAGAAGGUUGCUAAAUAUGCAUCCAGUGCACUCUCUCUUCUACCCCCAACUAGUCCGGGAGCAUUUGAUGAACUGAGUAAGCCCUUUUUAAGCUGUCUUUCUAGCCCCUUGCAUUCAAUAAAUUAUGUACUGCAAAAACAUGAUAUAAUGCAAUAGAAUUUAACUGCUAUGCACUGGAAGUGUCAAAAAGUAUACAGGUAAAUCUAUUGAUAUGUUUUAAUUGGUAAUCUGAUAAAAAUGAUAACUACCAUGCUAUCACAUAUUAAAACUCACUUAUCAUGAAAGGUUUAUAGGAGAAUAUUCCUGUAACAACAGCAUGUAAGUGUUUAAUUUAUGUGUCUAAUUUUCCAAGACAAAAGAAUUUGUUGCUAAAUGAAUGGUAGAAAACGAAAGACAACACGUGGAAGAAGAAGAUGAAUAUUUUCAGAAAACAUGUGAGGAAGCAAGAGAGAACUAUUGAGUUCCAAGGCAAAGGUCUUUAGAUAGGGAUGCAGGAAUUUUGGGCUGUUCCAAUCCCUUAACCACAUAACGUAUGAUAUCCACUAACAGAAGAAAUAUCAUAUCCGCCAUGUACUGUCACACCCAAAGUGGAUCAACUGCAAAAUUUACUCAAAUUGGACCACAGAUAGAAAUGUUUGGUAGCAAAAUUGCAUUUGAGUGGUCAAAGAUUUUGACUAGUUUUAUCAGUUAUGGAAAUAAAGCAUUCUAGUUAGAGUUGGGCGUUGGGAUAACUAAAAACAGUUCAUAAUUCUUACUGUGAAUUUAUGUGUGUUGACAAUGCUGAUACUGGAUGAGUGCGAUGACAUUCCAACUUAGUGUAGUUCUCCUAAUCUACUUACGGCUUCACAUAAACCUCCCUAAAGACUCUAUGCAUUUGAUUCAGAGUAAGGCUCCACUUCAAUGAAAUGCAACAGAACUUCCCUUACUAUUUUCACUUUACAAAAGGGCGAGAGGGAUAGGAGAAAUUUUAGGAAAGAAAUCCUGUUUACCUGCCAACCAACACCACGACUAAGUAUGGAUGGUGGUAAGGGAGUGGCACUUGCAUAUCUUGCAACUGCAAUAAAAGCACCAGUGGACUGAAAACACCAAAGCACAAGCGUGAAAGGAAGUUAGUUCAAAGCCUAUCUCUUUCAGAGCUUAUAAGUAUCUCUUUUUUUUCUUCAGAAAAAUGGCUAAAAGGAGGUGUGAAAUCACACAAAAAUUGGAAAAAGGAUGCAAACAGAUAAAAAAAAAAAGGGACAGCACAAAGAAAGAGGAAGCAGACGAAGGUUGAGAAGUAGUAACUCAGAACAUCUGUAACAACAACUAAACGUUUCAUAAAAACAAUAACUAAAGUAGCCAAAAUAUAAGACAAUCCAGAUCAUAGUGGAAUUAGCAAAGAAAACAGCCUGAAACUAAAAUAUUUACAAAACCUGCCAGAACAAGAUAAUAAAGCAUUCACAAUUUUUCAAUAUCUUUGACCAAGCUCUGACAGGUGAACAAACCUCUACAAGAGCAACAAAACUAGCCAUCAUCAUAGCAAAUGCUUCACCAGCAUUGAAUGAAGGAGGUCCCCAUUGGAAAGGGUAAGGAAUACUAAUCCUGCAGGUUCAAGCCAGUAAAAGAAAAGAGAAAACUAUUAAAAUUACAAUAAGUUGCCUCGUAAUUCUACAGGAAUAUUUUCCUAAUGGACUAAAGUAACAAAUUAAGAACAAUACUGAACCAACAAAAACAACUUUAUAUGAGUAAUGAACAUAAUGGAAUGUUUUUCAAACAAUAUGCAUCCCAUGUCACAACCAUAAGACCAACAGUAAUAGAAGAUGAAAUGGAUAACGAAAUCUAAAUUUUGUUAUGCUCCAUUUUUUAAAAUUGACCAACAAACACUCUAUGCAGUCGAUAAUAUAAGACUCAGAUAGGUUACUUUGGGACACCCACUUGUGCUUACUUUUCCUAAUCUGUAGCACCAUGACGGCAUGACCAUAUCUGCCAGUUAUGCUCAGUGUGGGAAUAACAGACCAGCACAACCAGUUGAUCAGUUGUGACUAAACUGGCGAUGAAACAAAACAUCAUUCCAUGCAAAAUCAUAUAGCUAAAAUACCUAGAUGCAUCUCUCUUAUUUUCUUCUUGUUUAUCAUUUCAAUCAAAUUACGCAAGGUUAGUUUAAUGGACUAGUACGCACCAAUUUCUUGUCUUUUCCAGAACUACUGCUCACAGGAGCUACUGGGGUAGUCACUUUAGAGAGGCAAAAAGAGCAUGACAUGUUACACUCUAAAUUUCUUAAAAUCUAGGACUCAAGAGUGGAAGACAAUGGUCUAUGCCAUAUGUCAAAACAAAGUGUUAUUAUGUUGAAGAUUGUAAUGCAAUAUAGGUUAUGAGAAACUAAUCCUUAUGUCCCAACAUAAGCAUCUUACUUUCCUUUUUAUGCUGUGCUAACAUGUGCCACUUCCCUAGAACACAACUUUUAUACCAUGCUGUAGAAUCCUUUUUGAAUUUAUGUAAGCAAUAGAAGCAAGACCCACUCUUACACUUACAAAGUUGUAAUUUUUACCAAGGAGUUCCGUAUCUUUGGGACCGCAUAAAUGUUAAAAUACUAAAAAAAUUAUGUGCGUAUCCACACAAAUAUUUAGACCCAUGCCAGUACAUUAGAAAAGUGAAAAAUGAAGGAGCGAAGCACGUGCCAUUGAGCACCACUAAUGAGUCCAGCACGGUCAGUUCUGCAGCUUGCUUGUGUCUUUGGUGGCUUUCCAUUGUAAGCCCCACCCACAGUGAGUAGGUGUGCAUAAAUCCAUACAAUGAUCACCGUGAAAAGAACAGCAAAACGAUCAAAUAUAUUCUUCCCUGGACGUAUCAGGUGUGCCAAAUACUGCAAAAACCAGUGUUUUAUUAAGAAUGUGUAACUUAUAUCCUACUAUGUUGUGUGUUUAAAAUAAUGUUUACGAGAAAUAUAUGAUAUCUCGACAAAGCAACCCACCUGAGAGAAAAUGACUAAAAGGACUAGCUCUGGCAACCCAAUUUCAACACAUUUGGCAACCUAAACAGAGAUGAAACAAAUUCAACAAUCAUCAUUGGAUGAAUAUCAAUGCAAGACAAGUGUGGUGAGUUUCUGCUUACCCCAGGAAAACCAAACUCAUAAAGACCAAAGCCAACAAGAGAAACCAAAGGAACAGCUGAAAGUGGGCUCAGAAACCUAAGAAUCCACAUGAAGUAAAAUGACAAUCAGAGCUAGCACACUGUACGAACACAAAGCACUUAACAUAACUGAACAGACCUUAAACCACAAGAAAGUGACCCUUAGACUUAGAGAACUUGCUCACAAAGUAUAGCAUAAGAAUAUCCAAGAGCAGGCAAGUACGUGCUUAAUUGAUGGUAUAAAGUUAGGUAGCAUUAUGAGAAGUCGCUCAAAUGGAGGGAGAAAUCUUGUGAUAUAACAAACCUUGUAACAUUGCGCCAGAGACCACUGAAGCCUAGGACAAUCUGAAGGGUUGAAGCAACAAUAAGGGCACCUUGAGUGGCCCGCAUUAUCUUCUUGAAUUUCUGAAUAAACAGAGAAAUAUUAACAAUAAAUUAAGACCUAAUAUCACCAAGAUGCACUGGAUGACCUCCUUUGUGUCUCUAAGCAUCUUCCUGACUAUUAAAGAAGUUAAAGGAAUAUGCACUGACAUGAAUUAUCAAGUUGAAAGUAAACUAUUUCUGCAUCAGUUUUUUAUUCUUCCUUUUUGUUUAGCUAAGGUAAUGUAAAAUUCAUUAUAUCUCAGUACCAAGAAGGUAUGAGAAAAGAACAAAACAGCUGAACUAAACCGUCUGUCAUACGAUACGACCCUUACACCAUGAGUAUAAAUUUGUAAGCAUCUAUUUUUAAGAAAAGGAAGGUGCUCUACCUUUCCCUCAAAACAUCUCUUUUACUUUCCAAACAAUCCACAAAAUAUGUAGAGGAACUGUCUUCUGUAGUAACUUCAGUCUUUUAUCAACCCUAGACACUGCUCUGUAGUAAACUUUUAACAUUUCCUGGCAUGACCACAUUACUCCAAAAAGGUUUAAAUCUGUGCAUCAGCUUCUUUUGACGAUUGGAUGGUAUUUAAAUUUGUUUUUCUCAAAGUGAUAUUAUGGAAAAUUAUUGUUAGUGUUUGGAUUUGGUUAUUGAAAAAAAAUUGGUACUUGUAUAUUUUUUACAAAAUUGAGAAGUUGUGAUUUUGAUUCAAUUGUUUGGAGAAAUAUCAUUACAACCCUAAAACACUGUACACACUGUCAUAUUGCUGAAAAAUGAGAAAAAAUGGACUAAACAUAUUUAGGAAUAGUUAAAAGGUAACAAAAAAUGGUUGUUACACCAUAUGGACCAAAUAAAGAGAAAAGAAGAAAAGUGAUGGAGUGAUUGUGCCACGAAAUCUGAUCAGACAGGGAGUGU
rnacentral:lncRNA from 1 species